UAUUUAUUUUUGUACAGCAUGUGAGUCUUUUUUUUUCAUUUCUCAUACAUAUUGUGUUUGCUUCCCUGAGCCAGUUCCGGCUUAUAAGAUUUGAGUUGAUUCCAUCAUCUCCUCUCUAUGCUACAGUAGCUAUUCUUAAUUAAUUGAAUAUUGAUAAGUACUAAUAAGUUCUCUAGAUCUUUUUUAGAAAAAAAGAAAAGUUCUCUGGAUUGUUGGGUCAGAGACUCAUCCAAAUUUGGGCCAGGCUCUGGGUCGGCCUGCUGUCACUAGGCCAAAAGUCAUGAUCCAGUGGCCCAGAUCUUAUUAGGUCCCUCACUGUCAUUAGGAAAAUAAUUUGGGGACCAGGUGACCCUGCUUAAAAAGUUGGGUUAUGUUCAAAGCAGGGUCUCCUAAUCUCCUAUGAUUAUUUUCCGGAUUUCAAGCAUUGCGAUAGAUAAUAUAUAGCGGGUUGGUCGUGAAUUAAUCUCUUGAUAGCAGAUUGUGUAUAGAGAGUGCUAUAGCGGCUAGUAUGUUCCAACAUACUUCCUCCGUUUGUAAAUAUUUGACGCCAUUGAUUUUUUAAAACAUGUUUGACCAUUCAUCUUAUUAAAAAAAUUAAUUAAUUAUUAAUUCCUUUCCUAUCAUUUGAUUUAUUGUUAAAUAUACUUUUAUGUACAUAUAGUUUUACAUAUUUCAAAAAAAUUUUAAAUAAGACGAACGGUUAAACAUGUGCUAAAAAGUCAACGGUGUCAAACAUUUAGAAACGAAUGGAGUAUUAUCUUGGGUCCGCUAACUUUGUAGUGCUAGCAGUAGAGGACUACCAACAUUAUAGCGGUCGCCAUUACGGCCACUGCAAACACUAUAUUAAUUACCUUGCUUCCAAGUAACUGAGCUACAUGUGUAGAAGUCUAAGAAGUGGAUCUGAAGUGUUUGGGUUAAAGUCACUAUAUUAUUUAUAUUUACUAGCGUAUAAUAUCCAUGCGUUAGAUCAGAAUUAAGGAAACAUUGUCAUUAAUACAUUCUCGGCACAACAGGCGGGUCCUUUGGCCCCCACGCACAAACUCCAUUUUUUCCCUUCACAACAGUGUGCAGGGAGUUGAUGGUGUGAGUGAUGGAUGCGGAUUGACCAUUCAUCACACCUAGUUGUUUCAUUUAAAUUAGUAUAUGUAUACCUAGAAGGUAAUAUCAUGGUUUAAGCAUGACCAAUGAGUUUAUUUUUCUUCUAGAAAGGUAUAAUUAACAAGUUAUUACUUUGUUACAAUACCAAAGCGAAUCGAUUUUCUUUUGAUUCAUCACUGUAUGUACGUAGUAUGUGCUGACUUAUCAUCAAAUUUACACUUGAAAAGAAAAUUGUGCUGAUCUUUCAAAAAUAAAGAAAAGAAAAUUGUGCGCGGUUCGUUGUUUCAAUUUGUUCAAACAAGGUAAAAAUAUGAAAUACUACUCAUCACCUGCUCUUUAUUGCCCAUCACAUGAUAAUUACACACCGUUGCAAGAACAAGCAUAGCACGCGACCAUAAUCAUUUUAUUCGUUUGAUAAAUAAAUAAUCUAGAAUAUAACAAUGGCGAUUAUUAUUUAUCAUUAAACAGCAUCAGAUAUCAAUUAAUCACCAAGUGGCAACGGCGCGAUCCGCCGUCGUCGGCGCGCGUGUCGAGGUCGCACUCGUCGCGCCCGGGGAGCCCCUCGGCGAUGGCGGCCAUGGCCCCCUUCUUGCACGCCAGCGGCGCCUCCUCCUCCUCGACGAGCACCUCCACCAUGGCGCGCAGCGCGUCGCAGCGGCAGCGCGCCGCCACCUCCCUCAGCUGGUGGCAGCACCGCGCCCGCACCCCCGGCGGGUCGCCGCCGCCGCACCGCCGCAGCAGGUACGCCCGGCACCCCGGCAGCGGGUCCUUGGGCACCACGCCCUGCCCCGGCUCGCACCCAUCCGCCGCGCGCGCGACGCCGCCGUAGUACUCCUCGCCGCCCGCAGCCGCCGCGACGACGGCGCCGACCACCACCACCAUCAGCGCCACCAGCGCCACCGCCACCGACGACACCGAGAGCUUGCUGUUCUUCGACGCCAUUGUCGCCGUCAGGAAGAGAAAUCGAUGAGCAGUGCAAGGUUUGGGUUGUUGGGGGGGGGGGGGGGUGGUGAGAUUUUAGAUGGUUGGAAAAAGGGAGAGAAAUGGAAGCGUGGGGAGGAAGACGAACAGUUGCUUUUUUUGUUUUUUUGAAUUUGCCGGGAAGCGAAGCUACGUGGAGAGGGCGUCGUGCAUGGCGCGCGCGGGAAUUGUCAGUGGGCGUAAGGGAUUAGCGUCCAAAUUAAACAAAACGAAUUCAUCAGUGCAUUUCCAGGGCCGGGCUGCCUACUUGCUUAAUGGGCCGUGAAAGAUUGGGCCCAAAAGGGACCUGCACGAAUCUCAACUCGAUCGGACAAAGGGUCUCAUCUUUUCGCUUAUACUUAUUCUUAUCAGACAAAAUUUGAAUUUUUAAACUUAAAUUUGGAUUUGAUUUUAAGAUUUUUUCAUCGAAGUUUAUUUUUCAAUCUUUGCUUUUAAAUCGCUAAGAACACGUAUAUAAAAGUUUAAUUCACAAAUUACUUUUCGUUUGCAAAUAUGUCGUUUCGCUUAUUCAGCGAAACGAUGGCUCCGGAAGGGUUUACUUACUACUGGGCCCGCAUACUACCUCUCCCUUUGUGUUUCCACUCACCCCGCCUAUAAAAAUACCGCCAUUUCAUCAGUAUACUAUUUACUAUAGCAUUUAUUCAUUUGUAUUAAAAUAUACUUAUCAUUGAGACCAUGUAAAGCAAUUUAUGUGACUUCUAAUGUCCAAGUUGUCAACCUCUAUUCUCUCGUUUUCUGCACGCACACUUACCGAACCACUAAAUGAUGUGUUUUUUUAAUAAAAGUUUCUAUAAAAAGGUUAUUGUAAAAAUAGUUAACUUUGGCGUGAAGGACUAAUACUUCGGUUUCAAUUUGCCUCACGAAGAAAAGGGUGGAUGGAGGAAGAAGAUUGAUCUGACCGGUGGGUUCCAUGAGUAGAUGAGGAAGAAGAUGGAGAAGGAAGGAGAUGGAUGGAAAAUGUGAUGGCAGUGGUGGUACCAAUUUUGUAAAUUUUCAAUGGCAUGGUUACAAAUAGAUGAAUUGUAGUAGCAUUUAUCUGAAUCAACAUAUUUAUAAUGGCAUGGAUCCAAUUAACCUAAAAAUCAAUACGUACUAGCCCUCUUGGAAUCGUCUUUUUCGUACUGUAACUACCUUUUACUCUAGUUCGUCCAUUUUUAUUGGUUUGCAUUGUAAAUUAACCAUCCAUCCUUGCUGUAAAAGUGCGAAUCUGUUAAUCCUGAUGGGUGUUUACCCCAAUUUGUCUAAAUUUAAUAUGCUAGCCGAUUUUGAUCUCAAUUAUCAUCUUGGUCAGGAGUUUUUCUAGAUCACGGUUAUUAGCGAUUAUAUUCAUAUCCUAAGGCUCUCGGUGGUACAUCGUGGUGAUUGGUCCCUGAAAAAAGGGUCAACAAUGGCAAAUAUGCAAUUUAUUUCAAGGCCCCUGAACCAUAUUAUCUGAAAGUUUACUUGGUACGUAUUAUCUAAAAGUUUCCUCUAUAUAUGGUUGGCUGUUUUUUCUUUUACCUUUUUCUGAUUGCAUGUUGUCCCUAGGGACUAGUAAUUAUAUUAUAUAUUUCAGUGUCCCUCUUGCACAAAGGAAUUAAAGAACAAUUCGAGCGGGCUAGUGAAUCAACAUAAGAACAUCGAAGUUCAUCAUUUAUUCACCACAUACAUACGUUUCCAUGCAAAUGGAAACAGUAAUUACAGUAACUACACCACACCACACAAAGUAGCUAUAGCCUAGUGGCCAGUCGCCGGGUUCCUAAGAUAACCCAGCCAUUAGCAAACACCACCGAUGCCGAUAUGGAUAUCCACACCGCAUAAUGCCAGGAGGCUCGCCACCACCAUGCAUUUCAUGUUGUCUCUCCGGCAGCCAGGGAAUACCUCGUCCAUGGGUUGCCCGUGAGCCGCCGUGCCGAGCUCCUUGUACAUGCCUACCAACUUGUGGCUGAGCACCGGACACCUACAUAAGUUGUUGUUGAUGGUGGCGAGCUGCCUACAGCAGUCUCGCCAGACUUGCUCAUCCACGUUACCGGCUGCGCCACCGCCAAUGCACUGGCCCUUCACCAUUGUUCGGCAGCGUGGGAGUGGGUACACAUCGAGUAGUCUAUUCUUGGCUGGCAAAGCUGGCUGGGGGUAUACACCACCUAGCAGUGGUGGUCUGCCAUUGUUGUCGUUGCCACAAGCAUGGAGACAACUAUCGAGAGCAACACUAAGAACCAUAGUAUAAUUUGAAAUUUCAUUCUCCACUGGCAAGCAUAAAUCUCCCUGAAUUUUUUGGUUUUUUUGGUCAAAAUUUAUUUAAAUUCAGUCAAAAUAUGUUAAAAAUUCAAAUAAUUUCGGUCAGAAAAACCCGGAAAUCACACCAUAUUCGUUAACCCCUGAAAUUACACUACCUUGUUUGGUGCCAUUUUGUUUUUCUUUGUGUUGCAGAAAAUUUUAGUUAGUCUCAAAUUGUAUGAGAGGGUGUACAGGUAAGCGCUACAUCAAUGGUGGUUUUAUAUGUAGCUACAAAUACUAAAGUGAUUCCAGAACGGACACAAUUUUUAUCAUGAGUGAGUAGCUUAUGGUUUUGCAUGUAAUAUUUAUUGUGGUUCAAAGCUAAUCUAGGCAUCAUUUCGAAAAAAAAAAACCCUUCGUUUUAUAUGGACCACACUCUUUUCAUUUUCAUUCUUCCAUGCAAGAAAACAAAUGCACAAACUGCCAACAGAUAUAUAGUUUUGGAAGGUAACAAAAUCUUUUGAUCUUUAUUUGCAUGGCUUUUUCUAUAUAUAGUUGAUCCAAUUUGGUAAACAAGAAAAAAGAUAAUACUUCAGAACAAAUAUUGUUAAGAGGAAUGCUCUGGAAGCUAAAAAGCAUGCAGUAAAGAAAGCUGCAACACUAGAUUCAGAAAAUUAAGAAACGUGUGUUUAGUGAAGAAACGUGUGAUUAUGUCGGAGUAUUCUGAAACACAAGACGCGCACGUUCACUUAAUUUCCUUUUAUUGUGUACUCUAAUCUUGAGAGGACUGGGCAGUUGGAUCUAAGUAACAGAGUUAUUUUAACAAGCCACGGAAUUAUAUAGGGAAGCACGUACGCAUAAUCACUUUGUCAAAAAAAAAACAUUACAAAUUAAAGGCUAGAGAUAUUGUGUGUUAUUACCUUGUCGUAUUGCAAUUUGCAUAGAAAUGUUUUAAGUAAAGAGUAAGGAGAGCACAAGAAAUAGGUCUGAAGUGUGGUAGGUUUGUCAAUUUGCGAAGGAAUAAAAAGAGCGUUGUUAGCUUGGGGAGUGAGUUUAAUAUCUAUCGGAAAUGUAUUAAUUUAUUUUUAAAUCUUGGUUUUACCAUAUCAAUUAUCUUAAUCAUUGUAAAAUAAACUACUCCCUCCGUUUUAAAUUAUUUGUUGUUUUAGUUUUGUUACAAAUCAUAUGUCACUACAAUAAAAACCUCAUAUGGGACUUUUCUAGAGGAGUUUACAACAAAAACCUUAUAUAGGACUUUUCUAGAGGAGUUUGUAAAUUACCUCUAAAAUCAUGAGUUCUAUAACGUAGAGGCACUUUGUACUUUAAAAACUGCCCAGAAAACCUUUUACUCUAGAGACACUUUUUAUAUAUUUUCAACAUAUUUUGUUAAUUCUUAUCUCGUAGAGGCAUUUUUUCGGCACUUUAAAAUAUGCCUGAUAUGUAUAAGAAAUUUUCUUCAGGCAUUUUAAACUCUGUAUAAACACUGUUUAGGGCCACUAAAGGGUAAGACCCUGAGCAAACAAGCCAGGCCUAAGGUCAAACCUGUAACUUGCCUAGCAUAUGUUUGGUUGCUACCCUUAGGAUUCUAGCAUGAUGAAUCUUGCCUGAGCAAGCCAUGCUAUCUCGCUCCACCUGCCUGAGUAAAAUCACCGCAUUAGUGAAAAUGAGACCACUUCUUCCUCCUCCUCCUCACUGCUAGCCUAGGGUUUUUGCAGAGGCCAUUUCCCAUCGAUUCUUCCAUCGCUCCCGCAGCGGUGACCAAGGAACUUGCAGAUCCGGUGGCCAGUUGUUUCUUUUUCCAGUAAAAAUCCUGCAUUUGGUGAUCUGUUAGAGCGUACGCUACUGGAGAAGUGAUCUUUGCUGAGUCAUACAAAAAUCACAUAGUCCCGGUUCGAGUAGGAACCGAGACUAAAGAUAUUCUUUAGUCCCGGUUCAAAAACCUAGGGGUACUUUUUGAUCUUUACUCCUAGUUGAAUAGCUGUUAGACCCUCAACAAACUUUAGUCCCGGUUGGUGAUACCAACCGAGGCUAAUUGUCUCUCUCCUACAGCAUCUGUUCUCUCUCUCUUCCUUAUCUCCUCCUCCUCCUCCUGCAAAAUAAGCUGCCAUCAAACCGUCUUGGGACUUAUUUUGUAUCGGUUUUAAUAGUUGAGGGAUAUGUUGUAUUUGGUUUUCCGGUUGAAAGACGAAAAUCGGAUUCGUUGACAAGUUAAGGGACCUCAGAUGAACUUAUUCCAAAUUAACUGUAAUAUAUAUUUGGUUGGUUGCUUAUUUUUUAGCCUAGUAAUUAUAAAUUUCAGUAUUCCCUCUUGCACCAUGGAGUUAAAGAAAAAUCCGAGCCGGCUAGCGAAUCAUCAUAAGACUAUCAGAGUUCAUCAUUUAUUCACCACAUAUAUAUGUUUCCAAGCAAAAGGAAACACUAAUUAUAUAGGUACCACACAAGACACACAAGGUAGCUAUUUCUUAGUGGCCAGUCGCGGGGUUCAUAGGAUAACUCAGCCAGUAGCAAACACCACCAAUGCCAAUGGGAAUGUCUACAUUGCAAAACGCCGGGAGGCUCGCCGCCACGCGUUUCAUGUCGCCUCUCCGGCAGCCAGGGAACACCUCGUCCAUGGGUUGCCCUUUAGCGGGUGCACCGAGCUCCUUGUACAUUCCAACCAACAUGUGGCUCAGCGCGGGGCACCUACAGAAGCUGUCGUCGAUGGCGGCGAGCUGCCGGCAGCAGUCUUGCCGGACUUGCUCGUCCACGGCACCGCCGGCGCACUGGCGCUUCGCCAGCGCCCGGCAGCGGGGCAGCGGGUACAUCGGGUAGCCCCGUCCGGCAGCGCAUAGCUGCCCGGGGGUAUAAACCACCUGGCCACGGUGAUCCGCCAUUGUCGUCGUUGCCACGAGCAUGGAGACAACUACCGGGAGCAACACCGAGAACACUACCUUGAUGAAAGCCAUUUUCUUUCUAUUGUUGUUGCAGAAAAUUUUAAUUAUUCUCAAUCCUCAAUGAGUGGUUUUAUAUAUGUAGCUACUAAGACUAAAGUGAUAGUGAUUCAAGAAUGGACACAAAACUUUUAGCAUGAGUGAUUAGCUUGUGGUUUUGAAUGAAAUAUUUAUUGUGAUUCACAGCUAAUCUAGGCAUCAUCUGGGGAAAAAAAAGUUGGCUAAAGUGGAUUCAUAUGGACCACACUCUUUAAUUGUUUAAACCCAUUUUCAUUCUUCCGUGCAAGAAAAUAAAUGCAUAAACUACUAACAGACACAUAGUUAUGGAAGGCAACAAAAAUAUUUUGAUCUUUAUUUCCAUGGCUUUUUGUAUAGUGGUCCAAUUUGAUAAACAAAAAAAUGAUACUUCAGAACAAAUAUUGUUAAAAAGAAUGCUCUGCAAGCUACAAAGUAUGCAGUAAAGAAAGCGGCAACACUAGAUUCAGAAAAUUAAAUAACGUGUGCGUUCUCUGUAUAUACGUGCCUGAUCAAGCAUAUAUUGGAGUUUUCUGAAAAACAAAAUUCAUAUAUAAGAUAGCUUUGAUGUGCACGUUCAGUCUUUCACCUACUUUUUUUUUUUGUUGUACUGCAAUCUUGAGAGGCCUAGGCAGUUGGAUAACAGAGAUAUAUUAACAAGGCACGGAAUUAUAUUUAUAUGGACAUAAGAAGCACGUACGCAUAAUCACUUUGUUGAAAAAUGUUGCAAAUUAAAGGCUAGAAAUAUUGUCUGCUAUAACUUUUCCCGUUGCAAUUUGCACUACUAGGAAAAGCAUUAUCGCAAGCGGCCGAAAAGGGUCUUCGCAGGCGGGGCGGCCGUCCGCCUGUAAGCCAACGACUAUGAAGAUCGCCGAUCUUCGCAGGCGGGGAGGCCGUCCGCCUGCGAAGAUAAUUUUCGCAGACGGACGUUGGCUAGUCCGGUCCGCCUGCGAAAAUAGGAAUCGUCCGCUUGCAAAAAAGAAAACUUCCGCCUGCGAAGAUAGGUAGAAAAUAUUGAAAUUUAAAUAUAAUUUGGCCGUAAAUUACUUUUAAAUUAUUUAUUAGAAAUUCUUGCAGGUACAUAUAUUGGAAUAUUAUCAAGCAUUUGGUACUGAGAAAUCUACUUAUAUUGCAUAAAUCAAAAGUGUUGCCAAAAUAUAUAUAUUACAAUAUUGUUUUACAUUGUCACUUCAAAUAACGUCAUCUAGUUACAUUAUGGCAUAGCAGUGUUCCACUCCCGAAGAUCCUUGAAUUCGUCACUUGCCGCUAGGGCACCCUCUGGGUCGAAGAAAUCUCCUUUGACAUGACAGCACUCAUGGUGGAUGAAGUGGCACAGAUCACGCUGCACAUUUGUGAUACCUGUAUCGUCAAAGCUUGUUCGACAUUCUAAUCUUGGCAACUGCAUGCAUUGAAAUUAAUCAAUAUAUUAGUAUCAUAAAUAUCAAGAGCUGUCUAGUAAAUAGUAUAGAGACUUACAUCCUCCGCGUUAGUCCUGUACCGUCCAUUAACCCUAAGGAAUUCGCACGCAUAAUACCCGCAAAGGACCGUUCCUCGCGGUUGCUUGUGACACUGAAGGACAUAUCAUAGAAAAAAGUAGUUAUAAUUUGCAAUUAGUGAAACUAUUGGAAUACAUAAAGUGAGUGGAGUAUUACCGGCCAAUAGGUACGUACUAGCAGCUUCUCCCGUGUUCGUGUCUGUUCUCCACCCUUGAACUUGUAGUAUUGGUAUGCACUGUAUGAAUGUCAUACCAUUUCAGAGUAAGGAGGAUAUUUAUUUGUAAUACAUCCAUAUACAAAUGCAAGAGUCAUAAUAACUUACUACUGUAAGAUUGUUAGAAAUUCUUUGUAUUGCUUGUGUUUGUAAUCGAGAGGAUCCAAGACUACCACGGUUCCGUCUUUAGGGUGGAUGAGUAAACAGAUAUAAUGAUCGCUACAUAUUAAUAACAUUAUAAUUAGUUAGUAACAGCUAAAAUAAGACAUAUGUGUACAAGAUAAAUGUACCGAACUUACUUAAAAUUAUAAGCGGCCAUGACGACUCUCUUAUUUUGAAAGUGCAAGAAGGCUCGUCCAAUGUACUGUGCGACAGUAAUCAAUUUCUCCUUGUGCAAGCCCUUCUUGUAUUCUGCUAUCUCUUUCGGAUUCUUGCCCUUCAGCUGGUCUGACCCUGGAUCUAGCGUAACGGUAUGCUGUGUUUGGCAGAUCUGAGUUGGAUCCAAGAAGCCGAUGGGUUCUUUUUUCUUCUUAGCAUCCAUGUAUUGCAUCCUACAUAAGAAGUUUGUUAGUAGCAAUCACAUGGAGUUGUAUUGUACAUAUUUUUUAUCUAAUUAAUUAAAAUUCGUACUCACAUGCACCAAACACCGACAUAGUUGACGUCCAUCUUAUCCCGACGAUAUAUGGCGUGGAGAUCUGAGAAAUCUAGCCAUACGUAACCUUCUUCGCCGAAACAAUCUGCCGGUGAUCGAGCUAUUAUAUUGCCCAAGCCUUUCUUGCUGGCCUCCAUGUAGAAGUUAUGUAACCUUCUCAUCUCCCAUGGUGCUUCUUUCAGUGCCCAUUCCGGCAAGAGUGCUUUCCCAUGUUCGUACUUUUCCGGGCAAUCAUCGGUUGCGAAGUAUGUUGGCCCGGCUAGCACAGAAGCCUUCUGGGGGUCGUCAUCUCUGAGCUUGGCACGUUCCUUACCCCCUCUGAAGACGGUUAGCAUGAACUUCUCCUUGUUCGCAUCUUUGGACUUGGAUUCGUGGCUCCUAAUCACUCGUGGCACCUCGGGUUCUUUCGCAGGAGAAGGGUCUUCAAAUAUCUCUGGCUCUGUACCAUCCCAUUCCAAUCCUGGUACUUCAUCUUUGACUGACCCGACUGAUGCCACAAAUUCCACCUCUGGUUCUGCCACUGUAAUCUCUAUGGGCACAUCCGGCACUUGAAUCUCCAUGGCUGUCUCCGGCGGUGCAAUCUCCAUGGCUGUCUCCGGCGGUGCAGUCUCCAUGGCUGUCUCCGGCAAUGCAAUCUCCGGUGGCACUUCCGGCACUGGAUUUUCCUUACCAAGUUCAGGAUCAUCCGCCUUAUCAGUCACCUUCCUCUUAGGAGGCCUCGGAGGUUUUCCCAAACCCGGUUUAGGCAACACAGGUUUUUCCCCGGCGUCGGUGCCCAAUCCAAAGAAUAUGUCAUUCUUAUGCCAGAGAAUUACAAGAUCGACCGCAUCCCCAAGUACGGAUAUACCAUCUGCAGUCGGGUAGUCAAUGUCGUAGGACUCAAACCCUUCGUGGACCACUUGUGGCUGCACCUUGGCAUACGCAUCGGGUAAGAACUGUUCAUUGUAUGUUCUACCAGGGAUAGCAAUGGCUGUAGCGGCCUCAAGAGUUUUACCGGAGCGUCCAAUGGGAACGUCCAAUCUGCAGGGUGUAUUCUCCUUGAGGUCAUCGAAGGGGUAAUCUGGCUCAGUUUCUUUGGUUUCGGGGCGAAGCAAAAUCAUGUGCUUCGACCGUAGAAAUCAUGGACGAACGGUCGACGACGAGCUUCGGUCGUGGACAACGAAGGAAGGGCCGGCGACGAGGUUCGGCCAUGGACGACGAACGGCCUACGACGAGGUUCGGCCGUGGACGACGACCGGCCGAAGACGUCGUUCGCGGCCGAGGACGUAUUCGCUCGUGGACGACGAUCGGCCGAUGAAGCCGUUCAGCCGCGAGCGGAGGGGUGGGCAACGGUGGUGGAGGGGCCAACGGCGGCGGUGGCCGUGCGCGCGGUGGAGGGGCCGGCGGCGGUGGAGGAGCCGAUGGCGGAGGAGAGCGAGCUCGACGGUGGCGGUGGAUGAGCCGGCAGCGGUGGAUGAGCUCGACGGUGGCGGUGGCGGUGGAUGAGCCGGCGACGGGGCUGCCUCGGUGGAGCGUGGUGGACGACGACGGUCGGCUGCGGCGGAGGACGACGGUCGGAGAGCGAAGGUCGCAGGCGGGGCGGCGGCGGAGGACGGCGGAGGCGUGCGGCGGUGAAAAAUUUCGGCAGCCUGACGGCGCCAAAUUUUUUAGGGUUCCCGCCUGGACUUAGAAAUUUUGGCGCCGCGGGCUUGCCCUUAUAUAGGGCAAAGAUCUUCGCAAGCGGGCGGUCCGCCUGCGAAGAUCUUUUCAACAAACUAGUAAUUGCACAUAAAAAUAUUUACACUUUUCAAAUAUUACUAACUUUAAAUUUUUUUAACUAAAUUUUCACAAUUCAAAUGGUAAUUGCACAUAAAAAUUAGUACUUAGAAAUUAAUAUGCAAAAUGUUGAGUACAAUUGUUCGUCAAUUUGCGAUACGAUCACACAUACGACCAUUACAUAACUACUAACUUCUUAGAUGUUUAUAUGCCACUCAACAAUCAUUACCCUUUAACAUUUUUGCCCACACCGUCCGUGCGCAUGUAAGGCUUCACGGUCUUCUGAGUAGAUGUCUCGACAUUCUUAAUCUUCUGUACAAACUGACUAUAAAGUGGCAUACUAUCAUAUUGGUUGUAAUCUUCGACAUCUUCAACCCCAUCCACUCCCAAUAUCUUUUGUUUCCCUGGUAGCACUAUAUCUUUCUUCAAAUUUGAAGGGUCUUUCACAUAAAACACUUGUGCCACGCGAUUGGCGAGUACCCAAGGAUCAUCCUUGUGACCCACUCUCGCAAGGUCAACAACAGUAAGACCGAACUUAUCAACAUUUACCCUGUUCGGGUAUUUUACCCACUGGCACUUAAAUAUGGGGAAUUGCAUUGUGUGCCCAUAGUCAAUUUCCCAUAUUUCUUCAAUAAACCCGAAGUAUGAUUGUUUUUCACCGGCUUCAUCAAUUGCCUCCACACGGACACCGCUGUUUUGUGUACAGGUCUUAUUAUCUCGGGCUCUUGUGCUAAACGAAUAUCCAUUAAUGUCAUAUCCCUGCCAAGAAUUUACUGUAGUUGAUGGACCACAAGCCAACCGCUUCAUAGUUAUUUCAUCGGUAGUUUCUCCCUCAGGUAAGUCUAGGUCUCGCAACCAAUCUAUGAAGAGACGCUUGUGUUCUUUCAUUAUCCACUCGGUGGAGCGACCCUUAUUGUUAGCUCGUAUUAGUUCGAUAUGUUGAUCGAUGUACGGCUCGACGAUAGCAAACUGAUGAAGCACGCUGAAGUGAGCUUCUUGGAAUGAUUUGUGAUCAUGGGUGACGAAUCUCUUCUUUCCUAUCGUUCCCCUGCCACUCAAUCUGCCCUCGUGUUGGGGCACAGGUACUCCAAUUGCAUAUCCAUCCUUGAGAUAAUCGAUACAGCACUCGACAACCUCUUCAGUACUAUAAUCCUCAACCAUUGAUCCCUCUAGAUGUGCACGAUUUCGGACGUAACCCUUCAGAACCGCCAUGUAACGCUCGUAUGACCACAUUUGAUGGAGGUACAAUGGGCCAAGCGCAACCAUCUGCGGCACAAUGUGAACAAUGAGGUGCUCCAUCAUAUCAAAAAAUGACGGAGGGAAACACAUCUCAAGUUGGCACUGGGUCUCAUGUGCGAAUGUACGGAGAUUUCCUAACUCUUCGAGACUAAUGACCUUCUGUGACACUGCGUUGAAAAAGUAGCACAACCUUGUGAUAGCAACCUUUAAAUGCUCCGGUUUUAUGGCUCUUAUUGCAAUUGCAAGAAACACGGUGAGCAAGACAUGGCAGUCGUGUGAAUUAUAACCAGAUACCGACAAAUCUUUCAUUGAAACUAGUCGACUGAUGUUUGAUGAGAAACCUAUGGGCAGUCUGACAUUACGGAGUGAGUUGCAAAAUGACUUCUUCUCCUUAGGUGUCAGUGUGAAACAGGCUGGUGGAAGAUAUACUUUGCCAUUCUUUUCUCCUUCUUGAGGGUGUAACUCUUCCCUGAUUCCCAUCUCGACUAGGUCCAUCGUUGAUUGCAGACCAUCUUUAGUCUUCUUCGGCAUGUCCAACAAUGUUCCAACUAUGUUGUCAAACACAUUCUUCUCUAGAUGCAUGACGUCUAUGGCAUGCUGAACCUCCAGAUCUUUCCAGUACGGGAGGUACUUAAAAAAUAUGGAAUGCUUCUUGAAUGGGGGAGGGAGUUUAUCAUCUGGCUUCGAACUGUCAUCUUGCUUCUUACUAUCCCCUCCCUUCGUAUUCUUCUCGGGUUUCUUGCGCUUUGUCCCCUUUGAUGGUUUCUUAGUCAUUUUUCCAAACUCGCAAACAAUUUUCUCUAUCAUUGCACACACAUUUUCUCCCGAUGUAGGUUUUGGUGCAGGAUCAGUCUCUUCAGUACCAUCGAACUCCGCCUUCAUCUUACGGUACUUGUGAUUUGUGCGUAGGAACCGCCGGUGCCGCAUGUACACAAGCUUGUUGGAACCCGGGAGAUACCUAUAGGACGUUCCAUUCAAGCAGAUCACACAUCCUGUUUUACCUUUAAUUUGACCUGAAACUAAAAACAUUGCUGGAUAAUCGUUAAUGGUCACGAAGAUGAUUGCCUUCACUGUGAAGUAUUCCCUUAAGUACUCGUCCCACACUUUCAAUCCCUCUUUCCAUAAAUCGGCCAUAUCUUCCAACAAUGGUCCAAGAAAUACGUCUAUAUCAAUACCAGGCUAACGGGGUCCCUGUAUGAGGAUACAGAGUAGUACGUAUUUUCGCUUUUGACAAAGCCAGGUAGGAAGAUUAUACAUGGUGAGAAGCACUGGCCAAGUACUAUGUGAACUGCUCAUGUCUCCAAAAGGAUUAACUCCAUCAGUACUCAGGGCAAAUCUAAUGUUCCGUGGGUCUUUAGCAAACUCUCUAUACUGCGCAUCAAAGGUUCUCCAUUGACGAGCAUCUGCCGGGUGUCGAAUCAUCCCAUCCUUCUUGCGCCCUUCUUCAUGCCAGUGCAUUAGUUCCGCAUCUCGCGGGUUUGAGUAUAUUCGUGUAAUGCGGUCUUUCACAGGAAGGUACCACAUCACAAGCUGCGGGAUUUUUCUCUGUCGUCCCUCAGUUGCUUCAGAGGGUUCUAGGCUAGUAUUGCUAUUCGACUUGUACCAGCUUGCACCGCAUGUUGGACAUUCAUCCAAAGAAGCGUACUCUUUCCUAUACAGUAUGCAGUGAUUUACGCACGCAUGAAUCUUUUCCACACCAAGUGAAAGGGGGCAUAUGAGUUUCUUUGCUUGAUAUGUGCUGGAUGGUAGUGAGUUAGGCCUCGGUAGCAUUUUCUGCAGGAGUUCUAAAAGACUGUCGAAACUGGUAUCAGACCAUCCAUGUCUCGCCUUUAACCUCAUAAGUUCAAGAACUGACCGGAGUGUUGUGAAAUCACUGUCACAGCCCUUCGACUCAUCGUACAAAACUUCCUUUGCUGCCUUCUGUAAAGCUUCAAAGUUAUUUAGCCCUCUGGCCGACCCCAUCAGCACCUCGGGUUCUGCAUUACGUAACAUUUUCUCUAGGUCGAUUUUGUCCUCAACAGAACCAUCGUCAUGCACCAUGUCUUCAACUUGUGUCGGAACUACAUUUUCAGGCUCGUCCACUUGUUCUUCGCCAUGACGUGUCCAUAUUUCGUACUUGUCCAUAAAUCCGUGAGUUACCAAGUGCUCCUUCACUUUAAAAGCAUCGUCAAAGUCCCAGGCUAUUUCAUUCUUACAGUCAGCACACGGACAAAUUAUCUUCCUCAUAUUGUUCUUCUCAGCGUGAACCUUGGCAAUACCAAUAAAUUUAGCCACUUCGUUUCUAUAUGGAGACAAAAACCUCGGCCAAUGAUACAUCCAUUCCCGACUUUCUAUAUCUCUAAAAAAUACACGUAAAAUAUUUGCACAAUUAAUACCAAAUUUGUAGGGUUUAUUGAAAAAACUUAUAGCUAUUCAAAACUAAUUAACUAAAGGUUAAGUUGUAAAGUAAUAAAAAAUCAUAGUUUAUUUCAAUUUUUUUUACACAGACAUGCCAAAUUAGCACAUUAGGAAAAUCUAACAAAAUCAAUUCAUCGGCAUAUUACAAAAUACUAUAACUAUUUUUUGAUUGCACUGAAUAAAUAGACAUUUAAAAUUUUUUUCUCUCUCUAUACAUGACAAGAGCUAGAUCUAGAUCUAGAACUAGGUGGUGGAUAUGAUAGCAAAAAAUUAAAAAACAAGAAUUUAUGUUACCACAUUAAACCACUACAACAAGAGGCAUCAAGUAUUACACAUACAUCUAACAUAAACAAAUGACAAGAAAUAAAAUUAAAAAACAUGGAGCUCUUCCUUCAAAAUUUUGGAUGCAUAAAUCCAUCACAAAUUAAGGUCUAAAAGCUUAAAAAAAAUGCAUACCUAGUGUGGAAAUGAGUAGAUCUAAGUACCGUAGAAAAAUCCCCCGAAGAUUUGAAGUUCAAAACCUCCCCCCUAUAUUUAAGUCACUUUAGGAGAGAGAAACGUCGGGGAGAAUGAACAGGGCUCGGGGAGGAAGAAGACUAUAUAGGGGCAUCUUUGCAGGCGGGCCAUAUAAGCGUCGCCUGCGAAGAUUGAUCUUUGCAGGCGGGCCAUAUAAGAGUCGCCUGCGAAGAUUUAUCUUUGCAGGCGCACGUCGUCUGCCGCUUGCGAAGAUCGAUUUUCGCAGGCGACGCUUAUAUGGCCCGCCUGCAAAGAUCAAUCUUCGCAGGCGGACCGCCCCCUCCACCCCAGGUACCAUUUUUGCCGGCGGGGUUUUGGCUCCGAAUUACGUGCACGCCUGCGAAAAUUUAUCCCCUACGACGCCGAAAAUGAGAUUUCUAGUAGUGUUGCACCAGCCCUUCCCUUAUUUUAUAAGUAAAGAGUAAAGGAGAUUAAAAAAAUGUCUUAAGCGGGGUAGGUUUGUUCAUUCCUGAAGGAAAAACGAGGCCGGAUUUGUUAGCUUGGAGAGCGAGUUAAUUUAAUGUCUUUCAGAAAUGCAUUUACUUUGAAAUGUUGGUUUUACCAUAUAUAUCCAUUUACGAUCUUAACUAUUGCAAAAUAAACUAUAAACUAUUUGUGAUUUUUUUAACUUGUCAGACAAAGUCUCCAAUCCAUAUAGGUUUGUUGCCAUUCAUGUUUAUAAUAAUAUAUUCAUAAAAAAUAUUUAAAUAAAACAACACAAGUAUAUUUAUUGUAAAUCUAUGAAUGCAAUUAUUCGCAUAGAUUAUAUUAUAUCGCAUAGAUUGUAUAGACCUGUGACUACCAUAUGUUUUUUGACACGUCAUGAAACCAAUCCUACUGUUUGUCAGUUGCUUAUCGGGUGACACAUUUGAUGAAAACAAGCGUAGGAAUAAUAACAAAACUAAAAGAAGAGAGGAACAUCGUUUCUACUCCUUUCAAUUCAGAUUAUAAGUCGUUUUGACUUGGGUCAAAGUUAAAUUGCUUCAAGUUUGACAAGUUUAUAGAAAAAAAGUAGUUACACUUUCAUCACAAGACAAAUAUAUUAUGGAAAUAUAUUUAAUAUAUAUAUAUAUAUAUAUAUAUAUUAAUUGAAACUAAAUUACUGUUGUAAAUAUUACUAUAUUUGUAUACAAACUUAGUCAAAUUUAAACUAGUUUGAUUUUGACCAAAACUAAAACGACUUAUAAUCAGAAACAAAGGGAGUACUCUUAUUUCUUACUAGUAAAAUGGCCGUGCUUUGCUAUGGAUAAAAGAAAAUAUAUUAUAAUAUGUAAUAGAUAUUAAAAAUUAUCGAAUAUAUUAAUGCCACUUGCUUACUUGUUUGAAUAUACAGUAUUUACUUGUUUGAACCAUAUAUUUGGACUAUUCCAUAAUAUAAAAAAACAGGAGCCUAUUUGGAAAACAGUGGGGGUGGCAGAUUCACUACCACCACAUCUAGGGACUUUUAUGUACAACCUUCGUUUUGAAUAUAAGGAUGUGUCUAUGUUGUUUAUCAGGUGUUUGUCGAAUACUUAUAUCAAAAGAUUCAUUUUUAGUCACUUCAGUUGUCAAUUUUUGAAUUUUGAAUUAUUUAGAUAUCAUUUACAAGAAUCUGAUUACCUAUGCAAUCACUGAAAUGAUGGGAAUCAAAGUAAUCAGUGCAUGAAUACUUAUAGUGUGGUACCAAAGAAUGGAGGGAGUGAAUAAGAAAUGCAACAUUCAAAUAUUAUAGAUGUUACUAUUAAUUGUCAGAUCACAAAAAAAUACGGCAGCUUAUUAUAGAGGGCACCUUUAGGCUGCGAUUCGGCCGACAUGGGCGCUCUCCUCAACAAGAAAUUCCCUUUUUCCAUCAUGAAAUUAAAGAACAACGAAGGCUAGCUAGCAAACCAGCAAGAUAUAUUCAGAAGAACAUUGAAGUUCAUCAUUUAUUCACCACAUAUAUAUAAAUAGAUGCUUCCUGACAAAAGAAAGCACUAAUUAUUUAGCAACCCCACAUAGUCACACACACACAGCUAACUAUAGUAGCCUAGUGACCGGUUCUUGGGGUCCUAGGAUACCCAAGCCAGUAGCAGACACCACCAGGCCCAUUGGGGAUGUCCACGUUGCAGAACGCCGGGAGGCUCGCCGCCGCGCGCUCCAAGUCCCCUCUCCGGCAGCCGGGGAACACCUCGGCCAUGGGGUGCCCGGCCUCGGUGGCGCCGAGCUCCCUGUAGAUGCCUGACAGCAUGUGAUCGAGCGCCCCGCACCUGCACCAGCCGUCGUCGACGGCGGCGAGCUGCCGGCAGCAGUCUUGCCAGACUUGCUCGUCCGCGGCGCUGGCCGCGCCACGGCCAACGCAUUGGCGCCUCACCAAUGUUCGACAUUGCGGGAGUGAGUAUGUCGGAUAGCUUAUUCCUGGCCGACAUUGCUCACCGGGGCUGUAGACUUGGUGGUGGUCCGCCAUGGUCGCCAUCGCCGCCGCGAGCACGGAGAGAACGACGAGGAGCAAUACCGAGAACACUACCUUGUUGGAAGCCAUAUUUUGCUUAGUUUGUGAAAAAUCUUAAUUAACUGUGAUAGCUAGGCUCUUCGUCUCUGGGUGGUUUUAUAUAUAGCUAUAAAGACCAAAGUGAUUCAAGAACAGAUAGAAAUUUUUUGGCUGUUCAUGAGCUAUUUAUGGAUUUGCUUGUGGUUCUGUAUGAAACAUCUAUUGUGAUUCACACGCCUAAUCUGGGGCAUCAUAUGGACAACAGAUGGUUAAAGUGGAUUGAUAUGUACUACACUCUUUAAUUAUUUGAAUUUGUUUGAUCCUUACGUGGAAGAAAAUAAAUGCUAUAUGUGGCUAUAGAAAGACUAAUUAAAGUGAUUCAACUUUGAAGAACGGCCACAAAAUUGUUUUAGCUGUUCAUGCGUGGUUAGUAUGCUCUUGGGGUUUUGCAUGACUGGCAUGAGCAAUUUGCUUGUGGUUUUGCAUGAAAUAUUUUUUGUUAUUCACGGCUAAUCUGAGCAUUAUAUAUUUUGACAAAAAGUUGGUUUAAAGUGGAUUGAUAUGGACCACACUCUUUAAUUAUUUGAACUCAUUUUCAUUCUUCCGUGUAAGAAAAGAAAUGCACACACCGUCAACAGACAUAUAGUACUAUGGGUAACAAAAUCUUUUGAUAUUUAUAUUUAUCCAAUUUGUUUAAUGACGAAAAGGAUAGUUCAAAGCAAAUUAUGUUUAUAGCUACCCGUGGCAUGAUUUUGUUGUUAUGUCAUAUCGGAAGUGGUCUUGAAGUAAUAACACCUUGAUGUAAUUUGUAAGAUCAACAAAGUUUCCUUUGUCUUCAAAGAAUGUUUGCUAAUUUGCAAAAGGAAAAAAGAGUAUUGUUAGCUUGGGGAUUGAGCUUAAUGUUUUUCCAUAAAUGUAUUUAUUCUUAAUGUCGGUUUAUCAUAUCGAUGAUGUUAGUUAUUUCAAAGUAAACAAUACUCAUUGGGAAAGACUCUGAGGGAAAAAAUUAUGCGGGAUCUUUGAUGAGGACAUCCCAGCUACACUUGACGUGAACAAGGCUGAUGGUUACGUUAUACAUCACAUGGAGAAAUUUGAAGAUGACGUAAACCAAGUUGAUGGCUUACGUCUUAGUAAGAACGAUCAAACAUAUCAUGGUCCAAUUAUGCACAGCCAUGCUAAGAAAAUACAACUAGAGGUGAACUCACUCUUUGCUCAACUUAACCCAAAUUUUAAUGAGAAUUUUAUACUACCUAAAUAUUCUACCUUUGUCUUGCUAAGGUUUACAUCGGAAGACAUCAUUACUACGCCAAGAAGGAUGGGUUAUGUUGAGGAUGACAAGAGUUACACCGAGCAGGAAUUAGCCCAUGCACUACCAGCAGCUGUCUACGCCAACAAAAAGUUGGUUUACGCUACAAAGGCUCAACAUCCAAGGCUUGUACGACCCAGCCAGUCAAGUUACGGGUUGCAUGGCAUACAUGGUUGGAAAGAGGGGCAUGUCUAGCUUCCAAUGCUUCAAACCCCAUCUCAAUAUCACUUUCCAAUAAAAAGUUAGAGCAUUUUUACUGAGGACUGCGCAGGAGCUGAAGGGCUGUGCGUGAACCCGAGAAAACUUUUUGCAUUCUCAUUUAUGUUAGCCUUGAUCACCAGAACGUGGCUUCUUAUGUUCACACCUACGCUAGGAGGAAUGUUCCUAGUAUAAAUACACUUCUAAUUCAUCCAUUAGACAACUUUUGUUCAAUUGAAAACCUCAUGUAUGAGAGAUUAUUGAAGUCUGCAUAAGUCUUACCCUUUUUGUUCUCGUGAGUUCUUUUGGGCUUGUGAGAAGGAUCCUCUUGUGUCCCCUAGUUCGUGAUUUUGGCCCUCGGGCCUCUUGUGUGGAUUAGUUCUGGAUUGUGGUUCUGUAAUUGCUCGUUUUGACGGGUCAGAGUCCAGGAAACUUCGGAUCAUUCUCACACUCACCACUUGGUCGCAUCCAACCUUGGCAGGUAUAAAGCUAGUUAUCCUCUAGCUACGAGUAGCUAGUUACCCUCUUGUGUACAAUUUAUGCCGGUGCUCUUUUGCUUCAAACCUACUACCGUGAAGAUCGGGUCACCUCUCGCGAUUGCGUUCGCAACAACCUUGGUUAUUCGCUCUUCUAGAAAUACUUCUAUUUACUGUCGGCACGAAUCUUCACGAAAGCAAUAGCUUACAUAGACAUCUUUAAUACUAUAGAGGCAUUGCAAAAAUAUCGCACAAGUGCCUUUUGAAUAAUCUCUAUAAAUGGGGAAACAUUUUAUAGAAUGUCUCCAUUCACAAUGUGAUUUUUCUAGAAGCAUUUUUAUGUGUAUAAGAGAGUGGUAAAUUUUAAAGUGCCAAAAAGAUUGAUUCUCAAACAAAGUAAAUUUGUCUCUAAAAUAAAAAAAGUUCCAAGCAAUUAUUAAAGUGCUUCUAAAAUGUGUCUCUAGGCUAUAGAACUCCUAAGUUUAGAGAUGAUUUCAAAAUCAGCUAUAGAAAAGUGCCCACGUACUUAAAGUUUUUCAUGUGCUUGGAGCAGUCAUCACCUCCUACCUCAGCUCAUGUCCCCAAAUUCUCACCUUCUCUCUUGUCUCAACUCCCCACCUCCCUUCCUUCUCCUUGGCCGGAGGCCCAAUCUCCGUCCAGAGUGCAAUCCAUGUGCAGGGGCAGCGAGCUACCCCAACUUUUCCUACUCUCUCCCACUACCUAACUCUCCUUCCAUCUAAGCUGAAGUCCCAAUGUUUGGCCAGAUGCGUAGUGACGGUGCCAACGUCAACUCAUCCAACCAUGGGGACGGCCGUCAAAUUUGUUAAGGUUUAUUUUGGUUACAAUCUGAAAAACCGUGAAGUAUUUUGGGAUUGGUGAAAAACCGAGGUCAUGCAUAAUUUCUUCCACAUACUUUAGGAAAAUAUAUCGUAAUAAGAAUUUCUAAAAGCAUUACAUAAAAAAAAACUUCCAAGAACAAAACUAAAGAAGAGAGGAACAUCCAUUCCACUUUUUUAUUUCUUAUUAGUACUAUCACAUACAUAAGAGGAGAAAAUUAUAGAUGCUACAAUUAAUUGUUGGCGAUCUCACCACCAAAUUAAAAUAGUGCAGAUUAUUAAAGAGGGCACUUUUAGGCUGCGUUCGAGCGCAGGAGAAAGAGAGAAAUAUUGUUUCGUUUUUCGCGCGCACGCUUCCCGAACUACUAAACGGUAUGUUUUUUUCAAAAAAUUUCUAUAGGAAAGUUGCUUUAAAAAAUUAUAUUAAUCCAUUUUUGAAGUUUAAAAUAGUUAAUACUUUAUUAAUUAUGUGCUAAUGGCUCACCUCGUUUUGCGUAUCUUCCCAAUCUCCUCAAUCCCCUCCUUCUCAAACACACCCUUAGUUUGCAAAAUCCGCACUCCGUCAGCAUGGAUGCCAUGCCUGCCAUCCUCUGGCCGACGCAGCCCAGCAGCGGUGCUAUUCGGUCGACAUGAGCACCAUGAAAUUCUUUUUUUUCACAAAAUGAAAUUAAAUAACAACGAAAUAUUGCUACCCAAUUGGCAAGAUGUAUUCAGAAGAACAUUGAAGUUCAUCAUUUAUUCACCAUAUGUAUAUAUGCUUCCUGACAAAUGAAAGCACUAGUUAUUUAGCAACCCCACAGAGUCAUACACACAGCUAGCUUUAGUAGCCUAGUGACCAGUUCUCGGGGUCCUAGGAUAACCUAGCCAGUAGCAGACACCACCUGUCCCAUUGGGGAUGUCCACGUUGCAGAACGCCGGGAGGCUCGCCGCCGCGCGCUCCAAGUCCCCUCUCCGGCAGCCGGGGAACACCUCGGCCAUGGGGUGCCCAACAUCGGUGGCGCCGAGCUCCCUGUAGAUGCCUCCAACCAUGUGGUUGAGCGCCGAGCACCUGCACCAGCUGUCGUCGACCGCGGCGAGCUGCCGGCAGCAGUCCUGCCGGAGUUGCUCGUCCACGGCGCCGCCGGGUGCGCCGUGGCCCACGCACUGGCGCUUCACCACCGCCCGGCAGCGUGGCAGCGAGUACAUCGGGUAGCCCAUUCCUGGCUGACAACGCUCGCCGAGGCUGUACACCACCUGGUCUUUGUGGUGGUCCGCCAUGGUCGCCGUCGCGGCGAGCACGGAGACGAUGAUGAGGAGCAACGCCGAGAACACUACCUUGUUGGAAGCCAUGGCUUUUUGUUUGCAGAAAAUCUUUAGUCUGAAUUUGUAUGAGAGGGAUAGGUUUAAGGUCUUCAUCUAUUGGUGGUUUUAUAUAUAGCUAUAAAGACUAAAGUGAUUUAAGAAGGGACAUAAAAGUUUUAGCUGUUCAUGAGCUAAUAGAUUAACUUGUGGUUUUGUAUACAUAUAAAAUAUUAAUUGUGAUCCACGCCUAAUGUGGGCAUCAUAUGGACUAAAGUUGGUAAAAGUGGAUUGAUAUGCACCACACUCUUUAUUAAUUUGAACCUUCCGUGGAAGAAAAUUAAAGAAAUGCACAUAAUGUCAACAGACAUAUAUAGUUUUGCAUGCAAGGUAACAAAAUCAGUUCAUCUUUAUUUCCAUGGCUUGUAUAGUGAUCCAAAUUGUGGAACAAUAAAAAGAAUAGUUCUGAACAAAUACUUUAAAAAGAAUGCUCUGGAAGCUGCAGUAACGAAAGCUGCAUCACUAGAUUUCAGAAAAUUAAGAAAUUAACGUGCCUGAUGAAGCAUAUAAGUAUUGGAGUUUUCUGAAACACAAAUAUCAUAUAUAUAGAUAGCUUUACGCGCACGUUGGAUAACAGGGUUAUAUUAACAAGGCACGGCAUUAUAUAUGGCCAGGAGAAGUACGCACGCAUAAUCACUUUGUUUAAAAAUUAAUGAUACAAAUUAAAUGUUAGGAAUAUUUUGUGCUAUAACUUUGUCGACUUGUAAUAAAGUAAAAAAUACGUGAGGUUAAAAUAUAGGUAUUAUGUGAGGUGGAAGGAAGAGGUUUUUUAUUUCGUGACAAAGGAAAAAGAAACAAGCUAGAGGGUUGUUAGCAUGGGGUGUGAGUUUAAUGUCCUUCAAAAUCUAUAUUUAUUUGGAAUUGUUGGUUUGACCAUAUGAAUGACCUUAGUUUUUGCAAAAUAUACUAUACUCCUUGUGUUCCUUUUUAUUUGUACAAUCACGACAUAGUCUCUCUCGCCAAUUCAUUAAUUUUUAUCAUUCCUAUUGAUAAUCAUAUAUUCAUAAUAAACAGUUCAAUAUAACUACAGUUAUAGUCUUUUUUUUAUGAUAAAUCAAUGAGUGCCAUCUUUGAAUAUUAAAUCAUAUUAUAUUUUUGCAUCUAUAAGUGAUUAAAAAAAUAAUCAAGAUUUCAUUGCCUCCUAUACAUCCAAAACAGCAUCUAUUUGUGAACGGAAGCAACACUUUAAUGGCUUAACAAGUGAUCUUAUUUGUGCAGUCAGCGAUAUACUCUAUCUGUACUCUAUCUCAACAAAGGAGUAUAUGAGAACCCUUUUGUUGUGUAUGACAUGUAGGGGUGAAAACAGUACGGAAUUUUUCCGGAUUCCGGUCAUGUUUUCGGAAACGGAAUCGGCCGGUCGGAAUUUUUUCGGAAUUUCUCGGAAUCGGAAUCGAAAACGGAAAUAUUUUCUCGGAAACGGAAUCGAAUAUGAUAAUAGCAGUUUCCGUCGGAACCCGGAAACGAUCGGAAACAUUCCGGAAAAAUUGUCGGAAUUUCCGAAGUUAAAAAUACCAUAGAUUCAAUAGUCCAUAAUUCAUCCCUAGCUUCCCAGCCCAACCCAAAUCGCGGCGGCAUCUACCCUAACCGGCUAACCCUAUAGGAGAGAGACCGUCAGACUCAGAACUCAGACGCGACUCGCGAGUUGGAGGCGGAGCGGCGGCUGCGGCAUCCAGAUCGCGGCAUCGCGGCGCCGGCGUGCCCUCACGCCCACCGCCCGUGGCGCCGGCGCCCCACCGCCCACUGCUGGUCGCCUGGCCGGCUGGCCCCCGCCGUCCUCGCUCCCACCAUCUCGCGCCGCCCUUGCUCUUCGUCGUUUCGCCGCCGGCCGCCGCCACCAUCUCGCACCUCCGCCGGCCUGCUCGGUCCCCGCCAUCUCAAGGCGCCGUCCCACCGCGUCUCGCCGUUUCACCGUCGCCACCACCGCCGCCGACGACGGAACAACCACCACACCGACGAGGCGACGACGACACCACCACUGCAGUCUCUUCCUCACCGCCACCAACGCCGACGGCUCCUCGCCUCGCAGCAGCCAGCAGCCCAGCGGCAGCAUCUGAGCAACCAGCAGCAGCAGGUGUAUAUAGUGAUUGACUUUGCACUUUUACUAAUGCUCUAUCAUUUUUUUUGAAGGCUAAUGGAACGGAACAAGAGACAGAGACAGUAGAAGCGGAAUGUUCUAAUGAGGAUGGCAUUGCGCCAAUGGAUGUUUGAAGAAAAUGUUGGUCAAUUUAAUUUUCAAGUUACAUCUAAUUUCAAGUUUCCAUUUCAAAUUAGUGUACUCCUGCUGCACAAGUGGAUGAGAUAUGUUUGAACCAUGUACUGAUGUGUUUUGUGAUUGAACUAUGUUUUGUGAUGAACUAUGUAUUUAUAGGGUGAUGUGUUUUGUGAUUGAACUAAGUACUGAAACACUGAUGGACUGAUGUGCGUUGCUGUUCUGUGAUGAUUGAUGAACUAUUGCUGUUCUGUGAUGAUUGAUGUUGUGACCUUAGGUCACGAACAAGAUCGGGGAUAGGCCGGAAAGAAGUGUUUUCCCGCCUAUCCUUAGAAACGAGCUCGAACAGCAAACACAACUUUUGAGGAUUACUUUUGUAUUCAAGAUGUUUUGUCCUGCUACAGGUUUUUGACUGGCUUUUAUAACCAGUGGUCGUACACGUGAGAUUACAUUUUUACCCCUGUGGGUCUUUGUAAGUUUACUCUAAUGCCCCUGCCACAUCAGCGUCUGUGGGGGCAUUCUAGUACAUCUCCAGGGGUCUUUUAGUCUUUUAGGUGCUAGCUGGCGAGAGUGGUUGAAGGUGGUCCCCACGGAAUCUUCCCUUGGCAUCUUCUCUUGUUCGAGUAGUGCUCUUCCUCGAACUCUUGGGAAAAAUGCCUUUUCCGUCCUGGACCGUCUUCUUCCUCCCGGGAAUUCGAAUUCCCCUUUGCCUUCUCUUUCAUCCUUGGAAAACACCUGUGAAAUUGUAACUUGUCCAAAAUAUGUGUAGUUGUAUUAGCGAUUAUGGAAUGUCCCUAAAAAGGUGUUCUUCACCCGAAGAGGUAUUUUCUAUUCGAAUGAGUGUUCUUCCUCUGGGAAGGUAUUUUCCCUUUGGGAAGGUGUUCUUCCUCUUGGAAAGGUAGUUUCCACUCAAAAUGAGUGUUUUCCCUUCUGGAUACUUAGGUCUUGCAAAACCUCGUAGUGUUUUGACCGAAUUGGAGGAAAAGGUGUUUGCACCCUGCUACAACAAGCCCCUCACGGGUAAGGGCGAUGUGUGUUUUCGGCCGAAACCGUGCCUGAGUUUAUGGAAAAAGGGGGAAAACCGCCGUCCUCCUAUUCGGUCGAAACACACUAUUCAAAUAUGCAUAUACGCCACGUUUACUAUUCAUUUAUUUUUAUUCUUAUUAUUUUUCAUUUUUAUUUAUUUAUUUAUUGUGUUUUUUUUUGAAUGCCACGUGCCGGUAUUUCAUUGGUGCGCUCAAGGGGUCGCGUCGCUUCGGGUUUCGUGUCCGCUCGUAAACCCGCGACCCUUACCACCCUGCGCUAUAUAAGGCCAGGAGGGGUCGCUAUCACGUGACCCACGCCACCACUCGUUUGCUCUGCCAUCAACUCGAAAUCACAAAAUACUCGAACUAAAUCUCUUUCUUCCUUCUUCCAUUCGAGUUUUGGUGCUUUGCUUGAUUUCUUCCUUUCUCACUACACAACAUGGGGAAAAACAAGAAAACUGCGGAAAAGUCGAAGUCCAAGAAAUCAAAAAGCCACGAAGAUACUUCUUGUGGUAUUGGUGCCUCUUCGAUUAAGGAAAAAAACUUAAACGAUCUUGUUGAUGUUGGUUGGAUAUCUGGUCGAAACGUUGUAAUUCGACCAGUGGGAGAAUCAAGGCCUUCUCCCAAGCUGGGAUACACUCUUGUGUUUGAGGAUUUCUUCUACGCCGGGUUUAAAUUCCCAUGCAGCACUUUUUUGGUUGAGGUCCUGAAAUUGUUCAGACUUGAGUUUCCUCAAUUGACUCCAAAUGCUUUAGUUCGAAUUGGGCUUUUCGAAUGGAUGAUUCGAAGCUGCGGUGGGACCCCUCGAGCUGAAGACUUUGCAUACUUCCAUUGUACUCGGCACUACACCAAACAGAACUCGAAGUUUGGGUGUGUAAACUUUGCUCCUCAUCCCAAGCGCGGAAGUCCAUGGCCAGCUGUGUCUGCUAUUCGAGCAAAAUGGGGGAACAAGUGGCAAUCGAAGUGGUUUUAUCAUCAAAUCCCUCUCAGCCUGCUGAAUGAUAAGGAUUGUCCUUUUUCGUUCUCUGGGAAGAAACCGAAAACUGUCUCCGAGCCAUCAGUCUCUUUGUCGCCGGAGUUCACUGCCAUACAACCUCGAAUCGAAGAACUUGUUUCGAAAUUUAGCUGCCGAGACCUGGUGGAAGAGUUUGUUCUUCUCAAAAUUAGACCUCUUUCGAGCGGCUGGGAUAUCACUCUCGGAGAAAUCCCCGAAAAUUGCCCUUCCAGUCUUCCUCCAUUUGUGGUUUCGUCUGAUCGUAAGUUUCCUUUUCGAACUGCAAACCUUGUUUGUCUUGAAAAAGUGAUUUAGUUAAGAAGAUUUAUUUUCUCCCUUUGUUAUCUUCUUCCUUGUAGUUGUGAUUCCAGAGGAUAUGGUCCGCCCAGUUCGAAAAUUUCUUGGCCCUUAUACCAAGGAUGAGCAUUUGAAAUUUUUGACACUUCAAAAUGAGAAAAGGCAAAAUCGGGUCUUCGCCUCUCUAGGCUCCGAUAUCCCUGUCCGCGUUCAUCCUGAAAUUGUCCCCAAACUAAAGAAAAAGAAAUCUGUGAAGCCCUCUUCCUCUGAUGAUGAUGAUGAUGUUGAAGUGGAAGAUAUUGACGAAGAAAUUGGGGAAGAAAAUGCUGAAGAAGAAGAAGGCGAGGAAGGAGCUGAUGAAGAAGAGAACGACUCGGGUGAUGAUAGCGACUCGAGUAGCAGUUCGAGCGACAACUCGAGCGACUUGUCUGAAUCUGGUGAUAGCAAAACAGUUCCUCCUCCUACUGUUUUAGCUGAUUUGAAAAGGAAGAAAACUGCCAGCAGUCCUCCUCCUGAACCGAGUUCUAAACGAGUGCAACUUGUUAUUGACAGUGAUGAAGAGUUGGAUGAAGAUGAUAUCCGUAUUGAUCUUUCUGCUAUCCAUGUCACCCCAAUUCGAGCUGAUGCUAGUUUUGCCCUUUCGGCAAAAGAAGUAGCUUCACUGUAUGUUGUUGCCCCAACCACCACGGUUGUCGAGAAAGAUUGCUCGACCCAAGUGGGUGAUACUGUUGAGACAACAAACCCUCUUCGAGCUGAUCGAGACUUGGUUGCAAAAAAGGCAAAAACGCCCGUCAGUGCAGCCGAAAAGUCCGAAGCAGGGAAGAGUGCUGCUGAUGGAGGUGUUCGAACUACAGGUAGUUCGAACCCAACUCCACCUCCGUCACCGCCGUUCAUCGCAACCCCUUCCCCAGAGCUGAUACAAAACGUUCUUGGUGGUUUUAGCGAACGAUGCGCAAAAGAUGGACAUUGGCUUAUGGGUCUUCCUAAUUUCAACGAACUCGGGGAAAGUAGCCAUCAUGGCCCAAACCUGUGUUUGAAUGACCUAAAGUAUCGCCACCCCCUGAGUUCGAUUGGUGAUGAACUCGAGAAAGUUCUGAUUACUCCUGAUCUUGAAAAGGAGUUUUUGGAAGAAAAUGAUCUUAUGUCCUCUUGGACAGCACUUGAUGUAUCUGCUGCACAGGUAUUUUUAUUUAUCUAUUUAUUUAUUUAUUUAUUUAUUUAUUAUUAUUUUCUUUUUAACUUAAAACCUAUUUUCUGAUGCGCAGACUGCGAGCCUUGCUCGUCUUCAACGUGGUGUUGCUCGGAAAGCUCUUCGAGCUCUUUGCACGCAACGGAAGAAAUCACUUGAUCGCAUCGCUAAACUCGAAAAGGAUCGGGAUUAUCUUCGCUGCAAACUUGAUCGAAUGGCCGACGAGAAGAAAAUCACCACCGAUCUCGUGCGCAAGUUAAGCGGCGAAAAGAAAGAGCUUUCCGAAGAAAAGAAGUUGCUUACUGAGGAAAAGAAGAAAUUACUCGCUCAUGUAAAAGCAUUCGAGCGAAAAAUCAUCGAGUAUCAAGACGUCGCACGACAACGCGCUGAAUCAGAAGACAAGAUGAAGGAGCAAGUUGAGGUCUUGGAGAAGAAGAAUAAAGAACUCGAACUCGCCUGCAAAAAUCAAAGCGAGAAGAUAUCUGCUUUAGAGCUCGAGAGCGAAAGUUGCCGCCAACUUCUUCUGAAAAGUUGCGAGACCGUUCGAAUCACGUUGCGAAGUCUAGGGGCUGACAUCAGCUUGCUAUCGGAAGAAAAUACCUUAGCAGCUGUGGGAAAAUGGUUCGAGGAAUUUUCCAUUGGGCUAAAAGAUAGCGUUACUCCCUUUGCAUCUCGCUGCUCGAAGACUGCUGUGGAGAGCCUUUCGGCCUGUCUGCUUUCAAAUGGGUGUGAACACUUUACCACCCUUAAAACUGAUAUACAAGGUAUACUUAAUGAUGAGGCCAAAUUUGCACAGCUUCGAGAUGCAGCUCAACCCGUCGUAAAGGCUUUCCAAGUGCUUUACUGGAAGAAGAAAGGAUAUGAAGAUACCCUGAGGUCUCUCCGAGCAUCUCUUGCCUCGAGAUCAAAGUCACAACCGGCCAGUUCGAGCCAACAAGAUAAAGACAGUAGUACUCCGAGCUCGAGCGCACAGGUGUGACGUUCGUGAAAAGAAUAGUUAAGGAUGCUUCGUAUGUUCGAAAACAAUGCUAUUUUGCUGCUUCAAAACCGUUAUGGUUGAGAGCCUUUAUUGUAAAAAUUCAUCUCUUAUUGCAUGCUUUUCACGGAAAUUCCCUUUCUUUGGGGGGGCUGCAUGUUAACUCGAAUCGAAAACUUGUGAUUCGACGCAACAACACUUUGCCUACUCGAAAUGUGAAGCACUUAGCAUUUCGAGACCCUGCAAAGCUUUCUUCUACCAGGACCGCCGUCUCCGAUGACGAACUCGAAGCCUGUUAUGAUAAUACUUGUAUAUUUGCUUUUAAGUUUUUCCGAUGGCAACGAAGCCAUCGACAUGACAGUUUACGUGACUUUGUACUUGAGUUUAGGGAACGGCGUUCGAACAAUACUCUUGCUAGUAAAGCCUUUUGGCAAAACUUCCAACCAUCCGAACGCCAACGUAGAAUAUGGAAAAGGCGUUAUUCAAUAGUUCCAUAUACAGUAAUGCCUUCUCCUCUCAACAUUGUUUAUCCCGACUCUUUUCUUUCUUCUUUGUAGAGUUUGUAUGUAACUUGUUAUACCUUCUUAACAUCAAAUAAACCCUUCCUUUCUUCUUUUCUUUAUAAAUGCUCUUUAUUUCAAUUGUUCAAGCACCCUUAGGUAAACUACGUCCUCCUUAUCUUUGGAAGAAGUUACGAAAUCGAAACGUACUUUAUCUCGUCACGUGCAUUUUCCGCCUUUUGAGCUCGAGCGAGGGGAAAAUAGAGUUCGAGCAUUCUUUAGUUGGUUUUUUGGACUAAGGCAAAAUAGUUCGAAAACCGCCGUCCUCCUCACCUUUCGAAGGAGUGACGAGGUCGAAACGUAUUUUAUCUCGUCACGCGGAUUUUCCGCUUUUUGAGCUCGAACGAGAAUAGAGUUCGAGCAUUCCUGAGCUGGUUUUUAGGACUAAGGCAAAAUAGUUCGAAAACCGCCGUCCUCCUCACCUUUCGAAGGAGUGACGAGGUCGAAACGUAUUUUACCUCGUCACGCGGAUUUUCUGCUUUUUGAGCUCGAACGAGAAUAGAGUUCGAGCAUUCCUGAGCUGGUUUUUAGGACUAAGGCAAAAUAGUUCGAAAACCGCCGUCCUCCUCACCUUUCGAAGGAGUGACGAGGUCGAAACGUAUUUUAUCUCGUCACGCGGAUUUUCCGCUUUUUGAGCUCGAACGAGAAUAGAGUUCGAGCAUUCCUGAGCUGGUUUUUAGGACUAAGGCAAAAUAGUUCGAAAACCGCCGUCCUCCUCACCUUUCGAAGGAGUGACGAGGUCGAAAUUUGCUAGUCGAAAGUAUUCGACUCCUAGCGUGAGGAGUUAUAUUUUGUCGACUUUGCUAGUCGAGAGUAUUUGACUCCGAGCGUGCGGAGUUCUAUUUUGUCGACUUUGUUAGUCGAAUGUAUUUGACUCCGAGCGUGCGGAGUUCUAUUAGACUUUGUUAGUCGAGAGUAUUUGACUCCGAGCGUGCGGAGUUCUAUUUUGUCGACUUUGUUAGUCGAGAGUAUUUGACUCCGAGCGUGCGGAGUUCUAUUUUGUCGACUUUGUUAGUCGAGAGUAUUUGACUCCGAGCGUGAGGAGUUCUAUUUUGUCGACUUUGUUAGUCGAAUGUAUUUGACUCCGAGCGUGCGGAGUUCUAUUUUGUCGACUUUGUUAGUCGAGAGUAUUUGACUCCGAGCGUGCGGAGUUCUAUUUUGUCGACUUUGUUAGUCGAGAGUAUUUGACUCCGAGCGUGCGGAGUUCUAUUUUGUCGACUUUGUUAGUCGAAUGUAUUUGACUCCGAGCGUGCGGAGUUCUAUUUUGUCGACUUUGGUAGUCGAAUGUAUUUGACUCCGAGCGUGCGGAGUUCUAUUUUGUCGACUUUGCUAGUCGAGAGUAUUCGACUCCGAGCGUGCGGAGUUCUAUUUUGUCGACUUUGUUAGUCGAAUGUAUUUGACUCCGAGCGUGCGGAGUUCUAUUUUGUCGACUUUGUUAGUCGAGAGUAUUUGACUCCGAGCGUGCGGAGUUCUAUUGCAAUCAUACACAGAGGCAUGUUUUUUAUACAGGUUCGGGCCUCCAUUAUGGAUAAAAACCCUACGUCCUGUUUAUAUACAUUAACUUGGAUAUCAUUCGUAUUUACAUCUGAGUGAGUAUACUACAAACUCGAGCUCCCGUGUUCUCCUUUUUCUCUUUCUCUCUCUCUCUCCUUUUUUUUUAGGCAUAAAAUUUCUUUAAAGAAAUAGCAUUCCAAGUAUGCUUUAACUCAUCACCAUCAAGAUAUGCUAACUUGAAUGCUCCCGUUUCUGUCUUCUUUUUGACUAUGAAUGGUCCUUCCCACUUUGACUCGAGUUUUCCAACAGCUACCUCAUUGAGCACUUUCUUCAAGACUAAAUCUCCUUCUUCAAUCGGCCUUGUCUUUACUUUUUGGUUGUAAUAGCUCUUUGUUCCUUCUGUGUAUGAUGCCAUCUUCUCCAAAGCUUCAACCCUUAUUUCAUCUAGCAUUUCAAGAGUUAUGUCUCUUCCUUCUUCAUCUUUUUGGUCAAAUAUCAUUCUUGGAGAAUGUGCCCCUACUUCGCUUGGAGUCAUUGCUUCAUCGCCAUAAACCAAUCUGAAAGGGGUCAUGCCAGUCGACCUUACUACCGUAGUUCUUAGUGCCCAAAGCACUGAUAGCAAAUCCUCCGGCCAUUUUCCUUUUGCUGAUCCUUCUAACCUCUUCUUGAUAGCUUCCAUGAUUUUACCAUUUGCCCUUUCCACAGCUCCAUUUGUCUGAGGAUGGCCUAUAGAGGCAAAGUUGAUUUGCAAAUUAAGGCCUUUACACAUGUCUUGAAAUUUUCCAGAUUCGAAUUGCUUUCCAUUGUCACAUACUAUUUCCCUUGGGAUUCCAAAUCGACAUAUUAUGUUCUUCCAAACAAACUUUUGUAGUGCUGCAGAAGUUAUUCUUGCCACUGCUUCUGCCUCAAUCCAUCUUGAAAAGUAUUCAAUUGCAACAAUGAUAAAGCGCAAAUCUCCCUUCGCUCUUGGAAGAGGACCUACUAUAUCUAUUCCCCAUCUGUAAAAAGGCCAGACUGGCGGAAUUGGUUGCAGUUCUUUGGGUGGUGCUUUUGUCAUUGGGCCGAACUUCUGACAUGCUUUGCACGUCUUGAUGUAUUUCUCUGUAUCUUUCAUAAUUGUUGGCCAAUAGAUUCCUUGUCUUAUGACUUUUGAAGCCACUGACCGUGGUGCUUGAUGAGCUCCACACAAGCCUUCAUGUAUUUCUACCACCAUCUUCAUGCCUUCUUCCCUUGUUACACACUUUAACAAAGGAGCAGUAACUCCACUUUUAUACAACUGUCCCUCUACCACCUUGUAUUUUUUGGAUGUUAGUUGUAUUCUCUUUGCUUCUUCUUCCUUUUCUGGAAGUUGUGCACUGGCAAGGUAUUUCAAGAUCGGUUCUCUCCAAUCUCCUUCUCUCUGUAUGCAUGCUACUUCUUUCUUUUCGUAACUUGGCUGGGUGAUUAUAUCGAAAAAUGAAUUUUCCAAUGGUUGACCUGUUGCGGCUGCCUUAGCUAGCUCAUCAGCUUCUCCAUUUUCUUCCCUUGUUAUGGCUUUUACCGUUAUUCCCAAGAAAUGUUUCUCAUUCAGCCUUGCUUCUUCCAGAUAUUUAGCCAUAGUUUCCUCCUUUGCUUCAAAGGAUUUGGAAAAGUGACCUGCUACCAACUUUGAGUCAGUUUUGACUAUUAACCGCCGAGCCCCUAGCGCUCUUGCCUUUCUCAUAGCCAAUAAAACGCCUUCAUACUCUGCUGUGUUGUUUGUUGAAGGAAAAGCUAAUUGAACAGAAUACUUCAACGUUUGCUUCAUUGGUGUUUUCACAACUGCAGCGGCUCCUGCUCCGGCGGCAUUGCAUGCUCCAUCAGAGAAUACUAUCCAUGGUUUUUCGACUUCUUCCUGUUGUUCUACCUCAUUGGGAGUCCAUUCUGCCACAAAAUCUGCUAGUACUUGUGACUUUAUGGCUGUUCUUGAUAUGUAUUUCAGGUCAAAAGGUAAGAGUUCCAUUGCCCAUUUUGCUAUUCUCCCCGCGACUUCCUUGUUUGUUAACACUUCUCCUAUCGGGUAUGCCGAUGGUAUUGUUAUGUCAUGCGACAGAAAAUAAUGCCUCAACUUUCUUGAAGCCAUCACAAUUGCAUAAAUCAACUUUUCUACUUCUGAGUAUCGUGUUGUUGGUCCUUGUAAUGCUUCUGAGACAAAGUAUACCGGCACUUGCCUAUUUUCUUCUUCUUGUACCAAAACUGCGCUAACUGUCGCUGGAGUUGCUGCCACAUACAUUAACAGAGGUUGACCUUUUGGCGGACUUGCUAAUGUUGGCAUUUCAUGCAAGUAUUUCUUCAAGUCCUCGAAAGCUUGUUGGCAUUCAGCAGUCCACUCGAAGGUGUUUGCCCCCCUCAAAGUCUUGAAGAAGGGUAAUCCCUUUUCUGCUGAUUUAGAUAAAAAUCUACUCAAAGAUGCCAUUCGGCCUGUCAAUCUCUGCACUUCUCUUGUGUUUUUUGGCGGCUCCAUUUGAUGGAUUGCUGCGAUUUUGUCAGGAUUUGCCUCUAUUCCUCUUUUGGACACCAAGAAACCAAGUAACUUUCCUGCUCUAACGCCAAAAACACACUUUUCUGGAUUAAGCUUAACUGAGCAUUUUCUCAGGUUUUCAAAUGUUUCUUGCAAAUCUUUGCCAUGGGUAAAUGCUUGUUUACUCUUUACCACAAUGUCAUCUACGUAUGCCUCGACAUUCCGUCCUAACUGCUUAGCCAAGACUUUUCCUAUCAGCCUGGCAAAAGUCGCUCCUGCAUUCUUCAAACCAAAUGGCAUUCUGAUAAAACAAUAAGUUCCAAAUGGUGUUAUAAAUGAUGUCUUUUCCUCAUCCUCCUUCACCAUAAAAACUUGGUGAUAGCCAGAGUAUGCGUCUAAGAAACUCAUUAGUUCGCAUCCAGCUGUGGCAUCUACCAACUGAUCUAUCCGUGGCAAAGGAAAAUCAUCUUUUGGGCAUGCCUUGUUGAGGUCUGUAAAGUCAAUGCACAUUCUCCACUUGCCAUUUGCCUUCUUUACUAACACUGGAUUUGCCAGCCAUUCUGGGUGCAUCACUUCUCUUAUGACUUUCGCCUUCAACAACUUUUCAAGUUCAAUUUUUGCAGCUUGUUGUCUGUCUAUAGACAUUCUUCUCAAUUUUUGUUUUUUGGGCUUGUAUCCUGACUUAAUCGCUAGGUUGUGCUCAAUUAGACUUCUAUCAACUCCCUGCAACUCAUCUGGUGACCAUGCAAAUACAGCCAUGUUUUCUUUUACUACCUUUAAGAUUUCUUCCUCAACAUGUUUUUCCAAGUUUUCUCCUAUCAGAAUGAACUUUCCAGGGUCAUGUUCAUCCAACUGUACUUUCUUUGUUUUCCCUUCAGGAAUUGGCUUUUGUAUUUUUAUGUAUUCUCCCUGUUUUUGGUCAACCACAUGUACUCCUUUCACACUUGGUGUUCCUUAAAGCUCAUACUUUCUUCCUGCAAGCUGUUCUCCUCGGACCGUUAUUACUCCCCUUGGUCCUGGGAGCUUCAUACAUAUGUAGUUGUGGUGUAUUAUGGCCUCAAAAAUAUUGAUUGUUGACCUUCCAAGAAUUGCAUUGUACUGAUAUGGCAUAUCGACCACAUCAAAUACUAUCUCUUCUUUUCUCACAUUAGUGCCUUUUCCAAAGACCACUUGUAAAGAUAUUUUUCCAAUUGCAUGUACUUGUUGUCCACCAAAACCUUGUAAAGGUACUCAUGCAUUUGUUAACCUAUCUUCUGGUAUUUGCAUUUUCUUGAAAGCAUCAUAAAACAACACAUCCGCUGAACUUCCUCCAUCGAUUAACACUCUUUGCACUUCGCAUUGUGCUAUUUCCACUGAGACCACUAAAGGAUCUUGAUGAGGGAAAAGUAUUCCUUCUGCAUCUUCAGGCCCAAAGGAAAUUACCGUUUUUGAGUAUACUGGUGGAUUUGACUGAUAGCUUGUCCCGACAUGAUUUACCUGUCUGACAUAUGCUUUUCUUUGCCUUUUUGACUCAAUUCCUAACGAAGAGCCCCCAGUUAUGGCAUUUAUCACUCUCUUUGGCACUUCUUCAAUUGCCUCUAUCUUCAUAACUUGCGGUGCUUCUAUGGCGUUUUGUCCUCGUUGAUCACGAGCUCCUUCAUACUUGUUCUCAUAUCGAUUUACGUGUUUUUCCAACAAGUGAGUCAUUUGCCUGCAUUCUUCUGUGGAAUGACCUCCUGGACCAUGUAUAUGACAAAACUUACUGUAACAUUCUUCUGUGGAAUGACCUCCUGGUCCAUGUGUUUGACAAAAUUUGGUUUGGUCAGGUUUAUUUUCUCUUCCUUUUCCUCUUUCAUUGUUCCACCAUCGUCCUCUACCUCUGCCUGAAUUCCACCAUUGUCCUCGACCUUUUCCAGAUUGCCCCCAAUUGUUUCUCCCUCUGCGAGUGUUGUCCCAUUGAUGUUUUCCUUUUUCUCUUUCAUUGUUGGAUCCAUCUCCGAUAAAAUUUACCUGUUUCUUCUGAUCUUGUUUAUAGUCAUACUUGAACCUUUUCCAGGGCUUUCCGGUAUAGACGGCUUCUUCCUCUUGCACUCUCAACUCAUCUUCUUCUCCUCUUGCAAAACUUUCCAUUCUUUCAAACAAGUCUUUUGCUGUCUUUGGUCUAUUUCUAGCAAGAUCGAAACGAAGAGGACCGGGUAGCAAUGCCCUUUUUGCUGCCGCUAUGAGCAUUUCGUCAUCUACAUGCCUGAUCUGACAUCUUACCCUUGAAAACUUCACGAUGAAACUUCUCAAUGUUUCCCCUGGAAGCUGCUUCAUGGCAUACAAGUCAUCUGCCUCUUUUGGUUCUUCAUACGCCCCAAUGAAUCCUGCUCGAAAGGUGUCUCUCAUAUGUUCCCAUGAAUAGAUUGUCAUUGGUGGAAUGGUAGUGUACCAUGAUAAUGUACUCCUUCUAGCAUUGUUGGGAGUAUCUUAGCUUUCGUGGUAUCAUCUCCACCUGCUGCUUCAACUGCUGUCUCAUAUACUCUGAGGUAUUCAUUGGGAUCUGUGUCUCCUUUGUACUUUGUGAUGUUGGACAACUUGAAGUUUAUUGGCCAAGGUGCCAUUUGCAGGUUUUGACUUAAGGGAUUCUUUGUAUCUAUUGCUCUGGUCGGUUGAAAAUAGGGUUGUGUGGGCUGGAAUUGAAAGGCCUGGUUCGGUAUUUGACCUGCAUAUUGUAUAUGGUUGGCCAUUUGUGGGAUGUACCCUUGUUCAAGCAUCAUCUCUGGUUGUUGCAUAUGGAAAGGGGAAAAACCUUGGGGGACUUGGUGAUGGUUUUGAGCUGCUUGAGUGUUUGUUGAUUGCGUAUGUGUGAAGUUGGGCAAAGAUGUUUGAAUCUGUGGUAUUUGGGUUUGUGGAACUUGUAUUUGUGGUAUAUCAUUUUGUGGGAGUUGUGUUCGUGGGAUAUUACUUUGUAGGAUAUGAGGUUGGGGGAUUUGGAUUUGAUUGGGAAGAACUGGGUGGGUUUGAUGUAAUUGUGUUUGAGGAUAUUGUACUUGGUUAGGAAUUUGAGUUUGAAUUGGAAUAUGCGGCUGGAAAGAAAUGUGCGUUUGAAUGGGAAUUUGGUUUUGGCUAGGGAUCAAGGUUCGAGCUAGGUUCUGAGUAGGAAUGGUAAUUUGAGCUUGAGGUGUAUUCUGGGUAAGAAUGGGAAUUUGAGCCUGAGAUGGGUUUUGUACUUGACUGGGAGCUUGGGUUCGUGGUAGAUCUUGAGCUUGGGUGGCUUUGGUACUUUCUCCUUCUUUGUUCUCCCCCUGGGCAUCUCCUUUUGCCUGAUCUGAUUGCUUUUCCCUAGCCCCUGGUAUUGCACACUGAUCACUUGAUCCUCCUGCUCCUACUGUCUGAUUGUGUAGGGUUUGCAAUCUUUGUAACUCUUUUUGCAAUUCCUCAUAUUGUCCUUUACUCACCAUGACAGCCCCUUGCGCUUGGACCAAUUCAGCCAGCUCUACAUCACUCAUGGGUGUUUUCCCUGUUUCUUCCACCACCGCACCAGCAAUUCUUUCUUCUUGAGUUGUUUCAUUACCUCCUGCUGCUGUGGAUGUCUUGGCCAUCUCUGCCCACUGCUUAUCAAGUGUUUCCGUUGCUCUUGCCAAGUCACUUUCUUCCACUGCCUUUUCCCACUCUCUCUCGAGUGCAGCUGUCGCGCUUGCAAAAGCUCCUGUAUAGCGUACUGGCACAGUCUUCUGUCGUUGAGAACGUCGCAUUUACUGUUUGAGCCCAAUUCAAUGGAGACUUUCCGUCCCCACGGACGGCGCCACUGUUGUGACCUUAGGUCACGAACAAGAUCGGGGAUAGGCCGGAAAGAAGUGUUUUCCCGCCUAUCCUUAGAAACGAGCUCGAACAGCAAACACAACUUUUGAGGAUUACUUUUGUAUUCAAGAUGUCUUGUCCUGCUACAGGUUUUUGACUGGCUUUUAUAACCAGUGGUCGUACACGUGAGAUUACAUUUUUACCCCUGUGGGUCUUUGUAAGUUUACUCUAAUGCCCCUGCCACAUCAGCGUCUGUGGGGGCAUUCUAGUACAUCUCCAGGGGUCUUUUAGUCUUUUAGGUGCUAGCUGGCGAGAGUGGUUGAAGGUGGUCCCCACGGAAUCUUCCCUUGGCAUCUUCUCUUGUUCGAGUAGUGCUCUUCCUCGAACUCUUGGGAAAAAUGCCUUUUCCGUCCUGGACCGUCUUCUUCCUCCUGGGAAUUUGAAUUCCCCUUUGCCUUCUCUUUCAUCCUUGGAAAACACCUGUGAAAUUGUAACUUGUCCAAAAUAUGUGUAGUUGUAUUAGCGAUUAUGGAAUGUCCCUAAAAAGGUGUUCUUCACCCGAAGAGGUAUUUUCUAUUCGAAUGAGUGUUCUUCCUCUGGGAAGGUAUUUUCCCUUUGGGAAGGUGUUCUUCCUCUUGGAAAGGUAGUUUCCACUCAAAAUGAGUGUUUUCCCUUCUGGAUACUUAGGUCUUGCAAAACCUCGUAGUGUUUUGACCGAAUUGGAGGAAAAGGUGUUUGCACCCUGCUACAACAAUUGAUGAACUAAGUGUUGAUGGACUGAUGUUCUGUUGUUGUUCUCAAACCCAUUUCCUGGAGUGAUAGGCUGAUAGCAGUAUAGCACCUGAAUUGUGUAUACCUUAUAGGCUUAUACCAUUCUGUUUUGCUGUAUUCUUUUAGAAUAUUUGUUAUGCAAAUUAUAUGAAGUUAUAGAAGAAUAUAUUUUGCUGUGAGACUCAGUUUGAGGGGUUUAUGUAUUCCGAUAAAUUUUCGUUACCGUAUCCGCGCCGGUUCGUUUUCGCUCCGUUUUCGGUUUUGAUAAUAUUCGUUUCCGUUUUCGUUUUCGGGGUUUCCGAUUUCGAUUCCGAUUCCGAAAAAAAAUAUGAAAACGAAAACGAUAAAGGUUGUUUCCGUCCGUUUCCGUACCGUUUUCACCCCUAAUGACAUGCACGCAUUAUCAUACAUCCAUGUCUACUAAAUUUUUUUUUCAAGUUUAGUUUGCACCUAUAAAAAUUAAAAUCUGGAAAUUCAUUUGCACGGGCGAGUACUUAAGAGAACGCAAUGUUGAAAUUGAUCUCCACGGCUGUCGGUAUAUAUUUACAAAUCUCGCGAAUUUCAACGUUACAGGCCAUAUAGUCAGCCUCGAAAAUGCCCAUGUAAACGAACUAGCUAUCGGCGGUCUACACAAACAUUUUUUUAUAGUGUCAUGGUGACACUCAUUUUUUCUCACCUUGAAAAUUAUAAAACAAUGAAGCGUAGCAAGGAAAUCUUCAUAGAGAUAUAAACAGAAGAACAUCUGAGUUCAUCAUUUAUUCAUCAUACAUGCUUCCAGAUAAAAGGAAACACAAAUUAUUUAGUAACCAAAUCACACACAUGAACAGCCAAUAACUAGCUACAUACAGAAGGCUAGUAGCCAGUUCCCGGUAGCCAGUAGCAGACACCGCCUACGCCAUUGGGGAUGUCCACGUUGCAGAACGCCGGGAGGCUCGCCGCCGCGCGCUCGAUGUCCCCUCUCCGGCAGCCGCGGAACACCUCGGCCAUGGGGUGCCCAGCGUCGGCGGCGCCGCUCUCCCUGUAGAUGAUCCUCAGCAUGUGGUUGAGCGCAUCGCACCUGCACCAGCUGCUGUCGAUGGCGGCGAGCUGCCGGCAGCAGCCUCGCCGGACCUGCUCGUCCACCGUGCCGGGGGCGACGCACUGGCGCUUCACGAACGCCCGGCAUCGCGGCAGCGGGUACGUCGGGUAGCCGAUUCCUGGCUGACAUAGCUGGCCGGGAGUGUAGACCACCUGUUCUUGGUGGUGGUCCGCCAUUGUCGUCGUUGCUGCGAGCACGGAGACGACGACGACGAGCAACGCCGAGAUCACUACCUUGUUGGAAGCCAUUUUUUUUUGUUUGCAGAAAUUCUUGAUUGUUAAUUUGUAUGAGAGGGAUAGAAGCUCUCCCAUCUAUGGGUGGUUUUAUAUAUAGCUAUAAAGACUAAAGUGGUUCAGGAAAUGGAGACAAUUUUUUUUGGCUGUUCAUGAGGGAUUAGCUUGUGGUUUUGAAUGAAAAUUUUGUUGUUAUUCGUACGCCUAAUCUGGCAUCACACGGAUAAAAGUUGGUUAAAGGGGAUUGAUAUGCACCACACUCUUUAAUUAUUUCAACUUAUUUUGAUUCUUCCGUGCAAGAAAUUGAAUUAAUGCACACAUUGUCAACAGACGCGACGCAUAGUUAUGCAUGGUAACAAAAUCUGUUGAUCUUUAGUUCCAUGGCUUAUAUGGUGAUCCAAAUUGUUGAACAAGAAAAACAAUAGUUCCAAACAAAUAUUUUAAAAGUAAUGCCUCUGGAAGCUGCAACAGUAGACGUGCCUGAUCAAGCAUAUAUAUAUUGGAGUUAUCUGAAACACAAAUUUCAUAUAUAGAUAGCUUUAAUGCGCACAUUGGAUAACAGGUUAUAUUAACAAGGCACGGCAUUAUAUAUGGCUAGAAGAAGCACGUACGCAAAAUCACUUUGUGAAAAAAUGAUACAAAUUAAAGGCUACAAAUAAUUUGUGCUAUAAUCCUGUCGAGUUGCAGUUUGUGCCAGCCCUUUUUUUAAAGAAAGUAUAAGGGAUAUCAAAAUAUAGGUCUUAAGUGAGGGGCAAGAAAGAGUUUGUUAUUUUGUGAGAAAGGAAACAAAAUAAAACAAGAGGGUUGUUAGCUUGGGUGUGAGUUUAAUGUCCUUCAAAGUGUAUUUGUUUUAUCUGAUCGAUGAUCUUAAUUAUUGCAAAAUAAACAACUCAUUGUAUUCCUUUUUUACUCGUCAUACGUACCAUCUCGACACAUUAAUUCUCACCAGUUCAUAGGUUUUUGUCAUUCGUAUUGAUAAUUAUAUUAAUAAAAGACAGUUAAAUAUAACAAUAAUAAAUAUUCAUAUUUUAUUUUUGUGUAUAUUAGUGAGUUAAAAAGAAAUCAAGAUUUUGUUGCCUCCUAUCCAAAACAGCAUUUUUCCAUGAACGGGAAGUAACAUAUAUAUCAAUAGCUUUACUUAUAUUUUGUUCACGCUUUCACAAUUGACAUAUUUGUGUAGUCAUCGCAGCCAUUUUUUCUAUAUGUAUACUUCGUUGUAAUUUAUUUUUUUGCUGGCAUGCAGUAUAUGACAAAGUUAUUGUGUAUGGCUUUUACAGACGUCAUGAAAAAGAACAGAAUGUCCAAGAAGCAGUUGGACCAGAGAGGCCAAGGCGAACUUGAUAAGAUCUGAAAUGGACUGUGCUGCUACAAGGGUGGCAAAGGGGAUGCUUUUUGACAGGUCAUGAAACUAGUCCCCGCUUUCACAAUUAACAAGCCACGUAAUAGAAAUUACUAAGAACAUUACAAAAAAAGGGGAAUUUCAAGAACAAAAUAAUAGAAGAGAGGAACAUCGUCCAUUCCACUUUUUAUUACUUAUUAUUGUCAUCAGAUAUAUGGAGACGCAGCAAUCGUGGAUGUGAAAAUUAAUUAGUCGGCUGGCUAGUGCUAGCUAGUAACAAGCUACUCCCUUCGUUACAAAAUAAGAUUAUAGAGGGGACCUUCAGGUUUUGCAAUACACUAAUACACAAACGAUUUUUCUAUACUAGACUUCAUGAAUUUUUGCAAACAGACCAUAAGUGAUGGCGUAUGCAAAAAUCGACCUUCAUUUUUGCAUACGGCUUCUUAAGACGCCCGUAUGGAAAAACUGAUUUUUCCAUGCGGGUCACUUAAGAGGUCCGCAUGCAAAAAUGAGCUCAUUUUUGCAUGUGGAUCACUUAAGUACCCGCAUAGGAAAAUCUAUUUUUCCAUACGGGCGUCUUAAGAAGCCGUAUGUGAAAAUAAAAUUUGAAAAUUUAAAAAUUUGAAACUAGUUUAUCUCACUCGUAUGAACUCUAAAUUGGAUGAUUCUUUUUCCUAAAUGUUUCUAAAAUCAUACUCUAUCAUGUUAUUGUGUUCUUUUGCUAUUAUUUUGGCCAUUUUUCCUUGUGACUUCGUUUUAUAAAUUAAAAAUUUGAAUUUCAAAACUUCAAAUAAUAUUUUGAAGCAGUAAAUAACUUUAGUCGAAAAGUCAUCAACAACAAAGUUGUAUAACUCAUCAAGAUCUAUAACUUUUAUUUUGGUCAUUUCUUCAUUUGAUGAAGUGAUAGUAAUAUUUUCACAAAAUUUACAUAUCUCUCUUAUAGUUUAUAAAACCAUAUGAGAGAUAUGUAAAUUUUAUGAACAAUGUUACUGUUAAUUUGUCGGACGAAGAAAUGACCAAAAUAAAAGUUAUAGAUCUUGACGAGUUAUACAACUUUGUUGUUGAUGAUUUUUUUCAACUGAAAUCAUUUAGUUUUACAAAAUGUUGUUUGAAGUUGUCAUAAUUUGAAUUUCAAAUUCAAAUUGUUGAAUCAAAGUCAUAUAGAAAAAUGACCAAAACAAAAGUUGUAUAUUUUAAUAAGUUAUACAACCUUGUUAGUGAUGUAUUUUUCAUUUGAAAUCAUUUACUACCUGAAAAAUUAUUUAAAUUUAUUAUAUUUUAAAGUUCAAAUUUUAGAUAGUUCAAUCAAACUCGGAUAGAGAAAUGACCAAAAGAAAAAUGGUAGAUCUCAAUGAUUUCUACAACUUUGUUUUUGACAACUUUUUCACAUGAGUUGAUUUAGAACCAUAAAAUUCGAUUCGAAUUUCUCAUAUUUUUACAUGCAGCCCCUUAAGAGGUUCGCAUGCAAAAAUCUACUUAGAUUUUUUCAUGCUUACCUUUUAAGUGGUCCGCAUGCAAAAAUGCCACCCCAAUUUUUUUCAUCUCCCUCCACUCUCUUUUCCCUUCCACCACUUCAAUUUUUUUUCAACACAUCUCCUCUCUCUCUCCCCCUCUAUUAUUUAAGGCAAAUUUUGCUACAGGACACUUGUUAUGUGUGGUUUUAGCCCCAGGACACUGCCCAAACUCACUUUUGGGUGAAAACACUCCGUAAACGUGGUAAUUUACCAGUGGACACCACGCCGAUUAAAAUAAUGCUUUCUCUCAGAGCGCGCUUGCACGGGGUGGCGUCGGUCACGGCAAAGAUGGCGAGGAUGGCGGCUGGCGGAGUGGAGCGGGGUGGCAGCGGCGGUGGACGAGCGCGUGGCCGGUGGAGCGGCAGUGUCGGCCAAGCGGAGUGGCAGCGGCAGCGACCAAGUGCGCGAUAGGAGUCGCGGCGGCGGGCGGCUGGCGAGAGUGGCGCACACCCCAUGGCGACGGCGAUGGCGACGCAAGCUCCCACGUCGGCUGAUCUCUUUGGCGGCGGCGGUGGUAUUAUUUUAAUCGAUUUUUGACAUUUCACGCGAUUUCUCUCUCCUCUCCAACCGGAAAGUAUUAUUUUAAUCGGCGCGGUGUCCACUGGCAAAUUACCACGUUUAUGGAGUGUUUUCCCCCAAAAGUGAGUUUGGGCAGUGUCCUAGAACUAAAACCACAUAUAACAAGUGUCAUGUAGCAAAAUUUGCCAUUAUUUAUUUUUACUCUCCCCCUCUCUCUCUCUAUCUCCACGGAUCUGUCCUCUCCCUCUCUCCCCCUCCCUCUCUGAGAGCGGGUGCCGGUGACCGUGAGCAGGGACGGAGAUGGCAUCGGUGGGCGGCGGAUCCAGCGGCGCCGCCCUAGGGAGCGGCUACGGCUACGACGACGGCGGGCGCACAGCGGGGGCGGCGGAUAGAUCCGGCGAGUGGGCGGCGACGCGGGCGGCGGCGCCGUCCCGCGCAGAUCCGGCGCCAAGGGCUCUUCUCACCCGCGCGAACAGUGGGGCCGGCGGUCGGCGUCGACGGCGGGUGGUGGGGUAGUCGAUCCGGUGAUGGCGUGCAGCGGGGAUACGGCGCUCCGGCGGCGGGCUAGGGUUCGGGUUUGUUGGUUUUUUUUUCCGUGAUUUUAUUUUCGCAUGCGGCUGGUAUAAGCGACCACAUGCGAAAAUCCCAUUUCGCAUGCGGUUGCGCCGGCCACAUGCGAAGAGCGUCAUUUUGGCAGAUCUUCUUGCCCAUGCGGUUGGCAACCGCUCCUUCUCGCCCGUAUGCAAAAAGGGGUUUUCGUAGUAACGAUAGCCAUACUCCGUCAACAUAUACACCGUGCUGGCGAUCCUCUGGCCAUCGCAGCCCUGCAGGUAGUGCCACCAUGCGGCCGACACAUGGACACCCUCCUUAGCAUGACAUUCCAUAUUUCUCGUCAUAUCAAAGUUUAAAGAAGUAAAGAACGACGGCAGAUAGCUAGCGAAUCAUCAAGACAUAUACAGAAGAACAUGGGAGUUGUUCAUCAUUUAUUCACCACACAUGCUUCCUAACAAAAGGAAACACUAAUUAUUUUAGGAGUAAAUUGCAUUCACGGUAUAUCAACUUGGCAAGUGGAUACAAUUUAGUGUAAGAUAAUAUCUACGGGAGCAAUAUAUUCUAAGAUAAUAUAAGACUUGUGCAAGAGGUUCUUAUUGCCAUCUAUGGAUGAGGGUUAUGCAUAUUCUUGCCAACUAUGGCCUUGUUUAGUUGGGGAAAAUUUUUGAGAUUGGUUGUUAUAUCGAAUAUACAGACACACCACUGGUGGAGAAACCAUCUUUCGUCGGUCGGCCGAAUUCCACAAUAGUCCCGGUUGCAAUAAAAACCAGGACUGUUGACGAAAAAAUCGAACACACCAGCCUGGGAGAUCUUCUUAGCUCCUGUGCAGGUCCAAAAAUUGAUGAGAUGCGGGCGUGCCAGUCAGUUUGAUCCUGCAACUGACAAGAUAUGCAAAUAGUAGAUCAAAACAGCCGAACGGCUGACAAGCCGAUGGAGUAGUUCCAGCCGAUGCCGAUAAUAGCCGAUGCCGAUACCAGCCGAUAGCGAUAGGAUUUAAGCAAUCGGCUAUAUAAAGGCAAUCGGCUACUGAUAAUAAAAUAUAACAAUAAUAUAGUCCAGUAUAAACCAAUCGGCUAGCAUUGAUAUGAUAGAAUAAGCAUUGAUAUGAAGGUUAGAGCAUACAUCAGCUGGAGGUCCGAUGUCAUGACAUCCACAAGAUUAGAUUAAACAGUGAAGCCUUUGUUGUCAUCGGCUAAAUCCAACUUAUAUGUAUAUGCAAUUCUUAUGAGCCGAUGCAACAUCCAGAUAACUCACCGGCUGAAACCCCGAUGAAACCCUUAUUGGCAAUCAAGAAGCAGGCUAGAUAUUAUGGUUCUAAGCACGACAUAGUAGAUCAAACUUAACUGAUACAGCACUAAGUAUGAAAAGAAACAUAAUAUCUAGACAAUCAAGCCGUUGACUGAGUUUUCAGGGUGGUAGAUGUCUAAGCUAAUCUAAUCUAGCAACGGGAUUUAGCCGAUACCGGCAGAAACCCUAAAACGAGAAGUAGUCGAUAGAGCUAAAUUGAUAUGCUAAGACUAGAUUAACAGAGACAUAUGAUAAAUAGGUAGGCAAGUAUAUCAUCCAAACCAGAGCAAUCCAAGAGGUCGAAUGUACUGAUGCAGCCUUGAACGACGCCGAUGUAGACGAUACAAUUGCCUGGGCUGGCGGAACAUUGGACUUACCCCUUAGCCGGAGAUCGAACACCGAUGCAGCCCCGCGUCAGGUGCCAAGUCCCGCCGGACAAUAAAAUAAAGUAGAAAAGGUAAAAGGUGGCGAUGCGCCGAAUUGUAUUGAUCGUGGAGAUAGAUUACAUAGACCCUGGGUGUACAUAUUUAUACCCAUGGGUUGAUACAAGUCCUUGUCGGACAAGAAAGAAGCUUUCCUAAAGAUAAAAGGAAAAGAUAAAGUCCUUAUAGGACACUAAACACACUUUCCUAAAGAUAAAAGGAAACUAACAAACUAUUUCUAAUUAAUAGAUAACUUGCCAUGCCGCAUUCUCUUUGAACUCGGUCUUUUCUGGAUAAGCUUCCUUUAGUAGAUCAAUUUCCUUAACCGAAUAUAGCAAGAAUCCGACAACUAACGACUUGACAACUCUCAUCGGCUAAUCGCAGGACUUCGAAGCCGAUGCUGACUCUAAGCCGAUGACUACUCCGGGUUUACCAAAUUUCACUGUUAACAGGCGUUAAAGAUGAUCUUUAGUCCCGGUUAAAAAGGGUAACGGGCAUAUUUGAUCUUUAGUCCCGGUUGAGUCAGGGCCUGUCAGGCCCCCCCCCCCCCCCCGGGAUCUUUAGUCCCGGUUGGUAACAAGUAUCUUUAGUCCCGGUUGGUGUUACCAACCGGGACUAAAGAUCACGGGGAUCUUUAGCCCCAGUUCAUAACACUAACCGGGACUAAAGUCUCACCCUUAGAUAUUCGUCUUCUUCCUCCUCUAGCUGCCCGAGCAAGCUUCAAAAUUUCUUCAAAAAAGAGGGGAGGUCAUGCCAAAAUUUCUAGUGAAUUUAUUUUGGUGAUUAUAUACAAAUCGGAGGUGCCUAAAAGGUUAGCAACUUCAUUCUCCAAUGUUUUCUUUGUCAUAUUAUAUUUGGAGCUAUGUUUUGCACACUUUUUUGUCUCCAAAAUUUAGUUGUAAGUUGAUGAGAGAGAAAAUUUGUGUGGGGAAGAAAGAAUAUAUAGAAAUUUAGUUUAUUUGCUAAAGAAGGUUUUAUAAAAUAGUUGAGAAGGAAAAUAUAGUGAAAGUUAAUCUUAAAUAAUAGAAAACAAACUAAAAUGAAAAUUAAAAGAAGUACAACACAUUAAUAUUAGUUUAAAACUUUAGAAAUAGUAAAUAAGAAUUAUUUGGUGUAAUAUUUUAUAAUUUUUGUAUGAAUAAUGAUAUGUCAUUAUUGUAUGACUGUUGAAAGAGUUUGUAAUUAUUUUAUAAUUAUUGUAUGACUGUCAUUAUUGUAAGAAUAAUUAUUUGUGUACAAUUUUUGUUCAUCUCAUGUAGAUGGAUCGGCAAUGGAUGUACGCUGACCGGUGGUCCAAAGAGGUUAUUGACGGCGUGCGUUAUUUUUUGAGAAUGGCCGAAGCUAACAGGCAUAAGGGUUUUAUUUGUUGUCCAUGCAAUAAGUGUAAGAAUCAGAAGGAGUAUUCUGCAUCCAGGACUAUUCAUUUCCACUUGUUUGAGUCGGGGUUCAUGCCAAGCUAUAACUGCUGGACAUCCCACGGAGAGCAAGGGGUUGAAAUGGAAGAAGAUGAAGUGGAAGACGACAAUAUUCCGGACUUUGGUCAAUACGCUGGAUUUGAAGGAAAUCAAACGGACGAGGAGGAAAGGGAUGUUGAUGGUAACGACAUUGCGGAUGAUCUUGGUUAGAUGUUGCAAGACGCCAAGGAGGACUGCAAAAGUGAAAAGGGGGCCCAUAAAUUGGACAAGAUGUUAGAGGACCACAGAACGUUGUUGUACCCAGGUUGCGAGCAGGGGCACAAAAAGUUAGGAUACCACUCUGAAGUUCUUGCAAUGGAAGGCCAAAAAUGGUUUUAGUGACAAGGCAUUUGGCGAUUUAUUGAAACUCAUCAAGGACAUUAUUCCGGAGGGAAACAAAUUGCCCGAGACAACGUACGAGGCUAAGAAGAUAGUCUGCCCUCUAUGACUGGAAGUUCAGAAGAUUCACGCAUGUCCGAAUGAUUGUAUCCUAUAUCGCGGUGAGGAGUACGAGAACUUAGAAGCAUGCCCUGUUUACAAAGCACUACGAUACAAGAUUAGACGAGACGAUCCAGGAGAAGUUGACGGGCAGCUAACAAAGAAGAGAAUUCCUGCUAAGGUAAUGUGGUAUUUCCCUAUAAUAUAACGGCUAAGGCGUUUGUUCAGGAACAAGGGGAAUACUAGAAUGAUGCGAUGGCACGCUGAAGAGCGUCAACAGGACGGGAUGCUGAGACACCCCGCCGAUGUUUCGCAAUGGCGGAACAUCGAAAUAAAUUUUAAAGACUUUGGAAAGGACGCACGAAACAUACGGUUUGGUUUAAGUACGGAUGGCAUGAAUUCUUUUGGAGAGAUGAGCAGCGGCCAUAGCACUUGGCCCGUUACGAUGUGUAUCUACAACCUCCCCCCUGGCUAUGCAUGAAGAGGAAGUACAUAAUGAUGCUGAUUAUUAUUCAAGGCCCCAAGCAACCUGGUAACGACAUUGAUGUAUACCUAAGACCAAUGGUCGAAGAUCUUAAACUGUUGUGGAAAAAGGAAGGUGUCCCGUGUGGGACGAGGACAAACAGGAGGAGUUUAACCUACGAGCGCUGCUGUUCGUAACCAUCAACGAUUGGUCUGCACUUAGCAACCUUUCCGGUCAGUCCAACAAGGGGUACAAGGCUUGCACUCACUGUAUGGAUGAAACAGAAAGUACGUAUCUUAAGCACUGUAGGAAGGUUGUGUACAUGGGUAAUCGUCGAUUCCUUGCUGCAAACCACCCGGUACGGAAGAAAGGCAAUCACUUUGAACAUAAGGCGGACCACCGUGCGAAGCCUAAACAUCGCAGCAGUAAAACAAUGUUUGCUAUGGUUAAAGAACUUAAAGUAGUGUUCGGAAAGGGGCAUAGAAGCCAGCCUAUAGAGAGCGAAGAUGGUCACGCGGCGAUGUGAAAAAAGAACUCUAUAUUUUGGGAGUUACCCUAUUGGGAAUUCUUGGACGUCCGCCACGCAAUCGACGUGAUGCACCUCACUAAGAACCUUUGCGUAAACCUUCUUGGCUUCCUAGGUGUAUAUGGAAAGUCGAAAGAUACACUAGAAGCACGUAAUGAUCUAAACCAUAUGGAACAACGCGGCGACCUUCACCCAGAACCAAAGGAGAAAGGAAGCCAUUACUUGAGUCCAGCCAGCUACACUAUUAGCAAGGCAGAGAAGGAAAGUAUGUUUGAAUGCUUGGAGCACAUAAAGGUACCGUCUGGAUACUCCACGAAUAUCAAGCGAAUAAUAAGCACGAAGGAGAAGAAGUUCACAAACCUAAAGUCUCAUGACUGUCACCUGUUGAUGACACAACUGCUACCAGUUGUAAUAAGGGGUAUCCUUCCAGACUAUGUGCAUUCAUGAACACAAUUUCGCAGAAGGUCAUCAAUCCGGAUAGAUUAGAAGCCCUUCAGAAUGAUGUGGUGCAUUGUCUUGUCAGUUUUGAGUCGAUAUUUCCACCUUCAUUUUUCAAUAUAAUGACGCAUCUGCUUUGUCACCUUGUCAAAGAGAUCAGUAUUCUCGGGCCUGUGUACCUACACAACAUGUUUCCUUUCGAGAGGUACAUGGGCAUUCUAAAGAAGUAUGUUCGUAACCGUGCUCGUCCAGAUGAAAGCAUCGCCAAGGGGUAUGGAACAGAGGAGGUCAUCGAAUUUUGCAUAAAAUUUAUUGAAGACCUUUGCCCAAUCGAGGUACCUGAAUCACGACAUGAAGGGAGACUAUGGGGAGAGGGAUCUCUCAGAAGGAAAGCAAUAAUGGCGGUAGACAACAAUUUAUUCCGUAAAGCCCAUUUCACGGUUCUGCAACAAUCUUCAUUGGUAGCUCCUUACAUCGAGGAGCACUUGGCUCUAGUUCGCGUCAUAAACAUCGGUAAGUCCGAUGCAUGGAUUACACGGCAUCACAUUGAUACUUUCCCCGCGUGGCUACGACAACAUCUCAUGGGUAACGAGACGAUCAACCAACAACUUGUGACAUCCCGGCCUAGGGCUUAAUAGGAUUAAUAGAAUACUCAUAUCAACAAGUUGCAACUUCUUUUCCGGAAGCCGGUCUCGAAAGAACUCUUAGGUUAAGCGUGCUUGGCCUGGAGCAAUUUCGGGACAAAGUGUGCAGAAAACACUCACUAGUAGUGUGCACGAGUGAGGACAAAGUGUGCAGAAAACACUAGCGUUGGUCUGUGAGGGUAGUCUAUGUCCUAGGGAAGCUGCUAGAUGUAGAGAGGGCCCGGUCUCGGAGAGUGUGGGGCGUCACACAACUGGCCUUCCUGGCGGGGCCCGGUCUCGGAGAGUGUGGGGCGUCACACAACUGGCCUUCCUGGCGGGGGGACCAUCUGGGUCGAUCACGACAUUCCAAGGAUGGAUUAGGUUGACUGGUGGAGGUGUAAUGAUUGAUGACAGUGGGAUGACAACGGUUGACCUUAACAAGGUUGGAUACUCGGACAAACAUUUUGUCCUUGCCAAUGAUGUAACGCAAGUCUUUUACGUGAAGGACAUGUCUAGCAAAGGAAAGAAGGGCAGAGGACCUGACGAGCCGAAGCGUCACGUGGUUCUCCCAGGCAAAAGAAAAAUUGUCGGAGUUGAGGACAAAACUGACGAGGAUUACGAUCAGUUGGAUGGGCAACCCCCUUUCACGGUGACGAUUGACCCUAGCAUCCUUCUAUCAAAUGAAGACACCCCUUACUCACGUAGCGAUCACAAGGAGGGAACAAUAAUGAGGAGAAAGUACGUGCGGUCAACCGUCACCUUCGAUGUAUUGCCGUAAUUAUUGUGUACACGAUGUAAUCUAUUUUGGAUGUAUUGAUUAUCCAUAUAAAUCAAUUGUUGUAUGGCAUAUGUUAAUUACGUACGAUGAUUAGAGGUUUGAACAAUAUUAAAUCAUGUAAUUGCUAGUUAUAUGCGAUAAUUAGAAUUUUUAAAAGUUUUAAAUCAUGCAUGUGGCAUUUACAUAUGUUACUGAGAGUUUUUAACAAUUUUAAAUCAUGCAUAUGCUAGUUAUAUGCGAUAAUUGGAAUUUUUAAAAGUUUUAAAUCAUGCAUGUGACAUUUACAUAUGAUACUUAGAGUUUUUAACAAUUUUAAAUCAUGCAUAUGCUAGUUAUAUGCGAUAAUUAGAACUUUUAAAAGUUUUAAGUCAUGCAUGUGGCAUUUACAUAUGUUACUUAGAGUUUUUAACAAUUUUAAAUCAUGCAUAUGCUAGUUAUAUGCGAUAAUUAGGAUUUUUAAAAGUUUUAAAUCAUGCAUGUGGCAUUUACAUAUGUUAAUUAGAGUUUUUAACAAUUAAUUUAAUAUCAUUCAUAUGCUAAUUAUAUAUGAUUAUUUGAAUUUUUAUUAAUUUUAAAUCAUGCAUGUCGUAUGUAUUUACAUAUAUUAAUUACAGUUUUUAACAAUUAAUUUAAUAUCAUUCAUAUGCUCAUUUUAUAUGAUUAUUAGAAUUUUUAUUAAUUUUAAAUCAUGCAUGUCGUACGUAUAUACAUAUGUUAAUUAGAGUUUUUAACAAUUAAUUUAAUAUCAUUCAUAUGCUAAGUAUAUAUGAUUAUUAGAAUUUUUAUUAAUUUUAAAUCAUAUAGGAGUAUUUGCUUACUACGUUUUAUCCACUUAAUGUACUACAGACAACAAUAAUUUUUCGAAGUAAUUGUCAUUAAUUUGAACACAUUAUUUUCUAUUUUAGAAACACAUAUGUAAUGGAAAUUAAUAUUCAGUGCGCUUAUCAGUAGUCCCGGUUCUUAACUCUAACUGGGUUUAAAAAGAAAUUGGAAAUAGCGGGAAAAUAUCUUUACUCCCGGUUAUUCUCAUCAACCAGGACUAAAGAUCUAGAGGUAUAUAUAUUCCCGAUGCGCGCCUUCGUCUUCUCCACCAACACUUAGAAGUUUUUUCCCCAAUCAAUUUCUCUCUCGGCUUCUCCUUCGCCGCCACUACCUAGAGCAUCCCCGCGCCGACGCCGCCGUCGUAUCUCGCGGUCGUCUCGCGCGCGUUGUCGUUGCCGCCUCCGCCGCCGUCGCAUCUCUGGGGUGAGAGCCGCCGCCACCUCCCUCUCUCUCUCCGACCUCGAUCUCUCUCUCUCCCCAAACAGCCGCCGGCCGCCUCGUUGCCGACGCCGCCGCCGACGUCGUCGCGGCCGAACACGACUCCGCCGCGCCGAUGAUGACUAACUUGUCACGCCCGGAAAUUCACUAGUAAUUUCCGAACUUAUUUGUGCAUAAAAUCCUCGUCCAGGAAUCAGCCGAGGUACACAAACUGACAAUUUAAUAUACAGAUUCAUCAAAUUAGCUAAAACGAUAAAUACUUACUUAAGAGGCACUUAGUCCUCACCAUGAAGAAAACUGCAGCGGAAAAUAAAAUCUAGCGAAGCUCCGGCUCCACUCCCACAGGCAGCUCAACUGGGGUAUAAGCCAAACGUCUUCUCCUUCUGGAUCAUUUUCUUCAACUGAGGUUGAUUGAUUAUUGAAAGAAUUAGCAUAUGACAUACUCAACAAGCCACACAGCAAAUAUGCAAGUGCACAAGGAUACCAAAGGAUGGCAUAAUAUAGGCUCAUUUGCAAAAACAGCAUUUAGCAAAACAUUUAAGAGAAGUAAAACAGUGGAGUAAUUAAUCAGAAAUUUUAAUCAACACUGAACAACAUACCCAUGCUGCACAGGCCCAACCAUCCUGAACAACCAUACCCGGCUGUACAGAUCUAACUCCAAACCAGGAGCUAAGCAAAUUAUUACCAGGUAUAACAUCCAUAAUUAUUGUGAGAGGUGUGAGACUAAUCACGAAAAACAUUGCUCAACCCGCCCAUAACCGCGGGCACGGCUAUUCGAAUAGUUUUACUCUGGCCAGAGGUGUACCACUGUACCCACAAGACACAGCCCCACGACAUGUCACAAUGUGCCUCAGUACCACCACGGUACCUCGGAAAGGAGCUGUGACAUUACCCCUUGCAUAACACAACCCACCACAGUGCACCGUUCCUGGAUCAUAAUCACCCCCUCAAAAACCAGAGGCAUGGACUCCCCAGCGACCCCCGUGGGCUUAUCUCCGCCACUUCUCAGUCUGGUGCUCUGCAAUGAACCAUGCUAUACGAAAGGUAAAGCCGUUGCCCACGCUGGCUUGUGGUUGGCACGGUUAAUGUUUCACAACAGUAGCUCGCGAACCGGUCCUUAAUUGCCAUGAGCACGACUCUCAAAACCAUGUGCUCACAACCCACCAUUAUCAAGAUUUAGUUGGCAAGUAAUUAAUUAACCAAUCACGAUUGACCAUCGUGAACUAUCAUUAAGCCAUCAUUAAAUAAUAGUGAGUCAUAAGUUAUCCCAAUAGUGUGCUAAUGUUUCUAAGCAUGGCUAAGCAAUCAUAACUAAUAUCUAGCUGAACCAAUAUAUAAAGCCCAACUAGUCAAGUUAUAAUAACCCAAGGUAUCAAGGAAUAAAGUAAUCAAUGCAAACAGGCCAUAACAAAGGAAUAGGUUCACACCACCCAGUGACAUUCGAAAAUAAAUGCACAGUUGAAAUAAAUAGAGAAUUUAAAUAUAGGAUCAACAUGCUCAAAGGAUUGUGUUUAGGAUCUGUGUGACUUGCCUUGCAAUAAUCGGUCUUCAAUUAAUCUUCUUGAAUACUUCCGGCGCACUCACGAACCUCCGCAACGACGGAAACGACAAGCUAACACGCAAAACGAAGAAAAAGGCUAAUAAAAACCAAAUAAACAGUACAUAUAAAGUAAACAAACAUGUAGAUCAUGAUUUUAGAUGAAUUUAGCAACUUGAACCACUCAAAACCGAGUUACGAUGAUUUAGUUAUGAAUUUCCGAAGAUUUAAUCUAUUAGAAAAACAGGAAAAAGAAAAACGAUGAUGACGUCAUGAUGACCUCAUCAAUAGCCGGACCAAGAUGGCGACCUCGCCGGAGAUUGGAUGGUCGGCUGCGACUUUGGAGGACAUGUACACGUAGAGGACGACGAGACGAACCCAACGGUACUCACCCUCGAACCAAACGACGAACGACGACGGCCGACGACGAGGUCUAGCGGCGGCGCGGCUUCGGUCGACGGCGGCGACGGGGCUCCGGUGAUCGGCAACAGCGGGGAGAGAGCGGCCGGGCUUCUCCACACCUCGGCGUACCUUACGGCGGUGACGGCGGCCGGCGGCGACGACGGAGGCGGCGGCACGACGCGGAUGGAGCUCGGCCGGCGACGACGGCGGGGUGGAGCACGUGGCGGCGGCGCUACGAGGCACGGGAGACCACGGGAGAGGGGGCACACGAAAGAGGAGGACUAGGGGGUCCUAUUUAUAGCCUUGGAUUGAAGAGAUCGGACUCCUCCCGCAAGAAAUCGAUCCGGGAAAUCAAAAACUCGGUUUUGGAGAUAAACUCGAAAACGAGUUCGAUUCGGAUAAGAUACUCAACGAUUAGCUCCGAUUUUUGGGGGUAAAGAUAGAGGAGGAUAAGAGGAAUAUUUCCCCUCAACUAAUUUUAGAAAAAGGAGCAACGAGAGGCGAGAUUUUGGAAGGGGAUCGGCGGCAACAGGCACGGCACGGCUCUGCUCUGGCUCUGUCCAGAGCUGGAAGAUGAACAGUAGCGCAGGGAGGAAAAGUAGACUUCUUGCCGGGCUUUUCUUUUCUCAGCCUGUUUAGAAGAGGGAGCAAUACCAGACUUUGGCUAAGAGAAGAAAAGAGAGGAUGCAGGCUCGGGUUGGGCCGGUGGAAGAGAGAGGAAGGAAAGGAAGGAAUGGGCCGAAAAUGGCCCAAGCUGAGGAGGAGGAUUUUAUUACUUUUCCAAUUAAAAUAAUCACUUAAAUGAUCUUUGAAUUGUUAAAAAUACUUCCAAUGCUCAAAUAAUUUCAAGAAAAAUCCUGAAAAUACUUGGACACUCAAAGUACAUAAAAAAUUACAAUUAGACCAUUUAAUGAUUAAUUUAAUAUGUGGGUAAUUACUUAAAUGCUCUUUGUAUGAUUAAAAAUUACGAAUUGAGCUCCGAAAAAUCCGAGAAUAUUCCAGAGAGUAUAAUUAACCAUGGAGAAUUUAAUAAAAAUUAAAUCCAUCCAUGCUUUAUAUUUAGGAAAUUUUAUUUCCCACAUUUAACUUCACUUGUAAAUUAAUGAACAUUUAAUAUAAAUUCUAAUAAUAAUUUAUUAAAUAAUUUAUAAAUCCUGAAACAAAAAUCAGGAUGUGACACCAACCCUGACCUCGAUGCUGCCACCACCGGCGACGACGUCGCGCCGGCAGUGCCGACGAAGCUGCGCGCACCACAACGCCGGGCUGCGCCACGCCUCCGCGGCGGCACGACGCCGAGACACCACGACGCCGCCGCGGCACGCCCUCGCCGCGCCGCCACGCCGCCACCGCGCAACGCCGCCGCUGCGCCACGUCGAUGCCGCGCCGCCACGCUGCCGCCGCGCCAAGCCGCAGCCGCGCCGCCACGCCGCCGCUCCGCUGCCGCCACGUGAACGAACGAACGAUCGUGAACGAGAACGAAUGAACGAACAUGAACGAGAACGUGAACGAACGAACGAACGUGAACGAACAUGAAGAUUUUGGAAUACAAGAAUUUAUUAAUGACACCGGGCUAACUACGGAUCAAUUGCUACGAGGUGCACCAAUCAAAAAGGCGGAAGUGAAAUACAUGUACGAACUCGGUAAACCGCUUGUCAAGCCUGAGCAGCUGCAGUCCCUACCCACACAAAUGUACAAGUUCCAUCAACUGUACAUGGAGAUGAGCGCCACCGGUACAGAAAUGAUCGGAGCGAGGAUCAGGGACACGGACUUCUUGCAAGGAGAUGACAUUCUCUGGAUCAAUUUCAAGGGUAUCUACGAACUAUACCAGCUGGAUGCCCUCGACGUCUCUAUUAUGAGUUGCUGGAUUUUGUAAGUAUCGUUCAGUUAGAUUUCUUAUUAUGUUUCCUUUAAUUAGUUAGGUCCUUGUAUAUAAGUAGACUACAUAUAAUAUAUACUUCCUUUUAUUGUUGUAGAAUGGAGAUUCAAAGGGCCCGGCGGCGGGGGGUUUUCGAUACUGGAUUCAUCGACCCUCGGAAAGUAAACGUCGCAAUGCUCGACCAGUAUCCGCAAGCCACAGAGGACAAUCUCGUCCAUCUCUUGAAGGCGCAGCAUUACAAGACGUUCAUACUAUUACCGUACAACACAGAGUUAGUUUAAUUUUACUGUCUUCCUAUACCAAAUUUCAUUCCGUACGAACAUGCUAAGUGUUUCAUAUGUAAUGCAUCCCACGCACAUUGCAGAUUCCACUGGGUCUUUUUACUCUUCAACCUGGAGGCCUGCACCGUCAACGUAUAUGACUCAAUGGAUAAAAAAGAGUCUAUGUUUGACAAGGUUUUCGAACUUAUAGACAGGUACUGUCAUAAGUUCCUAUGUUAAUUAAGAAUCUUGUUAUAAUUAAUUGCUACUACGAAUCAUAGCUUUAAACUCCAUGUAGGGCUUGGUAUCGAUUCCGUCAUUUGGUCCGCAGUAAAUGGAGAGAAAGACUUAGGCGGAAGUUCAAUUUUCCUGUGAGUACACAUGCUUUACAUUUAUAUUGAAUCUCCAAUUCAAAUACAUACAAGUGUAUAUUAAUUAGAUCUCUCACCGUUUAUCAUUUAUUUAUAGUGCACAAAGCAAAAGCAGGGAACUAACUUGUGCAGCUGCUACGUGUGCGAGUAUUGCCACUGCCUUGUAGACCAAAUCAUCACCGCAAGAGAGCUCGAUGUACGUACAAAUAAAUUCUAAAUUUCAUUGCGUACGUAUCGAUUUGUUGUUUAAUUACUAAUUAAUUUCAUACAUUAAUAUAGUUUAUUCGCAUGAGGGAUAACCUGAUCACACACAAGGAAUUUAUCGCGGUGGUUCAAGAACAACUCAUGGGAUUUAUCAAUGAACAAAUCCUUGAUCCCAAGGGUGAAUUCUACUACGACAGAAAUACAAUUCAUAGGUCCUUAGCUUCUGAGAUAACGACUACUACUACGUCGAAAUCGUAGCUAGCUAGGACAUCAUAAUAGAUUGUAAUUAAUACAUGUCUAUUUUUCUAUAUGCAUGUACACAUUUUCUUUAAUGUAAAUAUAUAUUUUAGUCAUAUAUAUAUGCACAUAAAAUGUUAAGUGCUUUCAUAUAUAUAUAUAUAUAUAUAUAUAUAUAUAUAUAUAUAUAUAUAUAUAUAUAUAUAUAUACCUAUGCAUUUGCAUAACAUAUAUAUGUAUAAAUACAUAUAUAUUAUGCAUGUAUAUGUACUGAAACAUAUAUAAAUAUAAUAUAUAUAUAUAUAUUAUAUGCAUAUAUAUAUGUAUUAAAACAUAUAUAUGCAUGGUUUUUAUAUAUAUAUAUAUAUAUAUAUAUAUAUAUAUAUAUAUAUAUAUAAACCAUGCAGCAACAGGGCCAUGAAAAAAAAAAGGUCAGCUCGACUUUAGUCCCGGAUUGGUAGUCCCGGUUUGAAAACCGGGACUAAAGGGGGGUUACGAACCGGGACUACAAACGCUUUCUCCACCAGUGCACAUUUGAAGUAUUAAACGUAAUCUAAUAACAAAAUAAAUUACAGAUUCCGUCAGAAAACUACGAGAUAAAUUUAUUAAGCCUAAUUAAUCCGUCAUUAGUAAAUGUUUAUUGUAGCACCACAUUGUCAAAUCAUGGCGCAAUUAUGCUUAAAAGAUUCGCCUCGUAAUUUACACGCAAUCUGUGUAAUUGGGAUUUUUGCCUAUAUUUAAUACUCCAUGCAUAUGUCCAAACAAUCGAUAUGACACUGUAAAAAUUUUUGUUUUGGGAACUAAACCAGCUCUAUGGAUGAGGGUUCUUAUUGUUGUCUUUAGGCUGGUUGAGUACUGGUAGUGUAAGUGGUAGUUUUGUUGUUUCUAUUCGAGUUGUGAUUUUAUAAUUUUGUAACCAUAUUCGACCUAUAAUCGCUGUGUAAUAAUUGAUUGUAGUUUCUUUUGAAACCAAGACCAAAAAUAGACGACCGUUAAUUAGUAUUUGUGAAGAAGAAAAUACGUACACCAUUAAUGGUUUGGUAUGAACUCCACGGCAUGGAAGAACGAACACAAGACAAAUAAGGCUGAGACAUUUUUUUGGCUGCGAUCUUGCUUGCUGCGCCGUUUUCUGGUGUUUAUCAUUCUCCACUUAUUAAUGGGCAAACAAGGGGCCAAUUACAUGCAUAUAUAUGACAUAACGUGUACUUUAAAGCCGCCCGAGAGUUCACAAGAAAUCGUGCCAUCCCAGGAUCGAUCACGCGUACGGCCGCUAGGUCACAACAGUUACAAACACUGAAACACACACUGAUGUAGAAAUUGAAGCCUGAUCGACGUGAACAGGAACGAUGACACGAAACAAUUAAAAUAAUUAAACAAAGUAGUGUAGUAAAGUUUACGCCAGAAGUUGUACCAUUAAGUAGUAUUACUGCAUAAUAAGAGGGGCGGCGGCGGUGAUGGGGACGCUGUGGAGAACGAUAGUCUCGACGGUGAGGCCAGGACCGAAGCCGAAGAGGACGCCCCAGUCCAUGCCCUCGCCGGUGGUGGCGUGGCCGUCGUCGGCAGAGAGCUUGCGCAUCUCGUCGAGGACGAAGAGGACGGUGGCGCUGGCCAUGUUGCCGUACUCGGAGAGGACGUUGCGGGAGGCGCGCAUGCGGGCCUUGUGGAGGGCGACCUUCUCCUCAACCUGGUCGAGGAUGGCCGGACCGCCCGGGUGCACCACCCAGAAGAUGGAGUUCCAGUCGUGGACGCCGAGCGGCAUGAAGGCGUCGGUGAGCGCGCCCUCGACACUGUCGGAUAUGAACUCCGGGACGUCCUUGGGCAGGUGGAAGGUGAGACCCACCUCGCGGAGGUGCCCCACGAUGGCGUCCUCCGUGCCCGGCAGGAUGGUCUGGCUCGCCGACACAAUCUGGAACAGCGGCCGCUCAUCGGCUGCCUCGUCGGGGUCAGAGCCGACGAUCACCGCCGCUGCGCCGUCGCCGAAGAGCGCGUGCCCGACGAGGGAGUCGAGGUGCGACUCGGACGGCCCCCGGAAGGCCAUCGCCAUGAUCUCCGAGCACACCACCAGCACCCGCGCGCCGCGGUUGUUCUCGGCCAGGUCCUUGGCCACGCGCAGCACCGUGCCACCGGCGAAGCACCCCUGCUGGUACAUCAUCAGCCGCUUCACCGACGUGGGUAGGCCCAGCAUCUUGGCCACCUGGUAGUCGGCUCCGGGCAUGUCCACUCCGUUGGUCGUGCAGAACACGAGGUGGGUGAUCCGCGACAUCGGCUGCCCCCACUCUUUGAUCGCCUCCUCGGCUGCCGCCUUCCCCAGCUUGGGCACCUCCGCCACCACCAUGUCCUGCCUCGCGUCCAGCGACGGCGCCGUGAACACGCACAUGCUAGGGUUCUCCUGUAGGAUCUCCUCAGUAAGAUGCGUGUACCUCUUCCGUAUCUGCGAGCUUUCACCUGCAUAUAUCAUGGAUGCGCGAUAUUAAUUUGCACCUGCGCUAUUUUAAUCUUAAUUAUUAUUAAUUAUUAUUGUUAUACGGUUUAGAUAGGGUGAAAUUUACUCUGGAAAUUCGCUUAAAUUUUUUUAGAAAAUCACGAGCUGCAAUUAGGAGUCCGACUAUCGUCUCAAGUUAAUGUGCGAGUUUUUUUAAGAAAUAUUUCUUAUACGACUCCUUUUGUAUUUCAAAAAAUGAACAAACAAUAAAAUUGACUCAAACACGAAUCUAUAUUUCCAAAAGCGAACGAAAUUACAAACCGACUCAAAUAAAAAUGACAUACCAAAAUACCGACAAAAACAUGAUCAGUUUUUAUAAUAGAAGUGAUGGCGCAGUACUUUAAUUUCUAUAAAGGGAUUCACCUUUCACUUAUUUAGACUAGAUACAGUAUGUGUACUAGUAUAAUAUAGAUGCAAAUUAACUGAUUACUCAUUAGUGCUUACACAUCCUCUGGAACCUCUCCUUCAGGUUGGUUAGGUGCUCGCUGUUGGUGACCCUGAAGUAGUAGUCCGGGUAGUCGGUCUGGUACACGCAGUUAGCCGGCGUUGCCGUCCCGAUCGCUAGCACCGCCGCCAUCCCCUCCGCUCUUUGCAUCCUCCUAACCUCCUCCAACUUCACUGUUGAUGUCACCAUCUCCCCACUCACCGGCGGCUAAUCGUACCUAGCUAGGAAUGUAGUGUAUAUCUUGGUAUAACUGAGGGUACUAGCAGCUAGCUUGUUCGCCACAACGAAAAUGCAUGUGCGCUAGCUAGCUGCUGCCUCUCAGCCCGGCUGAUUCGAACAAAUGGUCGCAGCUAAGUUAUUUAUAGGGGUGAGCUGCACGUUUGUCUGCCAGAACGUUGUACCCUUUUCCAAUUUUCCUAACAAUAAUAUAUCUCCGUUGAAUUUGUGUGACGAUACUAUUUUUUUUUCUGAAAACGUGUUUAAUUAAGAUUCAUUGAAGUUUGAACAAAAGUUUCAAUUCGAUCUCAUAAGAUAUAUUCUUUUCAGCUGCAAAAACCAGUACUUUAAUAUAUAUACGAAUAUAUUGGUGUAAUUCUUGAACUAAAUAUAUUUGUAAUCUAACUAAACAGGAAGGAAGCAUGCGCACACAAACGUGGACAUCUUAUUUAAAGUUUCUUAAAAUUUUGCUAGCCUAACAUAUGCAUUUUUGUGCGUGGAUGACCUUUUUUGGAAAAAAAACAUAUUAUUUCAUUCUAUAUAUUAUGAACCUGCUAUCUUAUUAACGAGUUAUGAUUUUUUUAAGAAAAACAGUACAAAUGCACACGCUCAUAAUAUGCGCACAAUGACCCCUACGAGCACACACGCACACUACCCUACCUCUACGAGCACCUUUGAAAGACUGAGACGACAUAUGUUGGGAUUUACAAAUUGACCACAAGUGCCUCGAUGUAGACAGGUACGUUGGCUACUACUACAACAAUAGUUAGCCGUAAUCACAAACACCCGCGUAUCAAAGUCUAGGACAUAAAACCGGGUGGGUUGGUUCUACCAAAAAAACCUAACAAGUUGAGCUAUACUCACUUCGCGAUUUUCUUCUAAUUAUCCUCACAGAACAUAUAUAAAAUCUAAAGCAUAAUUAUAUUGAACCAUGGAAUCUUAAAUUGAUGAGAAAAUUAUUGUGUCGGAGUUGAUCCUAUGAAAUUAUCAUUUCUAUGAUAAGUGUUUCUUUUUUAAUUGAAUAUAUUUAGCACACUCUUUUUAUAGUAUAUAUACUUUGAGCAACUCCGGUUUACAUACACACACAUAGGACAUAUAUGGGCACCCGGGCACCAUAAUAUGAAAUACACAAAUUCGUCUAAAUUUUUCAAAAUUUUCUAUAUAUCUAGUUAUAAGUAUUCGAUUCAUACCUAUACCUAGCAACAAAACAACUCAAAUUUAACUUUAUAUAUAUAUAUAUAUAUAUAUAUAUAUUAAAAUUAACUGGGGCUUCAUGGGGCCCGGCCAACAUGAUUAAAAAUUGAGUAUGUACCUAAUGCUAAUGAGUCUGAUUUUUUUAAAAAAAUGUUUAGUUAUGAACAUUAACUUAUUUACUAGCUAGUUCAAACAAGUUUGAACUAAAUUUGAAUAUCUUUUUGUUAAAUUUUGAUUGUAGGUAUAUAGGAUCUAAACUUAUAUAUAAUUACUUAGGUAUGUAAUAAUGGAUUGUAAAAUAAAGUUUAAUUUAAGUUGAUUUAUUGCUUUGGUAUGAAUCAAAUUCUUAUGACUAAAUAUACACUCACAAUUUAAAAAAUUAUAUUUUUCAGUGUUUGUGCGCGCGCGCUAGUAAUAACUAACCAUUCAAAUUAAGAACCUAACCACCUAACCAUCGUACGUGAGAUUCAAACUUAGGUGAUAUGUGUGCAUAAGAUAUAUAGCAAAACAAUGUAACCACCACACAACUUGUCAACUUGUGGAUGUACAUGACGUACCCACUCUUCUUUUUGGAGUAUACGAGGUCAGCGCCAAGCGUUAUGGUGGUCAAUCCAUUGCAUCUUCUCGCGCAUCACCGUGAGGCCUUAUUCGGUUAAUCCUUAUGAGAGAGGAAUUGGAGGGGAUUUAUUUCACACCUAUUAUAGUCUGGAAUUAUUCCCCCUUAAUCCUCUCCAAUCGCCCUCUAAGCUGAAUAACGCCUGACGGGGUUAGCGGCAUCGAUCAGGGACGAUGCUGAGCUAUUGGACCUCAAUGCCAUACGGCCCCUGAGCUCAUGUUAUUUUUGCUGAAGAUUUUUACACGGUUUAUUUCAAAAUAAUUUUUCUAAAAGAUUAAUAAUUAGUCAAAAUUUCGAUGGACUUAUAGGCGGAAAAAUAUGUGUACAUGCGGAUGAGCCACCUGCGCCUCUACCAAAUUGCCAUAACCACAUGUAAAAAUCAAUUUUUGCAGGUGGUUAGGUUAAGCCGAGCAACUUGGGAGGUGAUUUUCGGUGAAAACAAAUAAUAUAGCUCAAAAAUAUCCAGAUGCAGUGCCAUUUCCUGCUCGUCCCAUUUCUACGGAUCCACACCACUGCAAAUCAAUAUCAGACACACCGCAAAUCCAAAGUCGAGAGUAAACUUCCACAUCACCAUAACAAUGCUCAACACAUAUAUAACGCAAUUCCAUAACAAAUUCACAUUUAUCUCAUAGCGAAAUAAAAGCGAAGUGAACAUAGGUCAAGGCUGCAGCAAAGCUUGCCGUUAUCGAGCUCAGCAUUGGCCCCUUUCUCCCACUGCCUUGAUCAUCAGCCUCCAUCUCAGCGCUCCUGCCAUGUACCUUGAUCUGGAUCUAGCUAGAGGUGGUAGUGGUGUGGUGGAUGCGAAGGAAGAAAGGGGAUAAGGCAGGGUGAGGCAACCUCCGGUGGACCGGUUGCUUAUGAGCCUUUAGGAGACCACAAUUGUCGUCAUCGUUUAACAAACCCUAUCGGCAGCAGAUCUGCCACUCCCAAGUCCACUGGAGGUUGAAGUUGUCAGCGGGUGCCUAGAGCCCACCAACAGGCGGUGAAUCCACCGCUCCUGAGUACGCAGGAGGCCGUAGCAAUCGGCAGCGCCUGCCGAGCCUUGUCAGCAUCGGUGAUCAUGUCGUUGGCUAUGAUUGACGAUGGCCUUGCGAAGCCUGCCAGCUGAGAGGCGCAUCGGUGAUGGGAGAGGGCGUAGAGGAAUUAGAGGGAGCAGAUCUCGACUCAAUCGUCCUAUCACACAAAUAAAUAUACAUGGUAGUCGUGUUACUGCACAUUGACCGUAACGUUACUACGCCGUUCCAGCGUGAUGAGAACUAAAAAAAAGUAAAUCUCAAUCUUUAGAGAGCAAUAUCUCUCACAUUAUAUAGUAUUUUUCUAAUUCGUCUGCACCAUGAUUUCUGUAAAAAAGUGCUUAACAAAACUAUUUUUCGAUGUUGUUGCUGCGAGAAAGUUGUCCUGUUACUACACGAUAACCGUUAUGUUACUGCGGGAUUCCUGCGAGACGUGAACAGCAAAGUGGUGGGUGGGAGAGGGAGUCAAUGGGCGGGUUUAACUCGGGUUUGACCGGCGGGAGGAGGCUUUGACUAGCCUUUGACUGAGGUGGGAGGGGAGAUUUGGGCCAUAUGAAUGGUGGGGGAGAUGGGAUUGGCCCAUGGGAGGGGGGUGUAGAAUAGUUAUUCUAGGGGAGGGGUGUAGAAUAGAUUUGCUAUAUAUAAUAAUCUAGGAUGGGAUGAAACCCAUCCACAUUUUGGAACGGAGUUAGUAGAAGUUAUAAAAGUUGCACCUCAACUUUCCGGAGGGAGUGUAAGCCAACUAUAGCUUAUGCCAAGACGAGAUAAAAAAAAUGAGAAGUGCUAGCUCUUAUGCAAAAUCUAGCUCUACGCAUGCUCCAAAGCAAAUGCAUUAGUUACAUAGGCGAGGGAAAAAGAGGAAAACAAAAAUAGGGCAACAUUACAACUAAAAUAUAUAUAUGGUAGGUUUAAUAUGGACUUAUUGUUUGAAUUAAUAGAUCGGUCUUAGCCCAUUCGAAGUUUAAUUCUUUGGAAAAUCAUAAAAGCCCACCUCAUGGGAUAUCAUGCAUGGGGAGUUUAGUACCGCCUUGCCUAUUCAAUGAGAGGAAGACCUCCUUUUAAGAGAGGAUGCUCUUCUAGCCACUUGAGGCAUGUGAGGCGGAGAGAACAGGGGGAACACGUGCUCCUGACAUGUCAGUUUAACUCGGGUUUAAUAUGGACUUAUUGUUUGAAUUAAUAGAUCGGUCUUAGCCCAUUCUAGGAGAGGAUGCUCUCCUAGCCACUUGAGGCAUGUGCGGGAAAUUCAUAUUUGUUUUUUUUGGAAACACUCGGAAUAAUCUGAUGAGUGAAACGGUGUGGAGUCCGUUUUGCUGCGGAAAAUUCAGAUUUUUUUUUUUGGAAACACUCCGAAUAAUCCGAUGUGUGAAACGGUGUGGAGUUCGGAUAAGUUACGCGUGACUUAUCUGGUUCGGUUCGGUUAUGCAGAGUGGAGAUCGUGUAGGCGCCCUGAUCAAGUGUCCUGAUAUCUCUAUAUAAUUUGAGCCGCCACCUCCUCGCAACAUACGUGGAAUCAAUCUUGGGUUGGCCUCCUCCUCCGUACUACGUUGUUGUUUGUAGUCUACUCCAUCCCACUCGCCGGUGCUCAAUGGCAAUCGGGAGAGCAGCUCUCCGAAACCUGCGCCUUCUACGUUUUGCACUAGAAGAAGGUAGCAAUAAGAUUUUUGGGUUUUUGGGAAGCGCUCCACGCGACUGCUCCCUAUUCGUUCAUACGGCUCGUCUUCCUCUUCGCUCGCGUGCUGUGCGCUACCGUUAAGGGACGGUACCGUGAAUUCUUCCUGCCGAGCAACCGGAUUUCCAAAACCAUCGGUAUCAACAUGUUUCGCAUCUUCGAUCUGUUCAUCCUUUACUGUCUUGUUUACAUGUAUAGAUCCUAUGAUGUGAUUAUACUAGUUUACAUCGACAAUGUCAUGAUUUAUUUAUGUAUUUAUGGAACAAAUUAAAUCAUUACGUGCUUAUAUAUUCAACACUUAUAUCUACUAGUAUUAAACUUGCUCAAAUACUCUGAAGUACAGUAAAUGAGAGUGGUUGAAGAAAUGCCAAAAAAUUAUAGCCAAUGCAUAUGUACUUCCUCUGUCUCAUUUUAAGUGCAACCAUCAUUUUUCGUGCCCAACUUUAAUAUAGUUUGUCUUAGUUGAUUUUUUAAAAAACUUUUAAAAAAACUCAUGCAUAAAGUACUAUUCAUGGUUUAUCAUCUCAUAACAAUAAAAAUACUAAUUAUAAAAAAAAUAAAGAGGACGAAUGAUCAAAGUUGGACACGAAAACUGAUGGCUGCACUUAAAAUGGGACGGAGGAAGUAGGUAACCGGAAGCUAUAUGAUAUAAUUGAGUGGAGGUAGCUCAAUUAAUUGUCAAUUGACUUGACAUGGAAUACCUGCAGAUAGCUAUGUUUGUGAAACAAAUGGAAUCUUGAUCGACCUAGACAUCUACCCAAAACUGACAAGUUGUUCCUAUUUUACAAAGUUCGAGCUGCCAUACUAUCAUUGAUAUUCUCAAAUUGGCUAAUAAACUACCUUGAAUAUGAGCAGUUCAAGAAAUGCAUAAAAAAUAUAUAUAGGCAGUGCACAUCUGGGUAACGGGAAGCUAUUUGAUCCAAUCGGGCGGAGUUAGCUCAACUAUUUGUAAAUCGUCCUAGCAAAGAAUUCGUGCAUACAACCCUGUUUGUUAAACAAUGGAAUCUUGAGCUACGUCCCACUACUACAUAAAUCAUUUUUACAUGCAGCCAGCACAAUCGCAUGCGCCAAAAGAUCUACAAAAAAUCGGAUUUUCGCAUGCGACCAGCGCAACCGCGUGCGAAAAUGGUAUUUUCGUAUGUGGUCACCUAUAUCGGCUGCAUGCGAAAAUAAUAUCAGCGAAAAAAAUAAAAAAACCGAAUCGGCCGAACCCUAGCUCGCCGCUGUCAUCAGUCGGACCCACGCAGGGCGGCGCCACUGCUGCUGCCAGAGCCCACCGUCCUCCGCGCCGGAUCCACCGUGCGCCUCUCGUCGUCGCCGUCAGAUCCGCCGCCCCCGCCGCCCAUCGUCGUCACCGGCACUGGAUCCGCGUGGGGAUGGGUCGCCACCGCCAGAUCCACGCUAGGCGGCAUUACUCCUGGCCACCUCCUUGUCAUCAACGGCGGCGCCGCCUGCUCCCAACCCCACCGCCUGCUCCCGCACACUCGGUGAGGAGAGGAAGACAAGAGAGUAUCAGAGGAGAGGAGAGGAACAGACAUAAGGAGAGGAAGAGUGAGAGGAGAGGAGACGAAAAGUUUUAAGUGGUGAGAGCGAAAAGAGAGAGCACGGGAAAAAAAAUCUGUGAAGAAGAGGGUAUUUUCGCGUGCGGACAACUUAAGAGACACGCAUACGAAAAUUUAUUUGGUAUGUGGCCCCUUAAGAUGACCGUAUUGGUAAAUAGACUUAUUUUUACAUGCGAUCCCUUGCAAAUUGCUACCACUAUAGAACAUGACGUCGUGAACGGGACAUCCAUGAUAGGGGCUUGCAUCCCAUCAUAUAGACCUCCCAUUUGACGGGACAUAAUAAACCUCGACACAAAAGCACCAUUACAGGCACUCACCACAGGCCUCUAGUCUGGACCUGUUACUAAUGACACUCAUCCUCGACACAGAUGAGUUUUGACAUCACUGACCAAUAAUCUGUAACUGGGCUCCUUGCCGACAUAGAAGGGACCCACCCAACAUGGAUGACCUAUUCCAUAGGUGUGCUGUGGAGUCUUGAACUACACAUCGUCUAUCAAAAACAUUGACAAGGUCUUCCUAUUUUACAAGCUACAAGGUACCAUUCUAUCAUUGAUAUUGUUGUCAAAACGACAACUGCAUACGUCGAAAGACGUGGUUACUCAACAGUGGAUGGGAAAAUGAAGUGUACUAAAUUUUGAAUUUUCCUUGGGGAUCCCCCAUUACAUGGCCCUAGGGGACUAUUUAUAGCCCCAUUACAGGUUCUUACUACUAGGGUUUAGGUUGUACAGGGAAAUUUACAUGAUUACCCUUACCAAAGGGGCAUUUACAGGGGUACAUAAUGUUAUAGGGGCUCAUGGGCCUCUGAUGGGCCGUCUGGCGAUCGCCGGCCUGUUGGGCCGGAAAGGCUUCCUCGGCCCUCACGGGGGCGAACUUGUCAAGGCGAAGUCAUCCUCCUUCGGCAGAUAGUCUUCGCCCUGCACCCUUCGCCUGAGACGCCUCUGGCCUGGCGCUUGUACGACUCUUCGCCUUGCGCCGUUCUUGUUCCAUAGCCUUCGCCAUGGGUUUCGGCAGGUUUGGUUGAAGGACCUCAUGCCAUCCGCCAACAAGCCCCUCACGGGCAAGGGUGAGAUUGGAGCUUCGGCCGAGACCGUGCAAACCAUGUGGUAUGGUAUGCGGCGCCCCCUUUCGACCGAUGCUCCUGCCGAAACCUACAUUAUUCCUGCGAAUGAAGUUUGUUAUUUGUGCGGCUGGUAUUAUUUUGCCGCGCUUCGCCUCCUGCGAUUGAUUUUUAUAUAUAUUCUUUUUUCCUGGGCCGAACGGAAGCCUUCCUAUCGUGGGCUUUUCACUGUGCCGCUCGGUCGAUGGGAAUUUACCAUUUCACCUACCCUUGCGACACGUGGCGCUUUAUUACUAGUGGUUAGGCGAACGGUCGCCUGGGUGGGCUAUAUAUUCCCGCUUCUCUUUCCUUUUCACCGCCCCACUUUCCAUUUUACCGCGAGCGCUCUCUUCCUCCGUCUCUUCCUUUCACAGCAUCUUUCGACCCCUCAGGCGUUUCGCCGAAUCUCGUUUUUCGCCACCGCAAACGCACCGUUCGCCAUGGCCCCACGUAAGCCAAACCCUACUUCGGCGAAAGGGCCAGAUCCCGGCCUAGUCGAUGACAACAGCACCGCCUUUCUGGGGGUCUCUCUUGUAGACGACGUCGAGCUGGCGAAGAUGGUCAGCUCCGGAGCGUUGGUUGAGGGGCAGGCUUUCGCCCCAGGGAAAACCGUGGUGCCGAAACCUGUCGACAAUCGGACAGUGGUGUUCGCCGUAUUUUUUGAGGCAAGGCUACGGUUUCCUUGCAACGUGUUGUUGCCGGAAAUCCUUCGCCUCUUCCAGGUGGAACUUCCGCAGCUGAGCCCGUCGGCGCUUGUUCAGAUCGCUAUCUUUGACUGGGCGUGCUGGACUUCCGGGUUUGAGCCUAACACCGAGCUCUUUGGCGCCAUAUUUUUCGCCACCGUGAACUCGAAGACGGUGAUUACCCCGGCUGGAAUGAAAAAAACAGUGUUCGGGAGCGUGAACUUCAACGUUAGCCCCGAGCGGUCCGAUCUCUAGCCGGUGAACGCUGCCAUGUCGAAGUGGGACCGCCAUUGGAUGGCGAGGUGGUUCUACCACACCAUCCCCUUCGAGGCUAUUUCUGAAUCAGCGAAAGCCUUCCGGUGCCGGCGCAAGGCGAUUGCGCCGAACCGGAGGCCCAAGAUUGCUGUGAACGGCACCAUGGAGGCAUGGUUCGUUCUACUACGGAAGGUUUGCUCCCGCCUUAGCUGCCGUGACUUGGUGGAGGAAUUUUGUAUGCUUCGAAUUUUUCCCCUCUCCCAGUCAUGGCAAGUCGCGGUUGAACAAGGCGAAGAGGUCGACGGUUUGCCGAACCUGAUACUUCCUGAGGGGGCGAACAGUAAGACUGUUGUUUUGCUAUUUACUGCUGUGCUUUGUUAUUUCGCCUUAUUUGACUUUUGACAUAGCUUCACACUCUACUUUUACAGUGUUGACCCUCGACCAGGCCGAAGCCAAAGCCUGCAGGAUGAUCGGCGAUGUUUCGGCCGUCGAGUAUAGUCAGCUGUUAACGCAUCAAGCGGCUGGGCGGGCGAACCGGGUUUACAAUGGCGAACUGCCUCCCCGGGCGAAUCCCCAAAAGGUCGACGACGAGGCAGGGCCUUCGCGAAAGCGGACGCGCGGACAAGUGAAGCUUGCCCCCAGGAAGCGAAGGGUUCCUACUUCGUCUGACUCCGACGCUGACGACGAGGAUGAUGCCGAAGAACGUGACGGCGAGGAGGAAGGAGAUGAAGAGGAGGAGGUGGAGGCUGUGGCUGAUAAGGCCGCGAGCGAGGCGGUCGAAGACUGCGUCGACACCCCCGGCUACACUCCUACCCCAAGUCCCGGUCACAACGAGACCGGGGUGGAGUCGAACAGCUCCCCCCUUCAUCGGAAGGAUUUGGAAGGGGCGAAGGCCCUAGUUGCGUUCUCUUCAGGUGCAGCGGCGAAGGGAGGUCCUGGCAAAAAGGUGGCUAAGAAGAAAGGACUCGUCGAUGUCGCUCGCGUUUUUAGCGACGACGAGUCCUUCGACGGGACUCUGACUUCGCCCGCUGGUCGCAGCCUGGAUCUUUCGGCCGCCCCCAUUCCUCCAUUCGACGCCGCGGGAGUGGACGGUAGUACCGCCGCUGGGGCUUCAGCUUCUGCGGAAAGGAUUGUGACGGCCGCGGCGAAAGUAUUCGGCAAUCCUCCGCCUCAGCCGGUUGCAUCGCCGCUGAUUGAGGUGAAGGGAAAGAGAGCUGUCGCUGAGACGUCCGCUUCGGAAUAUUCGAUCUCGGUACCCCGCUUCGCCCCUGGCGAUUUCGAGACGCGAGCGGACCUCCUUCCUUUUUUGGAGGGGGUAAGCAAUCUUGUACUGCCCGCCAGUGCCCCGAGCUUGUUCACGGAACUGAAUGAGUUCGACGAAGGGUGUUCUGCUAUAAAAAGCCUGGCUGUUCGGGUACGUUCCCCCCCCCUUUUUUUAUCUUUACCCUUCCUUUAUCUUGUUUUUACAAUUGACACUUGUUCUCUUCGCCGCUCGUAUUCUGCGCCCAGAUCCUCGCGGCUCACUGCUCAACGGAGCGAACCGUGCGAGCCCGACUUGAUGAGUUCAAAAGCCGUCUUCGGGCCAAGGAUGACAAACUAGGCCGUAAAAAUUUGGAGAUGGAGGCCCUUGCCAACACUCUUAAGGAGGCGAAGGCUGAAAACAAGCGGCUCCAAUCGGAACUGGAGAAAGGGAAAGAAGUCAGGGCCGAAGUCGAUCGCUUAAAGGCCGAACUGGAGAAAGAGAAGGCCCAUUCGGCGGUGCUCAUCGACUACUACAACCUUACUGAGCCGAAGAUAGUCUCUUCGCCAGAAGGCUAGCAGGGCUGAAGCGAGCGCCGCGGAGGAGUCGCAGCGGUUUUCGCGGGAGAUGGCGAAGACCGCCGAAUCUGCGAGAACGGCUUGCCAAACCCUCCGCCUCGCCCUUACCGACAUGGGCGCGAAGGGGCGGGGGGUCCCUACCGAGGAUGCCUCAGCCUUCGACUUCUCCGAGUGGACCCAGCAGGCCGGCGGAUCGGUUUCGGACUGCGCCACCGCGUACGGCAACUGCUGUGCGCGCGUGUCAGCGGCCUUUACCAUGGGCCUCCUGCAGCAGUUCGGCUGCGAGCACAUCGCCGAGUUCCCCAAGUACGCGAAGGGGGAUUGGGAAAUCAGUGCACAAGACAUUUCACCUGCACUUCGUGCGUGGCGAAAACAAUUUUGGCAGAAGGACGGCCGCUCCGCCGCUAAGGCGCGCCUUUUGGAGCAGCUGGCGAAAGCAGAGGCGGCGGACCUUUGUGAAGAGGAAGGCGCGGCGGCCGGAGGGGGUGGAGGCGAUGCCCAGGACCACCCAGAGGUGUGAGGCCCUCCACCCUUCUCUUAGAUUUUCAUAGUUUUCUUUUGGUGUUCGCUAGAUGUGGCGAACCGUUGUAUAUUCGGCAAACUGCCGCUAAACCUUAAAAAAGGCUUUUUGGUAUAUUUGGAAUGUAUGACAUAAUCUUAAUUACCUUUUGAUGAUCGAAGUCUUUGGCAUAUUUUUAUUUCACUCGUUUCGCAUUAUGCCAUACCUUCCCCUUCUUUCGCCUACUCUUACCAUUCAAGAUGUGUUUUGCCUUUUCUGCACUGUCUACCAGGGGGUCCGCCGAAAAUCGUGCAUUCGGCCCCCUUCUGGGAGCUGGCGAAGUCAAAACGAGAAAUUUGUGGCAUUGAAGGGGCUGCCGAAGACGCAAUGUCCAUUUCGGCAUGUUUAUCGCGAAAUGGAGAUAAACGGUCGUAGCUAUAAGAUUAUCAAGGUUGCCAACUGGCUACGUGUGCACCCCGGGCGAACCUUAGAAGAUUACGAUCUUGUUCAUUCAAGACGUUUGGAAGAUAUGGCUCGCUUUUGGCGAAACCAUUAGAAGACUAAACGUCAGGAAUCGAUCUUUCAGCGUCGUUACAGUUUAGUCUGUGUUUCGCCCCCUACUCCUCUUAAGGUUGUGUAUGAUAUUAGUAGUGAUGACGAACCUAGUUCGUCCGACCAUUCCUUAGGGAGGGAUAAUGAUCACUGGGGCGAAGAUGUAAUUUACUUGUAAAAUGAAUUGUAUCGGGUUGUAAACCUUGUAUUCUUUGAUUAUUUUUUUUUCGAAGCUAAUAAAGAACGUGCUUUAUUUCCUUUUCGCUAUUUUUCGCAUCGUCACAUUUUGUGCUUUUGUUAGGUCGGAACAUGCCGGCCCCUUUGCAUAUAUUAGCGAAAUAGGUGUAUUGACUUUUCAGCUUUUCGUCGUUCGUUUUUAAUCUGUAGCGUUCUGUGUCGAGAGAAACGCUUUUGCUUUUAUACUGAUCGGUCGUAACGUCGUUCGGCUAUUUAUUUUCCGAGACAAGCUGUUGCGGUUUCAAUGUUCGGCGAGCAAUGCUUCGGCCGAUUCGUUUCGCCCCCUUGGCCUUUUUCGCUGAUCAGGCGUUUGCCUUGGGGUUUUUCCACAAAUUAUCAAUCACACGAAAAGUAAGAAGAAGGCGGAGGACACAGAGAUUUUAUACUGGUUCGGGCCUCCAUGGUGGAUAAUAGCCCUACAUCCAGUUUUUUUUCUUUUUCUCUCUUUCUUCUUUUUCUUUUUUUUUCUUUGCCGAAAGGCUUACAUAGUGCCGAAGGGCUUACAUGAUAGUAUGUACAUUUUUACAAGUUGGCGAUUUGGGUGCCACCCAUUCUAGACAUAGAAGCGCUUGAGGGAGGCGGCGUUCCAGGAAUGGUCGAACUCCUCGCCUUCGAGUGUCGCUAGGCGAAAAGAUCCCGUCCUGGACUUGCGCUUGAUGAGGUAUGGUCCUUCCCACUUUGAUUCAAGCUUGCCAACUGCUACUGGGUUCGCCUUCUUCCUUAGGACGAGAUGACCAGGCAUGAGCUCCGUGGGUCGAACUUUUUUGUUGUAAGUUGCCGAAGUGCUUGCGGCGUACUUGUGCAUGUGCUCGAGCGCUUCGACUCUUACUGCUUCCAAGAGUUCGAGCGAUACUUCGCGUCCUUCGCCCCCGAAAAACAUCACCCUUGGUGAGUUAGCCCCUAGCUCUGCUGGGGUUAUUGCCUCAUCGCCAUAAAGAAGCAUAAACGGGCUAAACUUGGUUGGUCUUGUGGGGGUCGUCUGAAGGGCCCAGAGAACCGAUAGCAAUUCCUCUGGCCAUUUGCCUUUCGCCGCCCCCUCAAGUCUUUUCUUCAGUGCUUCUAGGAUCUUGCCAUUUGUGCGUUCGGCCGCCCCAUUUGACUGCGGGUGUGCGACCGACGCGAGCUUGAUUUCCAGGUCAAACUGCUUGCCGUUGUCAGUAAUGAACUCUUUUGGCACUCCGAAACGGCAAACAAUGUUUUUCCAUACAAACUUCUGUACUGCUGCCAAAGUGAUUGCCCCAAGCGGUUCGGCUUCAAUCCAUCGAGAGAAAUAUUCCACAGCUACAAUUGCGAAUUUAUACCCGUUUCGUGCCACUGGGAACGGCCCAAUGAUGUCUAGUCCCCAUCUGGCGAAGGGCCAUACUGGCGCAAUGGGCUGCAGAUCAUACUGGGGCGCGGCUUGGCUUCGGCCAUGACGCUGGCAACUUUCGCACUUCUUGAUUUGCUCAACACAGACUUUCAACACAGUGGGCCAAUAAACUCCUUGUCUAAAUACUUUGGAGGCCACUGUUCUUGCAGCCUAGUGCGCGCCGCAUAGCCCCUGGUGUAUCUCCUUUGCCAUUUCUUCGCCUUCGGCAAAUGAGAUGCAACGAAGUAAGGGUUGAAGUACCCCUGUGCGGUAAAGCUGACCCGAAACCAUCUUAUACUUCGUGGCUCUGAGCUGCAAAUGCUUCGCUUCUGCUUCGUCUACCAGAAGCCAGCCAGUUUUAAGGUGUUUCACAAAUGGGGUUCGCCAGUCAUGUGGGUCUUCACCCCAUUUCUCCUUGUCGAUUGCCAUGACUUCGGAGCAGUCCAUGGGCACACUUGGAGCAUGCAGGACUUCGAAAAAGAUGCCCAGCGAAUAUGGGCCGCCUUAAGCAGCGGAUUUCGCCAAGGCAUCUGCCUCCCUGUUCUGGUCUCUAGGCAAGUGUUCGACCAUUAUGCCGGUGAAGCAUUUUUCCAUGGACCGAACAGCCUCCAGAUACCUCUUCAUUCCCUCUUCUUUUGCCUCGAAGGAUUUGUCAACAUGGCCUGCUACCAACUUGGAGUCAGUUCGAAUUAGCAGGCACCGGACUCCCAAUGCUUUCGCCUUUCUCAGGCCCAGGAGAACGGCUUCGUAUUCUGCUGUAUUGUUGGUUGUGUCGAACUGCAAUCUUGCUGCGUACCGAAUCGGCACACCAUUCGGCGAAAAGAGGACUGCCGCAACGCCUGCCCCCUUGUGCGACCACGAACCGUCAGAGCACAUCACCCAGAACUGCUCGGUGGGCUCAGGGUCGGGGGCAAAUACUGGUGUCCAUUCAGCUACGAAGUCAGCUAGCACUUGAGACUUGAUAGCAGAGCGUGCAACAAAAUGCAAGUCGAACGGGGAUAGCUCUACCGCCCACUUGCUGAGCCGGCCAGUGACUUCCUUGCCUCGGAGUAUUUCGCCCAAGGGGUACUGUGAUGGCACUAUGACUUUGUGGGCCUGGAAGUAGUGCUUAAGCUUGCGCGAAGCCAUCACUAGAGCGUAAGCGAGCUUUUCCAUUUCAAUGUACCUUGUCUUUGCUCCUUGCAGUGCUUCGAAGACGAAGUAGACCGGUUUCUGUCCGGACUCUGUUUCUUGGAACAGUAUUUGCUCUUCGCGCCUGUUUUCUCCCGAGCCGAAGGCUAUCAGCAAAAGUGCUUGGCCAAGAACUUGCACUGCCUCUCCGCCGAACCCCCGGAGCGACGUUGGUGCCGGUGUAAGAGCUUGGGUUGGCAAGCCCAUCUUAGCAUAUGCUUCGGCGAAGAUCACGUCGGCCUAACUCCCUCCAUCGACCAGGAUUCGUCGGACUUCAAAACCGGCUAUCUCAGCUGAGAUUACCAGUGGAUCUUGAUGCGGGAACAGGACUCCUUCAGCGUCUUCUGGCUCGAAAGAGAUCAGCUGGUUCACGUACUGUGGCGCCCCCUCACCCGCCGAAGUGAUGCUGUGGACCAUGCGGAUCUACAUCUUCUUCUGCCAUUUCGACAACUGGCUUGGCGGGUCAGCUCUUGUAAUCACUUCGAUUACCCUUCGCUGUGCAUCUUGGCGUUGUUCGGCUGGGGGUGUUUGCUCCUGAACUGCUUCACGAGGUGCUUCGACAGUUGUUCCCUGCUGUGGCCUUAGGUCUUGCGCGUUGCCAUGUUGCCUAAUGUUUCAGCAUUGCUCCGUGGUGUGCGAAGAGCAUCCGUGAAAGGCGCAGUAGAGGUCUUUUCGGACCUUCUUGCGGGCUGGCUGCUGAUGGUUGCUUGCUUGCUGGGCGUCGAACUCUUUGCGGAGGGCUUGCACUUCUUCGACAGCCAUCACAGCCUUGCCCGCCCGAUCUGUUCUGAACUUUCUCCAAGUCAUGGGGGCUUGGCCUUGCCUUGGCGGCUGUCCCUGGAUCGCCGGCUGAGACUGGCGAACAGAGAGGGGAGGUGGUUCGGCAACUUGAACUUGUGCUUGAGCUUGAGCAGCGGCGACGUAUAGCUUGUCGUCGUUUAGAAUCCUCCUCACUCCUUGUGAACCCGUCAAUGAUGCGAAGUAGGUGCUCGAGCAUCUGCGGCUCCUUGUUGGCGAUUUUUCUUGUUAGUUCGCCCUCAAGCAGACUGGCCCAACUGGUGGUACUUGCUGAGCCGCCACGGAUGGGUCAAAAAUUGGCUGCAACCACAUCAUGGCAGCAUGGAUUGGUGCUUGGUUUGUUCCGAAGCCUAGAGUUGGAACUUGCUGCCGAACAGUUGGCACCUGAGCAGUGUUGACGAAGUCGAACUGCGGUCCUUGAUUCCACGGCGAAGCUUCCAAGCCUGGCUGAAUUGGUGGCAAUCAAUUGGGCGCACCAUGACUUGUAUUCCCCACCGGGUGAGCCGAUGGGGUUGUGCUUGAAAUGUAGUGGGGUUGGUUGAGUUGCUGAAGGAAAGCUUGGAGUUGCGCCUGCAGAGCCGAAGCCCCUUCCGCCACUGAUUGUGGCGCUUGGCCAGGUGGUUGAUGCUGCCCGGCGAAGUUCACCGGCGCCUGUGUGGCUAGUGGCGGAGAGGGCUGGGUCACCACUUGCGGCCGGACUUGAGGUGGGGCAUAGCCUGCCGAAUACUGAAGGAUUAGAGCCGACGUGGCCUUGGUCCGCCUUGCCGCCUCGUAUGCUUGUUGUUGUUCUUGCAUUUGGCGAAGCAUGUCUUGGAGCCGUGUCAUGUUCUGCCGCAUGGCUUCCAUGUCGGCUUCAGCUUGCGCUUCGGGGUCCAGGCUGAUUUGGGCCUGUAUAACGGUGAGCGCAGUUGGGGCCGCCGCCGGCUGCGAUGGGGCGGCUUGGGGCACCACCAGUUGGUUUGUCGAAAGGAUCUCCGCCCUAGUCUGGAGUGCCCUUCCGCCGUAGCCGCCUUCGCCACGUCGGCCGUGUUCGGCACUUGCACUGACGUUGCGGGGGCCGAAGACGGUUCUGAUGGCGCGGGGGCCGAAGGCGGUUGUGAUGGCGCUUGUGCUUCUCCAUCUUCGGCCACGGACGCCGAAGGCUCUGCUCCUUCUUCGGCAGCCAUGUCCGGUCCGGCGUCGCUCUCCUUCCGCCUGAUAACCUUCUCCUUCACGACCCUCUUCGGUGGCAUUCGCUCUCAGUGGUUUCGCUCGGAGUCCCCACGGUCGGCACCAGCUGUUGUCAAAACGACAACUGCAUACGUCGAAAGACGUGGUUACUCAACAAUGGUUGGAAAAAUGAAGUGUACUAAAUUUUGAAUUUCCCUUGGGGAUCCCCCAUUACAUGGCCCUAGGGGACUAUUUAUAGCCCCAUUACAGGUUCUUAUUACUAGGGUUUAGGUUGUACAGGGGAAUUUACAUGAUUACCCUUACCAAAGAGGCAUUUACAGGGGUACAUAAUGUUAUAGGGGCUCAUGGGCCCCUGAUGGGCCGUCUGGCGAUCGCCGGCCUGAUGGGCCAAAAAGGCUUCCUCGGCCCUCGCAGGGGCGAACUUGUCAAGACGAAGUCAUCCUCCUUCGGCAGAUAGUCUUCGCCUUGCACCCUUCGUCUGAGACGCCUCUGGCCUGGCGCUUGUACGACUCUUCGCCUUGCGCCGUUCUUGCUCUAUAGCCUUCGCCAUGGGUUUCGGCAGGUUUGGUUGAAGAGCCUCAUGCCAUCCGCCAACAGAUAUUACAUCAAAUUGCCUCAUAAACUCCCUUAAAUAAGAGUGGUUGAAGAAACACGUAAAAAGAUAUAGCCAACGCACAUGUUGAUAACCGGAAGCUAUAUGAUCCAAUCGAGUGGGAGUAACAAGAUUAGUUGUAAGUUGUCCUAGGAAAGUAUUCCUCCAGAUAACUAUAUUUGUUAAACAAAUGGUAUCUUGAGCUACACAUCUACCCAGAACAUUAACAAGAUCUUCACAUUUUGCAUCGUUUGAUAUUCCAAGUUGCCUAAGAGCAAUUUUAAUAGUUGGCAACUCCCUCCGGUUAAUUAUGACGUUUUGAAUAAUGAUAUGGUCUUCAAAAUAUAUCAUUGACUAUACAUAGUCAAACAUAUAUUUUAAAGAGCAUGUCAUUGUUUAAAUACAAUAGGAUAAUGUGUGUGUGUCUAUAUAUAUAUAUAUAUAUAUAUAAUAGAAAAAAAGUACCGUACUAAAAGUAAAAAAAUAUUUAUUUAUUUUAUAUAUUAUAAUAGAAAAAAACAAUGUACUUCUCCCCCGUCUAGUAACUUAGAAUGAGAUAAGACCUAUCCACAUUUUGAGACGGAGGUAGUAAAAGUUAUAAAAGUUGCACGUCAACUUUCCAGUGAGAGUAUAAGCCAACUAUAGCUUAGGUAGAAAGGAGAUAUAUAUAAAAAAAAAGAGAGAAGUGCAAGUUUUCAUGCAAAAUAUAGCUCUACACAUGGUCCAAAGCCCAUGCAUUAGUUACACUAGCCGCUAACCCGUACGAUGCACGGGUAUUAUAGAGUAUAGAGAUAUAUUUUAAAUUUUAAUCAUAGCUUAAAUAUGUAGGUUUUAUAUUUUUUUUAUUAUACUGACUCUAGCUAAAAGAAGCGCACACGUUAGUUACAACUUCACAUUUGUGGUUUCAAAAUUUCAAAUUAAAUUAGUUAUUUCAAAUUAAAAAUGGAAAGUCCGUAAUUUCAGAAUUGUGUAUUAUCAAUUUCGUAAAAACUAAUAAAGAAUCCGAUUCGUAUUUGUGAAACAAAUUGAAUCUUGUUCGACCUAGACAUCUACCCAAAACUCUGACAAGUUGUUCCCAUUUUACAAAGUUCGAGCUGCCAUACUAUCACUGAUAUUAUCUCAAAUUGGCUAAUAAACUACCUUGAAUAUGAGCAGUUGAAGAAAUGCGUAAUAAAUAUAUAUAGGCAUUGCGCAUCUGGGUAACGUGCAAAGGAUUCUUGCAUAUAUAACCCUGUUUUUUAAGCAAUGGAAUCUUGAGAGCUACGUACGUUCACAUCUAUCCAGAACUUUGAGAUUCCUAGAAUUCCGUAAUAAACAACGACGAAGAGAGGUUUGAAAACAUGCGUUAAAAUCAUGUGGCGGUAGCUCAUCAAUUAAUUGUCAUUUGUCCUUGCAAGUAGUGAUACCCGGAGACAAUGGCAUCUUCAGCGAGUACACACCUACCCAGAACUUUGACAAGUUCUUCACAUCUUACAAAGUUCGACGUACCAUACUAUAAUUGAUAUUCCACCAAAUUAGCUAAUAAACUGGCUUGAAUAAGAGCAGUUGGGGAAAUGCGGGAAAAAUAUAGGCAAAAUGCACAUGUAGAUAACGGGGACCUAUUUGAUUCAUCUGGUGGAGGUAGCUCACAUUGUAAAUUUUCCUUGCAAAUUAAGGCCUUGUUUAGUUCCAAAUUUUUUCUUCAAAUUUUCAAUUUUUUUCAUCACAUCAAAACUUUUCUACACAUAUAAACCUCCAACUUUUCCGUCACUUCGUUCCAAUUUCAACCAAACUUUUAAUUUUUGACCUGAAAACACACUCUAAGAAUUCUUGCCGACAACUAUGUUUGUCAUUGAAUCGUGAGCUACACAUGUAUCCAGAACUUUGAUAUUCCAUAAUCCCUAAUAGACUACAAUAAAUAAGAGUGGUUAAAGAAAGCGUAAAACUUAUAACCAAUCCACACACUAGAGAAAUGAUCUUUAAUACCGAUUCUAAACUCUUUUUAAUCUCGGUUAUAGUAACCGAGACUUAAGAUCUAAAGAUGCAUACUAAAUAAAAAAUAUAUAGGAUGUGGGAUUCGAACUUAAGAUCUCGCAUCUCAACCAUUAUCUGUGUUACCAUCUUACCUACUCCACACGUUUAACUUGGAUAAAGGUAUUUUCAUUUUGAACUAACUCUAGAGGCAUUUUUAGUACUGGUUGGUAACAACCAACUUGUAUUAAAAAUAUCUUUAGUCCCGAUUGAUAUUAUCAACCAGUGCUAAAAAUAUCUUUAGUAUCGGAUAACAGUAACCAAGACUAAAGAUCCACAAAAAUUAGUACCGGUUGGUGCUGCAAACCGGUUCUAAAGAUGUAUUUUUAAUAUCAGUUGGUAACACCAACUGGGGCUAAAGAUAUAUAUUUCUAGGUACCUAGGCUUUUAGAACCGAUUAUAAAUAGCUUUAGUACCGGUUCUUAAUGCAUCGGCCGGUAUAUUUGUGAUUUGGGGUAUUGGAUAAAAGUUGAUGAUGGUGAAAGUCUGACGAGAGUGGUGAUGCUAUCGCCAAAGGGGCCACAACAACAGUUUCAUGUAGAUGCAGUGCCAAGUAAGCAUGAGCAGCGAUACCACGCACUAUAAGAGGUGUGUGGAUUUUUAACAUUUUAUUAUGUCAUAAUAUAUGAAAUCAGUUGACGUAAUUCCAAACGUCAAAAAGCCACGUCAUAAAUUUAGUAUGUGACGUUUGUACAUUUAUUGUCACAAGCAUUUGACAAUGCUUUAUUGUCAUAAAAUCCUGGGGCUUGCCACGUGGCAGCUGACAUAACAGUUGACAUGGUUAAAAAAAAAGUCACAAAAUAAGAUUCGGCCUGCUAAAGCCCAUGUAGCUCAUGGGCCACAAAUAUAUUUUUUCUGGGGUUGUUGCUAGCUGGCCCAGUAUAUUUUUUGCUUGUUUGUUUAUGAAUGCAGCCUGUACAAAUUUUCAACCCACACCAAUUCGGCCCAUAUGAUUUUUCCAACCCGCACAAUUCAGCCCAUAUGAUUUUUCCACCCCCACAAUUUAGCCCAUAUAUUUUUCCAGCCCAAAUAAUUUUUUCAGCCCACAAAGCUCAACUGAUAUUUUUUCAGCCCAUACAAUUCAGCCCAGAUACUAUAUUUCAGCACAUACAAAAUCAGAUUCAAAUGAAUUAACAUUCCACAAAUGAUUGCAAUGUCACAUGCAUUUCACAUUCCAGAAGUCUUGAAAUGCAAUAUCAUUACAUCCAUCCACCAAUUCAGUACAUAUCCAAACUCUCAAAUUUCAUAUUCCUGCUACUGCGAGAGCAACAGCAGCACAUCUGCAAUAGCAUCACAGCAGCAGUAGCGCAAUGGCCAAAAGCACAGCAGCAACAGCACAACGGCCAGAAGCACAGCAGCACCUAAAUAACAUCCCACAAGCACAAUGGUCGCAAGUUCAGUGUCACCAAAAUAUCAUCUGGAACCUAAUUGAGUAGGAGUGCUUACUAUUCAGCAUCUGAUGAUGCAAAAUUGCUGCCAAACAAUUGAGUAGUUUCUUAUUGUACUUGAAUUACAUGUACCCCAGUGGCAUAAUGUAUCUAUGAAUCCUAUAAUACAUGAGUAAGCAAAAUUUAGUAGACUCAAGUAAACCCCCGCGGGGCAUUGCAUUUACGUUAGAAAACAUUGGCCGCAGUUUCAUUGAUAGAAACAGACAGAGUUGUCCGAAGUCCAGUGCAAAAAAGAACAAGUACCUUACGGCAUCUGACUUGAAUCCCAUCAGGUUUUAUAGUGCUAAACUGAUCCUCAAAUUGGGUCAUUGUGCAUUUAAUGGUAGAAUCCUCACAUGUAUUGUAUGAGCAGCAACUAUAAAAUAAAGAUAAUAAAUUUCAGGACAACAACAAAAUUAUCAUGUCUGGACUAAAGCCUACGAUUAUAGCAAAUACCUUAUGUUCAUACGUAUUGCUGCUCCAGCCCGUUUAUCUGCCGCAUGACAACGCACAGGUGGACAACGUGCAUGACGGCAGCAUCCGUAAGGAUUCAUCCUUAAUCAAAAGUAUUAUUUAGCCUUAGCCUUAGUCCACAUAUUGCACACAAAAAUGAAGAGUUAUUCCAUACAAAAUCGAAUCCAGAUUCAUCCUUAAUCAUACAAAAGCAUCUCUUGCUCUAAGAUUAAAAGGAAUGUGACAUCAAGCUAUGAACGAGCAGAACCGUUCAGCUUUCUUUAAUACAAGAAAUAAACAAGCUCACCUUGUGCCCAUUGUGGCCUUGGUGUUGCUUGUCCGUUCAGAGAUCUUGGGCUUCAUGCCAAGAUUCGGCACAGAAGUCUCGGCCAUAUCAACCACCGGCGCUUGAUGCAUCACAGCCACACCAGUGGCGGAGGACGGAAAAAAUUUUAGGUGUGGCCUACGAAUUACCACAGAAGUUAGCACAUAACGAAAAAUCUCAAUGCAUGUUAUUAUACGAUGCAAUAUUAUCACAACAAGUCUACAUUAAGCACGGUAAACAAGAACUAAUUAUAAGUUGAUGAUUCAUCAUCUAUUUGUAAACUAGAUAGAAGAGUAGGUACUCAAAAAAUACCUCAACUUCCUAAGAUUCAUGCUUUCAACAAUACAUCACAAAUAGGAAGUACAGUACUGAGUAUAGAUAGAUAUAGUACCAAAGAUUGAUUAAUGUUCACAUAUGUAGGCACCUGUUGAUGGAGUGAUGGAUGCUUGGCUUGUUGGCUUGUCGCUUGCUUGCUGUCGUCGCUGGGUGCUGCACGCCUGCACUGCUGUUGUGCCAUUCAUCCCACCCUGCCUCUGUCUCUGCUCUUCCUGCGCUGCGCGCCUGCCCAUUUGGGCCAUGGCGGCUGGUCGUGCUGCCGCCUUGCCGGAGCAGAUGCCACAGCCGCAGCUCUGGAAGCCUGGUGGCCGCGCCCUCCUCACCUCACCCUGCCCUCCCGCGCGGCGCGCACCACAGCAGCCCCCGUCCGCCGAUGGGGAUUGGGGAUGGGGAUUGGCGGAGGUUGGAGGAGAUGGUCAGAUGACUCAGAUGGGGAAAUUUGGGUCUCAUUUACACUAAACAAGCCUAAUGGGCCUACUAGCUAUCAGCGUGAGGACCAGCACUGGCAUUUGCGGACGCGUCCACGCCGUGUCGGCACUCUCUCUGACCCGGCUGCUGCUAUGCGCGGAGGAGCACGAGGAAGGGGGGGUGGUCAGCGGGCGGCGCGAGGAUGCUGUGGCCAACGUGGUUUGGAAUCGGCUAGCGGUUGGGCCCGUCGAUGCAGCCGCACGCCGUCCUCGAGCCGCCCGGGGAUUGCCGCCGCUCGAUCUAGCCGCCCUAGGCCCGGGAUCUAGCAGAUCCACCGCUCCCGAGCGUGGUGGCGGCGGAGAUAGAGGCGGCGUGGUAAGCGGCGAAGGAGGACGCCGCCGCACGCUGUCAUCGCCGAUACCCACCGCCGGAGAGGAGAGGAGAGGAAAGGAGAGGAGAAUGGAUGGGAGUGUGGCGGCUGAGGGUGGAGAGAGAGAGAGAGAGGAGGGGUGGAGAGGAGGGUUUUAUAUAGGGCUAGGGUUAGGGACGGCGAUCAGAACCAUUAGAUCGAAGAUGGACGGUCAGAAAUAGUUGGGCCAUUUGGGCCGAAACAGGAAUGAUCAUAUGUUUUUUUUUUAAUUUCAAUUUAUGAAAACAUUAAAUGUAAUUUUAGGUCGAUUUUUUUUGUUUCAAAUGAAAAAAUCAUAAAUAAUAAAAUUAUAGAACUAAUCGAGAUCUACAACUAUUGUAUUAGUCCUUUUUACAAAUAAGUUCAUUUGAACAAUACAAAUUUUGAAUUUUCAAAAAUUGAUAAUUUCGAAUAAAAAUUGGGGUUAAUAAAUGAUUUCAAAUGGAAAAGUCACCAAAACUAAAGUUGUAUAAAUCAUCGAGACGGAAAUUUUUUAUUUUUGUCAUUUCUCCAUCUGACUCUAUUUGAACAAUUUGAAUUUGAAAUUCAAAGUUUGAGAACUUCAAAUAGAAUUUUUUUAUUAGUGAACGACUUCAACUGAAAAAUUCAUCAACAACAAAGUUGUAUAAUCCAUCUGAAUCUACAAUUUUUAUUUUGGUCAUUUGUUCAUUCGACGAAGCGAUAGUAAGAUUGUUCACAAAAUUUUAAUAUGGUUUUAUAAACUAUAAGAGAGAUUUGUAAAUUUUGUGAACAAUGUUAAUAUCACUUUGCCAGAUGAAGAUAUGACCAAAAUAAAAGUUAUAGAUAUUUAUGAGUUAUACAACUUUGUUAUUGAUGACUUUUUCAGUUGAAAUCAUUUAGUAUUUGAAAAUAUUGUUUGAAGUAGUCAUAAUUUGAAAUUCAAAUUCAAAUUAUUGAAACAAAGUCAUAUAGCAAAAUGACCAAAACAAAAGUUGUAGAUCUUGAUAAGUUAUACAAAUUUUUUGUUGACAAUUUUUUCAUUUGAAAUCAUUUACUACACAAAAAAAUAUAUAUUUGAAUUUCUUAUAUUUUAAAAUUCAAAUUUUAUAUAGAUCAAUCAAACUCAGAUGGAGAAAUAACUAAAAUAAAAUUGGUAGAUUUCGAUAAGUCAUAUAACUUUGUUUUUGACAAUUUUUUCACGCAACUCCCAACAAUUUUUAGCUUGCGGGUUCGACUCCUAACUCCUAACAUUUUUUAGCCAUUUUGCUGAGUUAGGCGCGGCUGCUCGGCCUAGCGCACGGGUUGGCCCAUUUCGGGUAAGCGGCUGUUGGGCUAGCACCAGGUUGGCCCAUCUGAAAAUGAGAAAAGAAAAUCUGAUGUGGCAAUAAGGCUUGCCUACAUGGACAAAAAUAUUUAAAAUAAUACAAUAAAUAAUUUGUGACACAUAAAUAGGUCUUAUGACAUAGUAAAUAUUGUCACUGGAUGACACUAGACUAGCUAUAUGACACUUAUUGUGACACACAACUUUUUAUUGUCAUUAAGUUAAAAUGCUUCAAAUAAAAUGUCAUAAAUUAGAUGAUAUAGUGACAUUAUAACCUGUGUCAUAUAAGCCACACAUAACUUGUAGUGGCGGUCCGAAGGGGACGACGCAUGCAGCUAGCGGCAACCCGAAGCUUGGCAUAGUAGACAUGUUCCAUCCUACGAAGGCUUGUCACAUAUGGCCAUAUGGGCAUGCACUGUGAUCAGGCCAAUAGCACACAAUGCAACACAGCGAUAAACAAUGCCGGUUAUGCCGCGCAGAGCAGAGUCGAGGAAGGUGAUGUCGGGUAAGAUUGGAGCCGUGCAAAUGACGACGGAUGACUGUGGGCGACGCAAACCUGGGUCUCUGACCAGUAAAAAAACAAACACGAAGGUAGUGCACUAGUAAAUAGUAGAAGUGUAUCCUCUGUUCUCCAUUCGCCUCAACUACCACCAAUGGGCUCAAAUCUGUCCACAACUAUCUCCACUCUCUCUCCUCUCUUGGUCAAGGUCACAAGUUCACGGAGAGAGAGAUAGACAGAGCAGAGAUCAAGCAACCACCACUAUUGAAGAACCGAUCUUUACUGGGUUGGACGAAAACCACAAUAAUUCCGGUUCCAAAAAGAAUCAUAACUAAAAAUCAUCUUUAGCCUCGGUUGAAAAGCCCAUAACCAUUUUAUGAUCUUUAGUCCCGGUUGGUAACACACUAACCGGGACUAAACAUAGUCCCGGUUAAAAAAGUGUUUGCCCCCUACUUUUUUUAUUCCCGAUUAGAAACACCAACCGGAAUUAAAAAUCGGUGCAUAGUAUAUAAUUCCUCGUACUUAUCCUCUAGCAACCAUCUCUUCCCUUAUUCUCCUCCUCUCUUUUCUUAUCCUUUCCCUUUCCUCUCUCUAUUCUCGCACGCGGCAGUGGGCGAGCGAGCAGGGCGGGCUUGCGGCGGCUGAGGGAGGCGCGGCCGCCGGGUGGCAGGUGGUAGGGCGCACGUGGAGGGGCGUGACAGAGGGGUCGCGGCGGCUGCUGGGCGGUAGGCGGCCGGGCGCACGCGGAGGGUCGGCCGGCCGGAUGUUUUUCUUUUUCUUUUCCUUUUUUUCCCUCUUAAUUUGUGGAUGAUUUUUUGUUGGCUAUAUAUGUUGUUGUGGAUGAUUUGGGAUUGUGGAUGAUGAUUUUGUUGUUGUGAAUGAUUUGGGAUUGUGGAUGAUUUGGGAUGUCGGGAGAUGAUCUGUGGAUGAGUUCGGCUGAAAAAACAAGUGCAAGUAACUAAAAUCAAUUAUCCACAAGCAAAUAGAAAAAAUAAAAAAAAAUCUCUCCUCCCGGUUGGUGUUACCAACCAGGACUAAAGAUCGCUAUCUUUAGUCGCUAUCUUUAGUCCCGGUUGGUGUUAACAACCAGGAGUAGAGAUGCAUCUUUACUCCCUAGUAUUUAAACUGGGACUAAAGAUCGUCAUCCUUAGUGUCAGAUUUCUUCUCCCUGUUUGUAACCCGGGACUACAGGGGUUGCGAACUGGGAGAGAAGAGGCAUUCUCCUGUAGUGCACGGAGGCUGCAAAAGAUGACGUUGCAACAAAUAUAUAGUUUCAAACAGAUAUUUUUAAAAGUAAUGCCUCCGGACGCUGCAACACUAGACUUGCCUGAUCAAGCAUAUAUGUUGGAGUUUUUUCUGAAACACAAGUUUAGAUAGCUUUAAUGCGCACGUUGGAUAACAGGGGUUAUAUUAACAAGGCACGGCACAUUAUAUACGGCCAGAAGAAGCACGUAUGUAGGGAUGAAAACGAAACAGAAACGGACGGAAACUAGCUUUAUCAUAUUAGAUUUUAGAUUUUUUCGGAAUUGGAAUCAGAAUCGAGAACCGGAUACGGAAAUCAAAUCGAAUAUUAUCAAAUAAAGAUACCUAGUGAAUAUGAAAUGAACGAAUAUGGCAACAAAUAUUUGUCGGUAUAUAAAAAUCCUCUCAAACAUUUAUAUCGACAAUUUCGGAGGCGGUACUACAACCUUAUGUGAAAAUUGAUUUUCAAGGCAAUUCCCCUAAGAGACUCACAUGUAAAUAUAUGUAAAUAUGAUUAUUUAUUUUUUAAUCCCACGACCUUUUACUACAUGUAUAGCUUACUUACCAUAUCACUUAUCAAGAUCUUAUUGUAUAAAUUAGAGAUGUUAUUUAUUUUAUUUCACAUCUUCAAAACUUGUAGUGUUUGUUUUAUACUUUAAACAUUUUAAAAUACAAAUGUUAUAAACUACCAAGUGGUAGAUCUCAUUGAGCUCUACAAUUUUGAUAUGGAACACAUCUCCAUUAGAUGUCGUUUGAAUUGGAGAUAUGAGGUUUUGUAAAAAUAGAUAUGGUAUUUUAUAAUGAAUAUUUAGACUCAAAAAUGAUCUCAAAUAAUAAAAUAGUCAACAAGAAAUUGUAGAUAUCAUCAAGCUCUACAAUUUGAUCUAAAGUUUAUCUUCAUCUGACUCCGUAUGAAAAUGUUAUGUAUAUAUAAGUGCUUUUUCUAAAAUUUGAUCUAUGUAUGUGGAUAUCCGGACAAAAUUUCUGAACGUUUUCCCAUUCCGACGGAUAGUACCUUACUCUAUUCGUUUUAUUUUCCGAGAAAAAAGAAAUCCGCAUUUGUUUCCUUCGUCGUGACUAGCCGAUGCAUCGAGCCGGAUUUUUUUUUGAUUCGUGGAACCUCAAAAGUGUCGGAUCUUAAACCGGCACCUAUUUGUGUUUCUGUAGUAUCGGCUUCCACCCUCCUCGUGGAUCUUCCCGUGACCAGAUCUGAGGCUGGCCAUAGGAGGAGGGGGGUGGGGGGGGGGAGAGCUCCAUGAAGAAGAGGAUGUCUAGCCACUAGUGGAGCACGAGUCGACGCCAAUGCCCAAAAACUCCCCUGCAUGUUGCCAACUGUGAGGGAUGUCGCCGCCGUGUCUAAGGCCACGACCACCUCCUCAUGUCGCGACGGCGCCUCCGGCGCCAUCUCGCGCCCCUUGCUUGGUUGCUCCUACGGCUGCCAAUUGCCAGCUCUGGUGGCUCCCAGCGUAGUCGCCGCUGCCCCACCACCACCUCUCCUAUGCCCCCGCCGCCUGCCACCUCGUUCUCCCCUUCCUCCACCUUCGCCCCCUCCAGAUCUGGCAGCGCCCGCCAUGGAUCUGGCCUCACCGUCGCUCCUGCUCCACUCCGCCGCUUGUCUUCCCCCUUCCCCGCCGCUUGCUAUCUCCCUUCCCGCCUCCUUGGCUGCCACCGUCAUCCCAGGAAGGGGCCAAAUCUGGCCAGGGAAGCCAUGUCCGGCGCCGUCGCCACCCCCACACUGUUGGUAUUUCUUAACGACAUUACUAGAAAUAUAAUGCCCAGCAAUGGAACAGAAAUAUUUAUGUUAUAUUAUGGUUACAAAUCAUAUACGCAAGCACACGGAUAUACUAUAGUAGCAUUUCACCCGGAAGUAUUACAAGGGUAUCAUAUUUGUUUAGUCCCGUGGAAAGAUUAUAAUGGAGAAAACUAUGCUAAUAUUUAUAUGUUACUUGUAAUAAUCAGUCUAAGCAGGUGUUAAUUUAAUUCAAGGGUAGAGUGACACGAAGCAUAAAAACUCAUUCUCUCAUAAAUAAUAAGUCUAGGCAAAAUGGAAAAGAAUAAGAAAAUAAUCUAUUCUUACACCUCUAAUAUACAUACAACUUUAGUUAAUAUUAUCUGCUAUAUAAUUAUAUAGCCAAUACCCCCAUUACAAUGCCCUCCUGGUGUUUCGAGAGACCACUCCUGGUUGCCGAGUUUCUUACGACAACCCAUUAUGGCCAUCCAACCGGUGCUAAAUACGGAGAAGUAACCUCCCUAGAAAAGUAACUUAGGAUUAUAUACUAAUAUGGAGGAAUACUUAUACUGAGCUAUCACUAUCAGCGGCCCACCUCGACUGACCCGCAGCAUAUAACCCCAUAUAAUGAUAUUCAAUAGUCUAAGCACCUCGCUUAUACUACCAAAUACUACUCUACAAUCAUCGUCAUGACUUAGAGCAAUCAUACGAAUGAACAUUAUACCCACACCAAUGCAUCUCCCAGUUAAGCUAGCUAGACAAUUAUAUCUCAAAUAAUACAUUGGAAAGUUGGUACUCCAAUAAUCAGAGUGAAGUAAAGUACUGUAAAUAUAUUUUGAAGAAUAUUCUAAUAAUUGUACAAGUCUUACAAAAGAAGGAAGAGCUACUAGAGCCAUACCCGAAUUCUUCCGAAGGCUCCGAGGACUAAAGAAACUAUUUUAUUCCUGCUCCACUAGCACUAGAAUACUAAACUAAACUUAAGAGAGAGCUUGGAGCUUCUUGCUUGAGUGUGUCAUGGAGGGAGUGAGGUGAAGGCCUUUUCUAGGCAGCUUAUGACGGUUGGAAAGGUCGGAAACGCCCUCCAACCAUCAUUGGGAUCAAUCCCAGCCGUCCCACCAAACGCUGCAUCUGACGGCGCCACGCAAGGUUCGGCUGAACCAUGGGCUGGGCCGACCUGGCCCAUCUUCGGUAGAUCGCUUCCUCUCUGCCUCCUUUAUCCAAAAUAGUGAAUUUUGGGCUUGUUGGAUCUUUUAAAUUUGGUUUUCUCAGCCCAUUUGUCCAUAAGUCUGAUUCUCGAUAGCAUCUGAUUGAGUGAUCGUCUAUUUUGUUGUCGACUAUCCUCCCUUUUGUGUUUAUUCUCUGCAAGACGUUAGAAUCCUAGUGGUACUUGAAAAUAGUUUAUUCUACCACAAAUAUGCAUUGCAAGUAUAACUAGUUCUCCUUUAUUUUAGUAAUAUUAACUUGCAAAACUGAUCGAUUACGAUCGUCAAUACGCACCCAACCGCCUCCACGCACAACCGUUCCGCACCCAGCCGCCUCUGCAUGCCCAGCCUGACGCUCCGACGCCACUGUUGACUGUCGUUAGCGAUCAGUUUCGACCGUCAAUACUACCAAAAUAAUAGAGAGCUAGUUAUCCUUGCAAUGCAUAUUUGUGUUAGAAUAAUAAAUAUUCCACUAGUACUGGGAUUACUAACCUCUUGCAGAGAAUGAACAUAAAAUGGAGGAGAAUCAACAUCACAACAGACAAUCAAUCAAUCGGACGAUGAGGAGAAUCAGACUUAUCAAUGAGUGGGCCAAGAAUGCAGAAAUGACAUGACCAAUUGGGUCAAAAUUCACAAGUCUGAAGUGAACAGCAGAAGAGGAGGCCGCCAGCCGAAAAUGGGCUGGGUUGGGCCGUCCCCUCAUUCGGACAAACCCACCGCCUGGUUCGGCCGAACCCGCCGUGCAGCCGAUGGAUCCAGGGUUGGCGAUAGACGGUGUGGAUUGCUUCCCUAUGGCGAUUGGAGGGUAUUACCGACCUUUCCAACCGUCAUAACCAUCAUUACCUGCUUAUUUAAGGCCUUCAUCUCCUCACUUUCUUCACACACUUCGAGCAAAGUUCUCUCAUACUCUCUCAAGCUUAGUUUAGCAUUCUCAAGCUAGUGGAGUAGGAAUAGAAUAGAAAUCAGAGUCUGGAAGUCUUCGGAAGAGUUUGGGCAUGGCUCUAGCAGUUCUCCUUUCUUCUUUUGUAAGACUUGUACUUUAUUUAGAAUAUUCUUCUUUAUUCAAUUCUGGUAUUGUAAUACUUUCCAAGUAUAUGAAUGCCAACUUUACUUUAUAUUCAAGUUAUAUUGAUUAUACUGCUAGCUUAUAUAGGAGAUGCAAUGGUACGGGUAUAGUGUUUGCUUAUGUAAUUACUCUAUGUCAUGAUGAUGAUAUUAGAGUAGUAUCUGGUAAUUAGGCGUGGUGUCUAAAUUACUGGGUAUGAUUAUUUGGGUUAUAUGCUACGGAAGAGAGGUGAGUCGCUGAUGGUGACAGGUCAGUACGGGUAUUCCUCCGCGUGUGUAUAUAGUCCUAAGUUAAUUUCCUGGGGAGGGUACUCCUCCGUAUUUAGCUCCGGUUGUAUGGUCAUGACGACCUGUCGUAAGGAACUCGGUAGUCAGGGGUGGCUUCUCGAAGUACCAGGAGGGCAUCGAAAAGAGGGUAUUAGCUAGUUAAUCUUAUAGUUAGGAUGUAUGUAUAAGAUGUAUACUAGAAAUAUAGGAAUAGAUUCUUUUCUCUUUUCUUUCCACUUAGCUUAGAUGAUUUAAUAUGAAAAUAAGUAGUAUUAUGCUUGUGUGUCAUUCUACCCUAUGAAUUACAUUAACUCCUGCUUAAACUAUGGUUAUUACAAGUAAUAUAUAAAUUAUUAGUACGAUUCCCUCUACUAUAAUCUUCCCACGCCAAAAUUUGGAAUAAUUUUUAAUCACGAUAAAACAAUAAUUAAGACUUCAAACAGAGUGUAAUAUUUUUUAAUUAGGAAUUUUAAAACUAAAUUAUGAAGAUGCUAUAUAUAUUUGAGACUACUCCACAUGGAAUACAACUUGAUAUUUAAUAACUACGAAUAUAGGUGUCGAAACAUGAUUUCGGCAAUAAUAAAAGGGGGUAGCACACGAGACCUAAAAGUGGAUGGAUGCAGAGACAAAGGAUUUAGACAGGUUCAGGCCCUCUCAAUGAGAGGUAAUACCCUACUCCUGUUUGGGGAUUUGAAUCCGCCGGGUGUAGUAUAGAUCUGACGAUCAGGUUGUGUCAUAUGCCCCCUAGAGGGCCUCCUGCCCACCUUAUAUAGGAUGGGGGGCAGGAUUACAAGAUAGAAACCUUAACCAACACGGUAUCGGUUUCCUAAAUCUACUUUACAAUCUUAUCAAGCCAGGACUUUAGGCCGUUCCAUAAUAUACAGGGAAACGUAAUACCCAAGUCAUGAUCUGUUACAUAUUUCAUACAUAUAUGUUAUCCCCUAUUACUAGUCGGAUAACCAUGCCGUGUGGAUAUGGGGUACCCAUAAUCUCCACAGUAGCCCCUGAGACCUUCACAGUCGGAAAGAUAAUCUUCUCUCGAACUAGAUUACUCCAAAGCCGAGUGCUUCAAUCAUCCUCGCCAUGAUCUCCCGAGUACUUUUACCAAAUAUAAAGACUGUGGAGGGCUGAAAAAUAAAGUCAGGUGCAUCAAAUAGAUGUACCAACUGAGUGGUUUUGAUAAUUGUAAUCAACCAAGUGACUUGAUAUCAAUAUAUAGCAUAUGCGGUGUGAAUCCCCGAAUAAUAUAAUCCAAGUGAUAUACCGACUGCUUGGCAAAAUAUGAUGCGUACAACCUAAAGUUGACAACAUCUUUGAAAGUUCACAUAGCAAAACAACUAUAAAGAAGCUUGAAUGCUGUGAAUAAAGAAAUUUCCAAAGUAUUGGGCAUACGCCAUGCGCACACUGCUUUAACAGAUGUGCUUAAGUCCCUAGAAGACACAUGGUUCCACCACACCUGGAAAUAUAUGGCAUAUGUGGUAUAAAAUCCGAGUAAAUAAACUCAUAAAGGAUUUACCAACCGCCUGGAAAAUGACUACAAUAUAUAAUCAGCCUAAGCCAUAAUAUUGGUCAAUAAAAAUGCACACUUACGUGGCAAAAAGCAAUGAUAUUGUAUCCAAUCAAUUGCUUAAAAACCCAAACAGCACCUUGACUUAUAUAAAAAAGUCAGCGGGACAGCUAUAUAAAGCUUUACUGUUUGACACCUUUUAAGAUGCAUUGUACCAACUCCUAAAAAAGUUGAAUAACUGUGGUAUAAAAGGAUUUUAAGGUAUUGGGCACUUGAUCACGCGCACUUUGGCCUAAGCAAAAAGUGCCUAAGUCCCUAAAAGAACGUGAUAGGCCACACCUGAAAAUAUGGGCUGCAGACAUAUUAGGCCUAGGCCAAAAAAUAUGCCUUCGACACCCUUUAAAGGAUGACGCAUAUAACAUGCUCCCGAGUAAUAAAUCUUCCGGGUAAUAUAAUAAUUGAAUCCCGACUGGCGCAAGUAUUCGGUUGAUAGCCCUUACGGGGAAUAAUAAUUGGUCCAGUCUUUGAGCAUAGAAAAUAGACUCAUGACUAUGAAUCCAUGUGGAAUGUAUCCGGAACAAGUCCAAAUUGGAGAUAUAAUCCUCACGCUUGAGUUGAUGAGCCCCUGAGCAUAUAGCUUGUCCUUCUGUCAUAGUCAAAAUUGUCUAUUGGCAAUAGCUGAUGCAGUCGGCAUGGAGAUGAAAUGACCAACAUGAAGACGAAAUUGCUCAUCAGAAGUAACGGAAAAUGUCAGUGGUAGUAAAAACAGUGACACCAAUCAAAGGUAAUGAAGUUGCAUAACCAUGGAGGCGAAGAAACCAGUCGGCAACAGUCAGGUCAGCUAGCAGUGAAGAUGUAGGCGCCCAACAACAACAAAAGAACAGUCGGUGGUGACAAAAGCAAACCGACGAUGAAGACAUAGACGCGCAUCAACGGUGAUGGCGAAACCCACCAAUCAUGAAGAUGAAGAAAAUAAUCGGCGGCGACAAACGCAUCCGACGGUAAUGAUGAUUAGCGGCAACAGAGAUAGCCGACUAUGAUGACGAAGUUUCCCAUCAACGGCAGCAGAGUAGGCUAUGUUGAAGAGGCUUAACAAGAUGUUGAUGAAGAUGACGAUGUCGGUGAUCCAGUCAAUAGCGAUGUAGCAGCCGAUGAUAACGAUGAGAUCCUCUAUCGGCAGUUGCGUAGUAGGUCAACCGUCAAGGUGAAAUAAUAAGUCGGCGAAAACAUAAUCAUCCAUUAGCAACAGCGGAGAUGUCAGGGUCGAUGAAGCAGAGGUGCUGGAGAUGAUGUUAGUGACAAUAAUCCAUCAAAUUAAUGUUAUAGCUGUUGUAGAUGCUUCACUUGGAGGAGAGUUGAUGUUGUUGUCCAACUCGUCCAAACCGAAAUAUUUGAAGUUGUUGGAGUAGAAUGUCUGUUCCGAAGCAAAGAUGAAGAUAAUGACUCCUGGAGUUGACUCAUUGGCUUAUAUAAAAUUUGUCAAAUUUUGAGCCUUAUAUUUGUGUAGCCCCCGACUCUUUGGUUAGUUGGGAAACAACUGAACAUAGAGUCGAGAAUUAUAGCUUCUUGUCGUCGAGUAGUCAUUGCUUGAUUGAAGAUAUGUGUUGAAGAUGUCCAAGUAGAAAUCCGAAGAUAAUAAAGAUGAAGUCGCUCCACCAUGAUGACAAAGUUGUGUUGCCGUGAUGAAGUGAACACGAGUCGACGGCGGAAGACGAUGAUGUCCAUCAGUAGUGGUAGCUGUAUAAACCAAAUGUAGAGGCAAGGGCACUAGUUAGCAGCAGACGAGACGACCGGUGAUGAAGAUGGUAAGGCCAAUCAACACUAGCAGAAUCAUGCGGCCAUGGAAGUGAAGAAACCAGUCGGCAGCCAUGGCAAACGUAGGCAGCUUGUGUUGAAGAUACUGAUGCCUAUUAGUAGUGACAGCGAUGUAGCCAGCCGUGAAGAAGAUAGCAUCAGUUGGCGUUAUAACAGGCCAGCCGUGCAGGCGGUGACACCAGUCAGCGGCGGAUGCGGUGGCCGGUUGGUGAAGACGUAGACGCCCAACAACGGCGGCAUAAAGGCCAGCCGUGCAGGCGGAAACACCAGUCGGCAGCGGCGAAGGCAAGCCGGUCGGUGAAGACGUAGACGCCCAACAACGGCGGCAUAAUAGGCCAGCCGUGCAGGCGGAAGCACCAGUCGGCGGCGGACGAGGCGGCCGGUCGGUGAAGACGUAGACGCCCAACAACGGCGGCAUAAAGGCCAGCCGUGCAGGCGGAAACACCAGUCGGCAGCGGCGAAGGCAAACCGGUCGGUGUAGACGCCCAAUAACGGCGGCAUAAAGGCCAGCCGUGCAGGCGGAAACACCAGUCAGCAGUGGCGGAUGCGGCGGCCGGUUGGUGAAGACGUAGACGCCCAACAACGGCGGCAUAAAGGCCAGCCGUGCAGGCGGAAACACCAGUCGGCAGCGGCGAAGGCAAGCCGGUCGGUGAAGACGUAGACGCCCAACAACGGCGGCAUAAUAGGCCAGCCGUGCAGGCGGAAGCACCAGUCGGCAGCGGCGAAGGCAAGCCGGUCGGUGAAGACGUAGACGCCCAACAACGGCGGCAUAAAGGCCAGCCGUGCAGGCGGAAACACCAGUCGGCAGCGGCGAAGGCAAGCCGGUCGGUGAAGACGUAGACGCCCAACAACGGCGGCAUAAAGGCCAGCCGUGCAGGUGGAAACACCAGCCGGCAGCGGCGAAGGCAAGCCGGUCGGUGAAGACGUAGAUGCCCAACAACGGCGGCAUAAUAGGCCAGCCGUGCAGGCGGAAGCACCAGUCGGCAGCGGCGAAGGCAAGCCGGUCGGUGAAGACGUAGACGCCCAAUAACGGCAGCAUAAAGGCCAGCCGUGCAGGCGAAAACACCAGUCGGCAGCGGCGAAGGCAAACCGGUCGGUGUAGACGCCCAAUAACGGCGGCAUAAAGGCCAGCCGUGCAGGCGGAAACACCAGUCAGCAGUGGCGGAUGCGGCGGCCGGUUGGUGAAGACGUAGACGCCCAACAACGGCGGCAUAAAGGCCAGCCGUGCAGGCGGAAACACCAGUCGGCAGCGGCGAAGGCAAGCCGGUCGGUGAAGACGUAGACGCCCAACAACGGCGGCAUAAUAGGCCAGCCGUGCAGGCGGAAGCACCAGUCGGUAGCGGCGAAGGCAAGCCGGUCGGUGAAGACGUAGACGCCCAACAACGGCGGCAUAAAGGCCAGCCGUGCAGGCGGAAACACCAGUCGGCAGCGGCGAAGGCAAGCCGGUCGGUGAAGACGUAGACGCCCAACAACGGCGGCAUAAAGGCCAGCCGUGCAGGCGGAAACACCAGCCGGCAGCGGCGAAGGCAAGCCGGUCGGUGAAGACGUAGACGCCCAACAACGGCGGCAUAAUAGGCCAGCCGUGCAGGCGGAAGCACCAGUCGGCAGCGGCGAAGGCAAGCCGGUCGGUGAAGACGUAGACGCCCAAUAACGGCAGCAUAAAGGCCAGCCGUGCAGGCGAAAACACCAGUCGGCAGCGGCGAAGGCAUGCCGGUCGGUGACGACGUAGACGCCCAACAACGGCGGCAUAAAGGCCAGCCGUGCAGGCGGAAACACCAGUCGGCAGCGGCGAAGGCAAGCCGGUCGGUGAAGACGUAGACGCCCAACAACGGCGGCAUAAAGGCCAGCCGUGCAGGCGGAAACACCAGUCGGCAGCGGCGAAGGCAAGCCGGUCGGUGAAGACGUAGACGCCCAACAACGGCGGCAUAAUAGGCCAGCCGUGCAGGCGGAAGCACCAGUCGGCGGCGGACGAGGCGGCCGGUCGGUGAAGACGUAGACGCCCAACAACGGCGGCAUAAAGGCCAGCCGUGCAGGCGGAAGCACCAGUCGGCAGCGGACGAGGCGGCCGGUCGGUGAAGACGUAGAUGCCCAACAACGGCGGCAUAAUAGGCCAGCCGUGCAGGCGGAAGCUCCAAUCGGCAGCGGCGAAGGCAAGCCAGUCGGUGAAGACGUAGACGCCCAACAACGGUGGCAUAAAGGCCAGCCGUGCAGGCGGAAACACCAGUCGGCGGCGGCGAAGGCAAGCCGGUCGGUGAAGACGUAGACGCCCAACAACGGCGGCAUAAUAGGCCAGCCGUGCAGGCGGAAGCACCAGUCGGCGGCGGACGAGGCGGCCGGUCGGUGAAGACGUAGACGCCCAACAACGGCGGCAUAAUAGGCCAGCCGUGCAGGCGGAAGCACCAGUCGGCGGCGGUCGAGGCGAGCCGGUGGUGAUGUUCUGACUGAUCCAUUCCUGGAGCGUAAGAGAUAAGCUUAAAGCCAUGAAUCCCUUUUAUGCAUAUCUGGAUCUGGAUCCUGCAGAACAAACAUAUAGGAUGAGUAGUAUCUGAUAUAAAUAUAAUACUCGAGAAAAAAUCAAGUAUUUUAAAAUAUUUAUAAAUAUGUAUUUCUCCUCUUGUCAAUUUUGAUUUCCCCGAGCAGAUGAUUCAUUACGUUUAAACGCUCUGUCCGACUAGUCAUAGCCCCCAAGCAUCGGGAGUCGGCCUAGGCACUUCCCAGACAUGCAUAUGAGUGACAUGAGUUCGCCAUUAAUAGAACAAAGUUUCACGAAUCAGAAUUUACUACUCGGGUACUUUUGCAAUUAUUAAGAGCAGAAAAUAAAUUUAUCUCAUCUCUAUGCUUUUGAUUUAUUCCGAAUAAUACUUAGCACCUUGCGUUACUCGGUCCAUCCAACGAGCUCCCGGGUGCUAGGAAUCGGCCCAAAGGCAACCAUCCAUUGGCAAACCAAAUGGAAAGCAUAGGAAGAUAGAACUCCAUAACUCGAUAGGUACUUUUGUACUCAGAUUAUGUCGCAAGCAAUCAAGAUAAAUAUUAUAAAAAAUAUGAUAUAACAUCUGUAGCCCCCGACUCACUACUCAAUGGAAGACCAAUUGAUGUCGUGAGGCAGAGGAAAAGGAAAAAUGUCAUAUAAAGAAUAAAAUAAAUGAUGACUUAGCUUUGUAAUAUUCCCCUUGGUGAUGGCAGAAGUGGCCAAUGAGGGAACAAAGUCGUCCAUCAAUAACAAUGAAGACACCAGUCGGCGGCGACGAAGGCGGUCGACGGUGAAAGCGAAGAUGCCCACUAAUGGCGGCAUAAUAGGCCAGCCGUGUAAGCGGAAACACCAGUCGACGGCAACGAAGGUGAGCCAACGGUGAAGAUGUAGACGUCCAACAACAGUGGCAUAAUAGGCCAGCCGUGCAGGCAGAAACACCAGUCGGCGAAGGCCAGCCGGUCGGUGAAGACGUGGACACCCAUGAACGGUGGUGUGACCAACCGACCGUAUAGGCGGGGACACCAGUCGGCGGCGACGGAGGCAGGCCGGCGGUGUAGAUGACGAUGCCCAUCAACGGUGGUGUGACCAACCGACCGUAUAGGCGAGGACUCCAGUCGGCGGCGACGGAGGCAGGCCGGUGGUGAAGUCGUAGACGCCCAACAGCGGCGGCAUAAUAGGCCAGCCGUGUAGGCGAAGGCACCAAUCGGCGGCGACGGAGGCAGGCCGGCGGUGAAGACGUAGACGCCCAACAACGGUGGUGUGACCAACCAACCAUAUAGGCGAAGACACCAGUCGGCGGCGACGGAGGCAGGCCGGUGGUGAAGUCGUAGAUGCCCAACAGCGGCAGCAUAAUAGGCCAGCCGUGCAGGCGGAAACACCAGUCGGCGGCGGCGAAGGCCAGCCGGUCGGUGAAGACGUGGAUGCCCAUGAACGGUGGUGUGACCAACCAACCGUAUAGGCGAGGACACCAGUCGGCGGCGACGGAGGCAGGCCGGCGGUGAAGUCGUAGACGCCCAAUAGCGGCGGCAUAAUAGGCCAGCCGUGCAGGCGAGGACACCAGUCGGCGGCGAUGAAGGCAGGCCGGCGGUGAAGUCGUAGACGCGCAACAGCGGCGGUAUAAUAGGCCAGCCGUGUAGGCGGAGGCACCAAUCGGCGGCGACGGAGGCAGGCCGGCGGUGAAGUCGUUGUUGUUAUCAGCAAUGGCGGUGGCGAAGACAAGCCGGCAGAGUGGACUCGCGGCCGAUCGACCGGAAAGCUGAGACGCCUCGAGUCCAUGACCAGCAUCAAUCGCCUCAAUAGUGCCGCGUAAUUAUAUGCGAACAACAACAAAAAAUAGCAAGAGAUUAAUCUGGGAUUAAAAAUCAAUACGAUAAAUAAUGAUAAAAAUCAGAUUGAGUUUCCCCCUGACUGAUUUGGAUCAAGUUAGAGAAGAGGAGCUUGAAGAAGUGGUCGACGGAAAGGAAGUGAAAACUCCCAAAGCGAAAACGAAGUCGGCGACUCAUGAAAUUGAUUCCAUCGCGCUUGUUGAUAGGAAACUCGACGCAACCCCUACCUGGCGCGCCAACUGUCGAAACAUGAUUUCGGCAAUAAUAAAAGGGGGUAGCACACGAGACCUAAAAGUGGAUGGAUGCAGAGACAAAGGAUUUAGACAGGUUCAGGCCCUCUCAAUGAGAGGUAAUACCCUACUCCUGUUUGGGGAUUUGAAUCCGCCGGGUGUAGUAUAGAUCUGACGAUCAGGUUGUGUCAUAUGCCCCCUAGAGGGCCUCCUGCCCACCUUAUAUAGGAUGGGGGGCAGGAUUACAAGAUAGAAACCUUAACCAACACGGUAUCGGUUUCCUAAAUCUACUUUACAAUCUUAUCAAGCCAGGACUUUAGGCCGUUCCAUAAUAUACAGGGAAACGUAAUACCCAAGUCAUGAUCUGUUACAUAUUUCAUACAUAUAUGUUAUCCCCUAUUACUAGUCGGAUAACCAUGCCGUGUGGAUAUGGGGUACCCAUAAUCUCCACAAUAGGAAUCAUCAAAUCGUGAAAAAGGUUAAAUCCAAACCAAGUUUGUUUCUGUACAUAUUAAUUCAAAAUUGCUAAACUAUUUUAUAGCAAAAUGCUCACAAGAGACAGCAAAACGAGUAUAAAUCUAUAUUUCUAAUACUAAAUUUUGAAAUUAUGUAAUUUCAAAAAAAACAUAAAGUAAUAGAAGAAAUAUUAGAAUGGGUUAUAUAAGAAAUUACUAAUUAUGUUUUUGGCCACUAUAAUUUAAAUGAAAGUGUUUUGUAUCAACUUCUUUUAAACAAAAUUUACUUAUGAGUUUAACAAUAUAUUUUAUCAUUAUCCAGUGAAAUUUUAAUAUUUUGUCAUUCACAGUAACCCGUGCAAUGCACGGGUUGACCGCUAGUAAUAAGUAAUAAAAGGUGGAAUGGACGACGUUCCUCUCUUCUAUAGUUUUGUUCUUGAAAUUCUAUUUUUUUUAUGUAAUGUUCUUAGUAAUUUCUAUUACGUACGUACGUGGCUUGUUAAAUAUGAUAACUAGGUAUUAGUUUCAUGACCUGUCAAAUAGCAUCCCUUGCCAUCCUUGUAGCAGCACAGUCCAUUCCAGAUCUUACCAAGUUCGCCUUAGACUCCCUAGUCCAUCUGCUUCCUGGACAUUCUGUUCGUUCAUGACAUCAAUAAAAGCCAUACACAAAAAGUUUGUCAUAUGUCGGACUAACGGGGGCCCCGUGUCGCUCCAGGGGCAGGGCCGACACGGUCGGCGGCAACCAGCGCCUUCCUCCUCACCCCCGUCUUCCACCCUCCUCCGCCUCGCUGCCGCCCGAGCGGUCAGCCGAAAACCGCGCAGCUGCAAGGAUGGUGACAAUGGGGCCUUCCUUCUCCCUCGAGGUCGCAGGGUCGAUGCCCACGACCCUGACCAGAUUGGGGCGGCGAUGGUGCGGUGGCUAUUGGUAUUUCUUAACGGCAUUACUAUAAAUAUAUAAUUCCCAGCAAUAGCGCAUAAAUACUUCUGGUAUAUUAGGGUUACAGAUUUCAUCCACAAACGUACGGAUAUCCCAUUAUAGCAUUUCACCCUAGAGUAUUCUAAGGGUAUCAUAUUUUUAUGUUUCAGAUGGACACACAAUUUACAAACAAAAAUUAAGUAUAGCACAUAUGUAGAAGUCCAUGAUCACGCGCAUCAUCUACAGAUUUCCAGGUAGCUUGAGCUGCUAAUUAACUGCUGAGAUCAUCUGCAGAUUUCCAGGUAGAUUUGAAAAUAACAAAAUUCGAAAGUAAUAUAUAUCGUCACACAUCUGAAGCAUAAGUCAUUUCCAUGUUUUAAUAAUUUUGAAUUUUGGAAUUAAUCACUACCUAUAUUGUCCUUGUGUUGGUCUCCUAAUUUGGUACUAUGCUCCUGUUUUUAGAUACGCGAUUUUAAUUAGCACUUUUACAUCAUACAUUAAAUUAGUAUGCUAAAUUAAAAUUUCGAGAAAUCAUAGAUUCACUUAAACAAAUGUAUUUGGAUGAAGCAUGGAGCAGAUUUGUUAGCGAUAUAUGUUUAACUUAUCUGGAAAAAGGAAAUGUCCACUUAAAACUUGUUAUUAAUUUAUAGUGAACUUUCUCAUUAGCAAUAAAAAAAAGAUCAGCAACAUAAUUAAUUCUUUAUUUCAAUUAAAAUAAAAAAAUCAAGAAUAUCAUAUUACAUGAUGUGGGAGUUGACCCUAUAAUUAAAUUCAGGUGUUUACAUAUUCAUCAAUAAAUCCAAAGUUCUGUUUGAAUCUAGGUUAUCCAUCGGUGACCAUCGCAUCUACAAUCGACUGAUGCAUAUAAGAUGAUUCAUCAUUACAUCUACAAUGCACAAAGGUAUCCUGUUAAUUAAUCUUAAAUUAAUUUAUAGUUAGUUUAGAUGAGAAACAUGUAAGAAACAACUGAAUGAAACCCUAAAAAGAUUGAAUCAGAUCUUGCUCACUUGAGUAUUUUAAAUAGCCAUCGUACCUGCAGAGAUCAAUAUCUUGGAUCGAUAAAACACUUCCUCGCCAAUGCAUCCGGUCGACGGAGUUCCUCGGCUGCAGGGUCAAGUAGAUCGACGUAGCCUGCCGUGUUGUGAUCUCGUCGCGUGCAGAGUCGAGUCCGACUGCUGAGACCGAUAUGGGUACAAUUUGUAGACCUUGAAGGAAGCCUGUAUAGAUUGAAUGGUGGCCCAGACACGUGUUGGGCUUUAAUUAAAGGUCCAUAGUUAUAAUAUUUAAUCUACGGUCAUGAUUUUACGAUCUAGUUAAUCAAUGGUCAGAUUAAUCUGAUUGACGUGAGAGCUCUGGAAAAGUGCCCAAUUAGUAUAACGUGAGAGCUCUGGAAAAUGCCCAAUUAGUAUAGAUAUAGAAUAGAUAGAUAGAUUGUCUUCAGAUACAUAGGGACGCAGCAAUCGUGGAUGUGAAAAUUAGAAUCACUCUUUUCGUUCUAAAAUAAGUGGCCUUACUAUAGAGGGGGAUCUUCAGGCUGCAUAGCAAUACACCGUCGGCACGGUCACCAUGCCGACGACCCUAUGGCCACCACAGCCCUGCAGCGGCACCAUUCCGGCCACCGACAUGGGCACCCUCCUUAGCAUGACAUUCCAUUUUUCAAUCUCAUCAUCAAAUCAAAGAACAACGACGUACGGAUAGCUAGCGAAUCAUCAAGAUUUAUAGAGAGGAACAUCGGAGUUCAUCAUUUAUUCACCACACAUAUGCUUCCAAACAAAAGGAAAACACUAAUUAUUUUAGUAACCACACCACAUACAUGCACAGCUAGCUACAGUAGCCUAGCUAGUAGCCAGAUCUCGCCAGCCAGUAGCAGACACCACCUCCGCCGUUGGGGAUGUCCACGUUGCAGAACGCCGGGAGGCUCGCCGCCGCGCGCUCCAAGUCCCCUCUCCGGCAGCCGCGGAACACCUCGGACAUGGGGUGCCCGACAUCGGGGGCGCCGAGCUCCCUGUAGAUGCCUCCCAGCAUGUGGCUGAUCGCCUCGCACCUGCACCAGCUGUCGUCGACGGCGGCGAGCUGCCGGCAGCAGUCUCGCCGGACCUGCUCGGCGGCGGCGGCCGUGCCACGGCCGACGCACUGGCGCUUCACCAACGCCCGGCAACGCGGGAGCGGGUACAUCGGGUAGCCCAUUCCUGGCUGACAGAGCGGGCCCGGGGUGUAGACCACCUGGUCUUGGUGGUGGUACUCCGCCAUGGUCGCCGUCGCCGCGAGCACGGAGACGACGGCGAGAAGCAACACUGAGAACACUACCUUGUUGGAAGCCAUAUUUUUGUUGCAGAAAAUCUUAACUAUCAAUUUGUUUAUGAGAGGGAUAGCUAUCUAUGGGUGGUUUCUAUAUAUAGCUAUAAAGACUAAAGUGAUCUCAAGAACGGACACAAUUUUUUUUGCUGUUCAUAAUUGUGAUUAGCUUGUUUGCAUAGAACAUUUAUUGUGACUCACACCUAAUCGAUUUGGACAUGAUAUGGAUAAAAGUUUGUUAAAGUGGACUGUAUGCACCACAUUUUUUCAACUUGUUUUGAUUCUUCCGUGCAAGAAAAUUAAUGCGUAUACUGUCAACAGACGUCGAGUUACGCAAGGUAACAAAAUCUGUUGAUCUUUAUUUCCAUGGCUUGUAUAGUGAUCCAAUUUGCAAGACAAAGAAAAAGAAGAGCUCAGAACAAAUAUUGUUAGAAAAUAUGCUCUGGCAGUUAAAAAGUGUUCAGCAAUGAAGCUUUAACACACUAGAUUGCACAAAAUUAAGAAACGUGUGAUUUUAGUGUAUGGGUUCUUUUCCGUAUCAAAGCCAAGCGAAUCGAACAUAAUUAUACGAAAGCAAAAAAAAAAAAACUAUUACAACAAAAGAAAAGGUAAUCGAUUAAUACAAGUGAUCGAGUGAGUUUGUCUUCAUGUCCUUUCUCUUGCUUGAAAUUGAGCUCAAUCCUGUGAAAUCAAUGGUUUUGAUUUAUAUAUUUUGUGAUGAACAAAAUGAGACAUUUAAUUUAUAUUGGAUUUGAUAUUUGGUGAUUUAAAUCCUGAAUAUUUUGUGUUUAUUUAUGAUUUAUAGUUUGAGUGUUUGCCUACACACUGUACUGUAGUACAUCAUCCUUUUUACAACGAAGUAUUAAUUUAGUUAUAAUUUAAUUAUAUUUAAUUAUUUGAGCAGGGUAGAAACUAACCAAGCUUGCAGAAUUAAUGUAAGGCAUGUAGGAAAGCUCUUAUAUAUCUAAUAAAUAUCACUUAAAAACUAUCUUUCUAUAAUAGUUGACACAACAAAGCCUCUUAAUUAUUACUGCACCGAAAUAAUUUUUUUUAUCACUCUUGUUUUCUUUUCUUCACUCCAUACAUCAAAAUUUCCUUUGAUAAAUGCUAAAAGUUGACUCUCACUGUUGUCAUAUGUAGCAACAAUUAUCUUUUCUCCACUGUCUCUCUUCCAUUUCACCAAUAGUACUCUCCAAAUGAAAAGCUAUCAUAUAUCAAAUCAACUAAUUGAAGGCUGUUGAAGCCCAUGAAAUGCGGUGAACCACAUCCAUUUAUGUACAUCCAUACACAAAGACUGAUCCUCACCAGUUCAUCUCACAUUGAACUAAUUCAGUUUCUGCAGUGAUGACUUCUGUUCAUGCAGAAAGAUAACCUCUAGCUAGUAAAUCAGUGUGCGGUAGGGUUAGGAUGCAUCAGGAAAGAAGCCCCUAUCCAAGUCCAAUUAUCUGUUCAGGGAGCAGACUAGUCCUUGUGUGCUACAAUAAAAUUCGGUUGUUUCUUGAACAAGCAAUUUGUAAACAAUGUCUAAAGGUGUAACCAAUGGAAAACAUUUCUGAAUCUACUUCCGAAUUCAGCGCAUAUACACAAACACUAUAUACUUUUAAUUAAGAAGAUAAUGAAGUGAGGAUGAACGGUUCUUCUCCUCCUUCAUAUUUUCUCCACAAAGUAUGGUGAGUAUUUUCUACCGUCGAAGUGAGCUAUUAAUGUUCCUAUCAAAAUAGGAGCCCCUUAAUAUAACAUCUAAAUAAUAAUUUAUAUAGAUAUAUAAGGUGUUACUGCUUAGCACUUGAAUUACGUCAAAAACAAUAUUUACGUAAUAGGCUUUAUAAUAUUACCUUAAAAUUUAUCCAUUGCCCUCUUCUAUGAUUCUAUCAAAUCAUCCACUGUUUUCCCUCUCCUUUUCCUUUUUUUGCCAACCGAUACAAACUUUCUCAAUGACAUGAUAUUAAGGGCAGGUUAAAUUACUAAUGAAAAGAGUAAUGCUUUUAAUUAGUGGUUGAACUCAUAUAAAUUACAAAGGCUGCAAAACUACAAAUAUUGGUGUAAAUCUUACCAUUCAACAAUUAGUUGAUCAUGGAUGCAUAUGGCAAGUGAGUCGGCAAAAUGGGCUUGAUGCAGCUUCGUCCAAUGAUCCAAGCUCAAUCUCUAAGCUCUGAGAAGAGGAUCGGAGAAAGAAACCUAACAAAGUAAGCUAAAAGGUCCUCGCUUGUCACUACUCACUAACAACAUAUGGCAAAUUGGAUUGAGCUGUGGCAAGGAUGAAGAAAGAUCGGACGACGAACGUGAUGUGCUGGUGCUGCUUCUCACAUUCUCUUUUACACGUAGAUGCAACCAGAUGAUCGUCAGCGUCAAUCAAUGUUUCACUUGCAGAUUUAAUUGCAGCCGUGCAUGGUGACUGGCGGCAAGAGGCGUGGAUGCAUAGCCAUUGGAAUGGAGCGGUUGGCUGGCUAGCUAGCUAGAGCGACCUAGCAAAGCAUCGAGAUGUAUCCCCCCCCACCCCCGGGCACCAUGCCACGGUUAAUAUAUAGACGGAAAAAAAAAGUCAGAUAGCAAAUUAGUGGAUGGGUUCUGAAUAUAGAUAGCAAUAUGGCCUGAGGCCCGGCCCAAGGCAUGCCAAUUUGGCCCAGCUCAAGCACGGCACGGCCCAACUGGGGUCGUGCUUGGGCCGCUCCCCUCGGCAUGGUGGGCCGGCCUGACACGGCACGAUCGAAAAAAAAAUAGUAGAGAAAUAUAAAAUAGACUUAAUUAACAAUAUAAGACAAUGCCCAAAGACAAGAGGAAUACAAAAUAGACUUCUUUCCAGCCAUAUGGAUACGGCCCACAGAGUUUAGGGAGGAAAAAUACACUUAUUUUGUGGAGAAGAACGAUGGGUUGUUGUGCCUUUAGGCUGGCCCAGCACAGUCUGAGUCUUACUGGCCACGCCUGGGCCAUGUGUGCAGCCCGGGUGGCCUAUUUGGCCAUAUAUAGUUCUAAAGACUAUAUAUGGAAGGUAGUGAACUGCAUCCAUUUAUCCAUCCAUUAUCAUAUGUCCACAGACACAAUAUGUAUAAGGACUUACCAUUUGUCUUAUAUGCAUGCUCAGUAGCUAAAUUUAAUUUCUUCAAUGAUGAAAUCUUAUUAAGUUGAUUAUUCAAAAAUAUGUUGCAAACAUAUAUAUCACUAACAUGAACUUGUUAGGGGUAGGAUGCAUCGGGAAUGAAGCUUCCAUUACAGUGUUUGGCCAUCGAGCAAGCUUGGUGUUGUUCUCUACUGCGUGACAUAUGUGUGGAUCGAGGAGAGGUGCUUGUCCACACCUGUCUGGAGGACAGUUGGUGAAGUUCAUUGCAGGAAUACACACCGACAUCGAAAUUAACCAUACUACUAGACUCCCUCCAUACUCGUAAAGAAAGUCGUUUAGGACAGCGACACGGUCUCCAAAACACAACUUUGACUUCUUAUUUCUAUAAAAAUAUUUAUUGAAAAGUGAUAUAUAUAUAUACUUUUAUGAAAGUAUUUUUCAAGACAAAUCUAAAUAUAUAAUUUUUACAUUUUCAAACUCAACAUCUUGAGAGUUAUUCAUGAUUUAUAUUCCCAAGGUUUGACUUAAACAUUGUUCUAAACGAUUUUCUUCAUGAGUAUGGAGUAGUACUAACUAGUAACUAGAUUGACUGGAAUUCUACUGGAACUUGGUAGUAAUAAUUAAGAACAUUCAAGACACGUUUUAAUUAGUAGAUCAAUCUUGAGGUGAUUAUCAUAUUUAAGUUUUUAACUAAUCCAAAUCUUUAGUGGAGCUUAAAUGUAUACAUUGAGGGAGGUACAUGAUUAUUUCUUUUGAAGAGGAUGUGCUCAAUAGAGUAUAAAGAUCAUCCUCAAAUUGGUGCAGCAUUUUUGUGAUUGUUGUCAGCGCACAGUGUCUCUCCCACCCCCACCCCCCUCCAAAUAAAAGAACUCCCUCCAAAACCAUUCAAUACCUUGAUGUUUUUAUUGAACAAAAGAAUUAAAAAACCUAAUAUUUGUUCCGUAAAAGUUGCUUGAUACAAUUUGUAUGAAAAUAAUAACAAGGGAACAGAUCUUCACGCUGAUUGUCAGCCUUUUCUAUUAGUUUCUUAGAAGAGGGCUUUCCCUAUAAAGAGAAUGUAGCUAGGGAUGAAAACGGAUCGGAAACGGACGGAAACUAGCUUUAUCAUAUUCGUUUUCAUAUUUUUUUUCGGAAUCGGAAUCAGAAUCAAAAACUCAGAUACGGAAAUGAAAUCGAAUAUUAUCGAAUACAGAUACGGGGCGAAUACGAGACAGAAUGAAUACGGCAGCGAAUAUUUACCGGUAUAUAAAAAGCCCCUCAAAUUGAGUUUCUUGAUCAAGAAAGAGAUAUCACUUAUUAUUUUUGUUUAACAUCUCUAACAUUUAUAUCGUCAAUUUUGUAGAUGGUCUCACAACCGUAUGUGAAAAAUCAAUUUUAAUGGUUGUUCCUCCAUAUGCAAAUAUGAUUAUCAUUUUCAAUUCUCAAGACCUUUUACUAGAUGUAUAACUUACUUGCCAUUGUAUAAAUUGGAGAUGCUAUUUAUUUUACUUUACAUCUUUGAAACUUGCAAUAUUUGUUUUAUGCUUUAAAUGCUUUCAAAUACAAAUGUUAUAAACUACAAAGUGGUAGAUCCCGUCGAGUUCUACAACUUUGAUAUAGAACACAUCUCCAUCAGAUGUCGUUUGAAUUGUAAAUCUGAGAUUUGUAAAAAUUAAUAUGGUAUAUUAUAAUAAAUAUUUAAACCCUUAAAUGAUCUCAAAUAAUAAAAUAGUCAAUAAGAAAGUUGUAGAUCUCAUCGAGCUCUACAAUAUUGAUAUAAAGUUUGUCUUUAUCUAAUUCCGUAUGAAAAAGUUAUGUAUAUAUACAUGUUUUUUCUAAAAUUUUAUCAAUGUCUGCAGAUAUCCGAAAAAAAUUCCGGAUAGUUUCCGACCGUUUUCUGAUUCCGACGGAUAGUACCCUUACUGUAUUCGUUUUCGUUUCCGAGAAAAAAAAAUCCGAAUUUGUUUCCAAAUUCGAGAAUUUCCGGAUAGUUCUGAUCGAAACUAUCCGAAUCCGAAAAAUGGUCCGGACGGACGGAAACUAUCCGAACCAGUUUCAUCCCUAAAUGUAGCAAUAUACCCUAAUAAUAUAAAGGGUGCAAAAAGAUUGCGUGUGCGGAUGAUGAAGGGUUGCCACCAAACCAAAACACAUGGGAGGAACUACUCCUAAAGGAGCAACUAAAUUCUCAUAUACUGAAGUGCACAUUAAGGGCAGUCAAGGACCUUAAGUGUUUCGAAACCGCGUCCUCUUUUCAGAACACAUAGAUACGGGUACCAUACAACAAGUGGAGUUGGUUUGAGUUCUUGUAGGGUUAGGAGUACUGGGAACCAAGCUUAUGCGCCUCAGUCAUAGACAUGGCCUUUGGUUAUCUAGAUCUCAUGCUGACCCAGGUUCCAUCCAUAUUGAUAGUGCACCAUGGUCAAGAUUGACAAACUGGCAAUGCCAUCGGGUAGUAGCUAAUGAGGGUGCUGGCACCAAUACCCCCUGGAGCUUGGGUGUCAACCAGACAAUAGCUAGAUCUUCCAACCUGCCAGAGCUCCACGACGUCUAGUGCGCCUUCUCAAAGAGAUGGAAGCUAGCAAGCAUGCCUUAACUGCACAAAAAAACUCAGGUGCCUGCAUCUUUGUGCCAUUAGGGCCAUAUCUUGGCCGUACAUGCAAAUCUGGGUGUUUAGCUAGUGUUGCUUGGCAUUUCUUUAAGAUUUGUCUUUCUAUCUUGUUUAGAAUGUGUAGAAUAGUACAUAUAUGGAGAGAGAUUACGGAGAAUAUUGGAGAGAAGAAUUAGAGAUAAGGAAGAGUACGAUAGAAAUUAAUCAUAUCCUGAUGCAUGCAAUUCUUCUCUCAUACACGCUAACGGAAUGUAUGGAUGGUGCUUGGUUUCAUUUGUAGCACUGUGAAAAUUUAUCAAGAUUAGUUUAGGUGCAAAGAUGGAUUCGAAUGAGCUCUGUAUGCAAGUCAGAUACUGAUAUGGUGCUGGGUUAUGGUGUGCCAAUGGCAAAACAUCCCGGGGGCACAGCCUGUAGAUGACAACGCAGCUUGGUGGGCUGAUCUCAAUCAACUACACCCCAAACCUUUCAAAUUCAGGGUUAAAGGAUCUCUUCUCGCCACUUGGUGGAACGUUUGGUUGGAAAGAAACAGAAGAAUUUUUUAAAACAUCUCUUACACAGAGGAUCGCGUUGCGAGAAUAGUAAAGUCCAACCCCCCUAAUUGUCUUUUCUUUUUCGGAUUCCCUUUGUUUUUUCAGGUUUCUCCCUUCUUCUCCUUCGAUGUCUUCCCAUGUAUUCUCUGAACUGUUUUUCUCUCCUCUAAUAAAAUUCCGGCAGAGCUCCUGCCGUAACCUCAAAAAAAUAUAUGGUGCUGGGUUAAAAGGCUUAAUGACAUGGCUGGGGAAAAAAGAGUAGGUCAUUAUUUUGAAGAACUUGUGCAUGUUAGAGUAUAUUGUAUUGGUUGUAUUGACCUUUUAAACAGGUAUCAGAUAUAUCAGUUCACAGACAAUACAUAUGUGAAGCUUGCAAAUAAUCCUUGCCCAGCACUAGUCAAUGAUGAAUUGCAAAAUAGUGCCCUGAUUGUGCUAGCUAGCUAGCAUAUAUAGAAAUAAAAACAUUUACUAUACCACAUUUAAUAGUCUAGAAAUAAAAAUAAAAGCUACCAUAUAUAGAAAAUUAAUUGACGCUAGGGCCUAGGGACCAGAACUCCAGAAGCGCAAGAAAUGCAGUGAACAACAUCCAUUUUCUGUAUGUGCGCACAUAAGGCCUUCCUUACCUCAAUUCAGUUUCUGCAGUGAUGAUUUAUGUUCAGGCAGAAUCCUCUUGCACCAAAAACCAGGGCGUGUUAGGUCUAGGAUGCAUCCGGAAGAAAGACCCUAUCCUAGUACUUGUUUGGGAAGCAAACUGAUCCUUCUGUGCUGUGUUAAGAGAUGGUGUUAGCCCUCACACAAGCCAUUUGCCAACAAUUUGUGCCUACAGGACAAGGAUGGGCGCAUUGGGCUAGUGGAUCAGCUCAUAGAGGCGUGGAUUAUAUAUGGUGGAAAUAUUACUUGCUGUUUAGUGAAUGCAUUAUAUACAUUUCAUUCGAAGAAGAAAAGAUCACGACUGUGAACCAUCCUUUUCCUAUUCAGUUUUUCUCCAAAAAGAUACGAUGAGUAAUGUAUCCUCGAAGUGAGUAAUGUUUUAACGAAAAUGUUGUUCGUCACCACAUCAUAUUAUUGUCAUUAAUUUGAAAAUACAUACACAUAUAUUCACAGUACGCCACUACACUGGUCAAGGUCACCUGUGACGGGCCCAAACCCUCACCUUUGAUGGUUUUGGGCUUGGUCAGUGAUCAGUGGUCACUGGUAAGUCCAGUCACCUUUGACGGGUGGCCGGCCGUCAGUGGUGACAUCCACCUCUGACGGGCAAGUUAAUAGAAGGCCGUCAGAGGUGUUGGUCUAAGCUAGACUAGGGCUUGUUAGGACCCGUCACAGGUGUCUCAUCUCUGACGAGCCCCUAAAUAAAGGCCCGUCAGAGGUGAUGAUCUCCGGUAUAUAGUAGCCGUCACAGGGUGACCCACCUGUGACGGGCCCGAAAGUAAAAGCCCGUCACAGGUGGGUCACCUGUGACGGUCCGACGUUUGCGAGUCCGUCACAGGUGAGGUUACCUAUGACGGAUGUUUCUUCCGAACCGUCACUGAUGAGUUAAUUCCAGAAAAAAAAUAAAUGCUAAAUAUUGGCUAGCCUCAGGAAUUGCUAGCCAUGCCCUCUGAAAAACAGAAACAUCACAGGUACCAGUCACCCCCCCUCCAUAUCACAUAUUCCCCAACUGCCCAACAUCACAGAUGCAUCACAUAUCACAGAUCCAUCACAAAGCAACAAUUUACAACAUCACAUAUGCAACAAUUUAAUUUAUUAUAGCACACAAUUCAUACCCCAUGAAAGUCCUCAAAUGAUUACCAAAAUUUCUUGUAUUCUGUUCGUUGUGAACCUCCACAACCUGUCAAUAAGGGAAAAAAAAGGAGAAAACAUAUGAAUAGUACAACAUAAAUGAUAGUUGAUCAAAUGUGAUGACAAUUUAGUAAAGUACCAUAAAUAUUGCACAUAUGAAAGUAAAUUACAUUGCACUCUAUAAAAACAUAAUUUUUUACAUCGCCAGAAAUUAUAAAAACAUCUUUUUUACAUCACAAUAAAUUAUCUAGCCAAGUUCAUGAGUCUAUUUGGCAUGAAAACGUCCUUUCUUGUUCAUUAUUUCUGCAAGAAUAAAGGCGCACACUUCGCCUCUGAUAGCGGGGGGGUUGAUGGGUGAGAUCUUGAAGCCAGCUCUACCUUUCUGUUUAAUAAAUAAGAGGUUAAUUAGCACGUUUUGAAUAGUAAUGUAGAUAUUGAAAUGAGCUUAUUCGCCAUUAGCAACAACCUCAGGGUCGAAAUCUUUCACCUCUCUUAGAAGUGUUGACAUGUUGUGGCACACGUGGAAACCACAUUGGUCUCCGAUCUGUUGUGCGCAUGCAAACUUGGUGUCAUGAUAAAGUUCGUUCUUGCCCUCCUUGUGCCUACCACCCUUUUCCACAUAUGGGCCCCAAGCCAUAUUUAAGGCCUUGGUGAUUUCACUGAAAUCAUAAUCUUUGGACUUAUUGGAGUUAAGGUAGGUAACCCUACUCCACUUAGGUACGAUGACUAGGAGAAUCCAAUGUCGCCUGUGCAGUGGUUAUGUAGCAUUAGUACUAAGAACCUUAACUUCAAAAACAAUAUACACGAAGGGUAUUGUCCUCUUACUCUUGGUUGUGUGCGCACAUGAUGUACUCCUUGUCUUGAUGGGCCCAUAAACACCGGUUGACAUAGUCAACCACCUCAGUGAAGCUCUGUCGUAAAUUAACCUCAUUCACCAUGGAUGGAUCAAGGAACCCAACCUGAUUACCAUGGCGACGACUCUCGAUCCAACACAACCUUAAAAUAUUUACGUAUUAGAACUAAUUUAAUUAGGAGAUAUAGUCCAGUCAUAUCACAAGUAUAGAAGGUAUGCACUUACAAGGAGUAGCAUUUUAGAAGACCAGUGUCCAACUUCCGGAUCCUGAAAAGGUCGAAGAGGUCAUCAAAGCCUAUAGUUAUAUAGGCAGGCGACGAUAGGAACGGCUGGUGGUCGUGAUGUCCAACUAUGGAUGACUCCCUCAUUUUCCGCUUGGCAUUGCUUAGUUCCAUGUAUUGCUUAUGUAGCUCUCGGCAAGCAAUACCCAUCACAGCUAACAUGUACAUUGUCCUCCACCAAUGGCAUGCCUAGCUCAAAUUGGGCUGGCGCCCUCACGACCUUCCCCGAUUUGCUCACCGGCAUCGACGUCGCAGCCUUGCCCCGUUUUGGCUCCGGCGCCAACUCCCCGACCUUCCCCUUGCCGCGUUCACGCUUCUGGCCCUUGACAAGUGGUGGGGAGCUAUCGGCCUUUCUUGUGGUCUUUAUUGGAGCCAAGCUUUGAGCUAUAUCUGCCAAGUCCAUAUCAGCUCCACCGGGAGAAUGAGGUACUGACAAUGCCGGUCCACGGGGAGCCUCAAUUGAUAGCUUAGAUUUGGGAGGUGUAAGCUCCGUCGGUCGACUUGGACGAGGAGUCAUCUUCACAACUAUGUCUUCUUUGGGCCAUUGUAUGAACGUCUUGCGCGCAUCGCCCAAAGUCAUGAUUUCAUCAUUUGGGGGCACGGGCAGCGGAUAGCCUGACCAGGUGUCCUUUACUGUAUCGAUGGACACCUUGGCAUACUCAGCUAGCAGGUCUGCGCCGUGGACCUUGUCUGUAACCGAGGGCUUGAAAGCCAUGCCCUCAGCGACUUCAGGAGCGAAAGUUGGGUGGACUCUCGCUAGUAGGACACACUGUGCUGCGCCCUGCAUAAGGUGAAAGUUUGAAUUUAAUAUUGGAAUGUGUAAAUGUCUUUUAUUAGAUAUGGAUCGGAUAACAACAAUUACCUCGAUGUGGUCCACUGCAGCUAGUGGUGCGAUCGGGAGACCAGGGGCCGGCACCUCUGUGGAUGCACAACUACUCCUAUGCUGUGACGGACUCGCGUCGUGUUGUACACUCCUAUUCAUGUCGGCGAGGACCUUGUUAACCCUUUCUUCCACCCUUGCAUUCAUGCUAGCUUCUAGUUCUUGAAUGACCUCAACCUUAAGUUCGGCCUUCAAACGAGCGUCCCUCUCUUCCUUGGAGACUUUCCAUUUCCUGUAUUGGGAGCUGUACUGAGGGAGUCCAUGCUUCCAGGGCACAUCGCUACCAAUUCCCCGAGUUCGGCCAGGAUGUUCUUUGGUUCCGAGCGCCUUUGUGAGGAUGUCAUCUUCGCGCCUCUUCGGCGCGGACUCAACCUCGCUUUGUGAAGCUUGUUCAGCAACCAAGCCCAACUAGAAAAGAAGAUAGUCGUUUAUACGAACUUGUACUUUAUACGAACGGAAAUUAGUUAGGUUAAGUAGUGAACUCACCAGUUCCUGAUAGACGACGGCAUCACUUUUGUUCUCAAAUGUGACAGAGCCGUCCGGGUUGACCUUACCCCUUGCCCGCGCCCAGUUGCGAGCUAUUUGUUCAGGGAUGUCUGAAAACAGGGCAGGGACAUUCGCUGCUGUAGCGGCUGCAUCUUCUUGGGCCCAUAUUGCCUCCUUGCCGAUGUACCCUGCGGUGCCCAGCCGAUGCGGGUGCUCAUUCCGCUGUUGCAGUACGCGAUGUGCCUCGCUUGAUUCCCUAAACUCUUGGGUGGUCUUGAGAGAGCAGAAUUCCUCCCACACCGCUUCGGUUAUUUGAGGGUAUUCAUCGAACGACGUAUGAUUGCCGGGCGGGUUGACAAACUCGGUGAAGAGCUUCGACUUCCAAUUCUUCCAAGCUUUGCCCAUCUUUUGGAAUGCCUUCCGCUUGAGCCUAUCCUUUGCUUCGGCUGGAAAUGUGAACCAUUUCUCCAUUGCCGUCCAAGCUCGCUCUUUCUCGGCUUCUGUGACCUUCCUGAUAUCUUUAUGGAGGAUCCCGAAGUUCUCACGUGCCGCUAGCCCGCAGCAGUUAGACCAUCUUCCAAUGACAGUCCUGGGCGCCGUGGGCCUACCACUAGCGUCAACCUCUCUUAUAACUUGCACUGUGGUCGGCCAUAUAUUUUGUGACCGCGGAUUUCUACUAGACCUACUUGCACUUGUCCCUCCCGACAUCGACGUAUGUUGUUCCUGCUGCAAUUCUGCAGCACAAACAGAAGGCAAUAUUUGCUAAGGGGUGCUAGCUAAAAUUUAUGUGGUCAUGUGGUGAAAAUUUAUCCUAUAAAUUACCAUGAAUUUCGGGUUGUUGGUUUGCCGUUGUCGCGGGAUGACCUUCGGCAACUGCCUCUGUGGCUGGGUUUGCUUCUUCCUGGAUCCUCGCAGGUGUUGGGGAGGGCGGGUUUGCGCCGGGCGUUGACAUGGUUUAACUUUCGCGAAAAAGAUUAUAAAUUUCCUACCAUUAGACUAAAUAGCAUUAGAUCCAAUGUAAUACGGGGUAUACUAUGAAAGAUAUGGCCUCAGUUUUGCUGAGAAAUAUGCAUCAAUUACAAUCAUUUGCAUGAAGGGAUAAAAAGAGGAAAUCAUAACAUCAAAAGAGCAAGUGCAGAAAAUCUGUUCUUAUGCAUAAAAAAAGAACAAGUGUAGAGGUAUAUAACCACUGAAUCAAUCAUGCAAAUUUAAAAAACAGCAGCAGCAAGGGUACAGAAUUUGCAUGAUUGACAUAAAACAGCAGUAGGAGGAGUAUAUAUGCCACAGGGGUAGCAACAGCAGGGGCAAAUUAACUAAAACAACAUGUCUAGAUAUACUCCUCUUAUCAAUCCAGAAGAAAAGAGCAAGUGCAGAAAAUCUGUUCUUAUGCAUAAAAAAAGAGCAAGUGCACAAAAUCUGUUCUUAUGCAUAAAAAAAGAACAAGUGUAGAGGUAUAUAACCACUCUACACUGGCCAUUUAAUAAGGAACAAGUGAACAAGUGUAGGGGAAAAAAAUGAACAAGUGUAGAUAAUCUGUUCUUAUUGAGCAAUUCAUCACUAGCCAUUUAAUAAGGAACACAUUGGGCAGCAGCAGCAAGGGUAUAUAAAUCAUCAAAGAAUGACAGAAAACAAAAUGCAUGGAGAACUUUGGUGUCUAGGUCGGUUCCGUCCAUGGACUACACUGACCUAUCCUUUUUCAGCUAAAUGUAAACAUGAUCCACAAAAUUCAAUAGGUCUAGCAACAUAUAUAGCAGUACACACUCCAUGAAUGGUUAUAUGUCCAAAUGGCACUUAAAUCCACAUUCAAGUUGCACUUAACUAACAGUUGCAACCAUAGGCAGCAGCAUGGGCAAACAUAGACAGCAAGGGCAAACAUAGACAGCAGCAAAAUCAUGUAUAUAAAAUCUAGCCCCUACAUUCAUCCAAAACAUCCACAGACAACAAAUCACAUUUAAUUCAUCUAUACAGCAGCACCAAUAAUCGAAACAACAAAUCACAUUUCAUUCAUCUAAACAAUGCAAUUCAUCCAUCGAAAAAAAGGAGGAAUGGGGGAGGGUGGCGGCAUACUUGGAAAAGCGGCGUACCUGGAGACGGCGGCGCAGGCCGUAGUCAUCCUGGAUCCUGGUGGCGGCGGCGGAGAGGCAGUGGCGAAGAGGUCGAGGCGGUCGGUGGUGGUCGGGGAUCCCGGCGUCGGGGAGGUCGGGGUCGGGGAGGUCGGGGAAGUCGAUGGACGGACGGCGGAGAGGACGACCGGCGGCGAGGGCGGCGGUGGAGGCGGUGGCGGAGAGGGCGGAGAUGGCGGCAGAGAGGGCAGCGGAGAUGGCGGCGGAGAGGGAGGAGGAGAGGUUGAGGCAGCGACGGUGGAGAUGGCGGUGGAGAGGACGGCGGUGAUGGCGGCAGAGAGGGCAGCGGAGAUGGCGGCGGAGAGGGCAGAGGAGAGGUUGAGGCGGCGACGGUGGAGAUGGCGGUGGAGAGGACGGCGGCGGUCGAGAGAGUGAGUGAGGAGGCGGCGGUGGAGAGGGAGGCGGCGAGGGCGGCGGAGAGGGCGGAGAUGGCGGCAGAGAGGGCGGCGGCGAGGAGGGCGGUGGAGAGGGCGGUGGCAAUGAGGGUGGUGGAGAGGUCGAGGCGGCGGCGAGGAGGGUCUGGAUUGAGAGAGAGAGAGGCGAGGCGGCGGUCGAGAGAGUGAGUGAGUGAGAGUGGGUGCCGGAUCUGGAUCGAUCUAGAAGAUGUCCAACACUAGGUCAACCCUAGUCAAACUCACCUGUGACGGGCGCCAACUAUGUGGCCGUCACAGGUGGCCUCACCUGUCACGGGCGCCAACCGUGGAGCCGUCACAGGUAAGACCACCUGUGACGGGCCCAACACUCUGGGCCGUCACAGGUGAUGUCACCUGUGACGGCCCUACAGAUAGAGCCCGUCACAGGUGAGUUUGCCUAGAGCAAUUUUAUUUUAUUUUAUUUCACUUAGUUCUUUUAUUUUCCUUAACAUAUUUUCACAUACACUACAUAUUUUUUUAUACUUAAUUAUUUUAUUUCACUAUCAGUAGUAAUUGCACUUCAUUAUUAUACUACUUUAAUUAUUUUAUUUCCAAUGCUUAUACUUGCUUAAUUAUUUUAUUUCACUUCUAGUGGGUGCUUCACUUAAUUAUUUUAUUUGACUAUUUCAUAAGCAAUAUACUAUUGAUCAUUGCGAACAUAUUAGAGUCAUACAGAUAACAGACAUGUAGACAUAAACUACGUACAUAAAUUACAAAAAUAAUCCUUCCUCAUGGUCGACACGUGCAUAUUGAACUUCAUCUUCUUCUUCCUCCUCUUCUAGAGGUAUUUCUUGACCUAUGCCGUGGACGUGCUGGUUGUAAUCAUCCUCGUCUGCAAUGUUGUCCAAUCCAACAAUUCUCCUUUUCCCUUCACGAACAACAUGUAGUUUCUUGUUACACGGGUCAACUAUGUAGAACACUUGAACAACUUGUUUGGCGAGAACGAACGGUUCAUCCUUGUACGCGUUGUUAGCCAAGUUGACAGUGGUGAAACCUUCAUUGUCAACUUUUACAUUGCGAAGAUCGACCCAUCGACAACGAAACAACGGGACUUUGAACUUCAAGUAAUCUAGCUCCAAUAUUUGCUCAACUUUACCAUAGUAUUGAUCACGACGACCACCGUCACUAGCAGCCUCGAUGCGUAACCCACUGUUCUGCACUGUGCAUUUGCUGUCUUGCUUUACCGUGUGAAAGGUGUAUCCAUUUAUGUCAUAUCCUUGCCAGGUGGUGGCACUCCAUUCAGGACCCUGUGACAACCACUGAAGUGUUUCACUAGACAAGUUCUGCAACCUGGCAAUUCGGUUCUUCAGCCACUCGUUGAAAGAAGACAUGUGCUUAUUCCUGACCCAACUCUUUGAUCGGCCUGGGUUCUCUUGUCGGAUAACUGCAAGGUGUUCGUCAACGUACGGCACCACCUCAGUCAUAUGCUGUAGUACCGUGAAAUGAGCUUUAUCGUACACCUUCCGAUCCAACCUAAUAGUCUUUCUUCCAACAGUACCAACACCGUCAAGCCUCCCUUCGUGAUGAGAUCGUGGUAAUCCAAUUGAAGAUGUUUCUGACAUGUAGUCCACACAAAAUUCGAUGGCCUCUUCGGUGGUGUAACUCUCGAUGAUACUCCCCUCGGGGUGUGAACGGUUCCAUACAUAACCCUUAAGGAUCCCCAGGUACCUUUCGCAAGGAUACAUCUGCGUCAUGAAUGCUGGACCACAGCACUUUGUUUGCCUCACAAGGUGCACCGGAAGAUGUUCCAUUAUGUCAAAGAAAGUUGGAGGAAAGUACAUCUCAAGAUGACAUAGGGUUCUCACAAGUUCUGCCUGUAGUUCAUCUAGUCCCUCGGGAUCAAUGAUCUUCUGGCCGAUUGCAUGGAAGAAGGAACACAACCGCUGGAUCGUGUGUCGCACCUUAGGAGGCAAAAUAUUCCUUAUUGCAACGGGCAACAGCUGUGUGAUAAGAACGUGGCAAUCAUGCGACUUCAUUCCAACCAACUUAAGAUCUUGCAGUGGAACGAGCCUACUGAUUCUUGAUGAGUAACCAGAUGGAACCUUUAUACCACUCAAACAUGUUAGCAAAUCAAUCUUCUCUUCUUUCGAGAGAGUGUAGCAGGCUGGAGGAAGGUAAACCCUGCCGAAUUCCGUGGUUAUGGGAUGUAGCUCCGACCGAACACCCAUAUCUUCCAGAUCUCGUCGGGCGUUGAGACCAUCCUUUGUAGUACCUGGGUUAAGCAGUAAUCCCAUUAAACUCUCGCAUACAUUCUUCUCGACAUGCAUCAAAUCUAUGCAGUGGCGAACUUCAAGAUCCUUCCAGUAUGGUAGUCUCCAAAAUAUUGACUUCUUUUUCCACAUGCUCCUCUCUUUUGUCUUUUGUUUUUCCACAUGCUCAUCUGUUUUUUCCUUCGAUGUGCUCUUCUCUUUUCGCUUUCCAACUUUCCUCUUUUUUCCAAACUCGUUGGUUAUUCCCAUCACUAAGUUGUGCACCUCUGUCCCUGUUAGCUCUGUCGGGGGUCCGGCUGUAUCUCUGUGUCCAUUGAAAUUCUUUCUCAUAUUCCUAUACGGGUGAUACCUUGGGAGAAAUCUCCUGUGACCCAUGUAGACCAUCUUGUGUGAAUGCUUCAACCAUUUGCUUCUUGUUUCCUCCAUACACUCCGAACACGCCCAUUUCCCUUUCACAGUUUGGCCAGAAAGGUUGCCAAGGGCCGGAUAAUCGUUGAUGGUACAAAACAGCAUCGCAUGGAGGUUGAAAUACUCUUGUGCAUAUGCGUCCCAUGUUCGUGUGCCCUCAUUCCAUAGCCUUUCGAAGUCAUCGAUUAUCGGUUCAAGGAACACAUCGAUAUCGUUGCCAGGUUGUCUCGGUCCUUGAAUGAGCAUGACAAGCAUAAUGUACUUUCUUUUGAAACACAACCAGGGAGGAAGGUUAUAGUUAACAAGCAGAACUGGCCAUGUACUGUGACGACUGCUCAAAUCACCAAAAAGAUUAAUGCCGUCCGUACACAUUGCGAAACGCAUGUUUCUUGGGUCAUUUGAGAAUUCCUGGUAAAUCCUAUCGAUUGUCCUCCACUGUACUGAAUCUGCUGGGUGCCUCAGCAUAGUAUCGACUUUCCGUUCUUCGGCAUGCCAGCGCACAAGCUUAGCUUGUUCCUUGUUCGCAAACAUUCUCUUCAUGCGCUCCGCAAUUGGGAGAUACCACACCACCUUUGCUGGGCCUCCCCUCUUUGACUUACUUCCUUCACCUUCACUCUUUGCUCGUUUGUACCUUGAUGCCCCACAGAUAGGGCAGACAUCCAAGUCAGCGUAUUCCUUGUAAUACAAAAUGCAGUCGUUCGGACAUGCAUGAAUUCUUCUGACCUCCAGGCCCAACGGACAUAAUACUUGCUUCGCUUCAUAUGUCGUCUGAGGUAAAUUGUUCCCCUCUGGCAACAGAUCCUUUAACAGCUCAAGGAGUUCUGUAAAACUCUUGUCCGACCAGCCAUUACUAGCCUUAAGCUUCAUGAGUUCCAACACGCAUGACAACUUGCUGUGCUUCGACUUGCAUCCAUCAUACAACGGCAUCUGGCAAUCUUCCACCAACUGCCAACUGCCCGUCACUGGUAUCCGCUUACCUGUGACGGGCCAGAAAUGAAAGCCGUCACAGGUGGCGGCCCAUCACCUCUGACGGCUUCUAAUGUAUCGGCCCGUCACAGGUGAGGGGAUACCAGUGACGGGUUGGAAGCAAAACUCGUCACUGGUAUACCUCUGACGGGUUUUCCUUUCGGCCCGUCACAGGUGAGGGGAUACCUGUGACGGUCCGCGGCCGGAUGGCUCACCGGUGACGUUAUCCCGUCUGACCCGUCAGAGGUAAUGGUCACUAGUGACCAAAUCGUUUGCCCGUCACAGGUAUCCCGUCAGAGGUGUGAGGAUCUGGCGUAGUGUGCAACACUGUAUACACAUAUAUUUGACUCUGAUAACAUAGAGAGUAACAUCAUGGUUGAUUGAUUGACAGGAAAUGAAUGAAGUAAAAGCUAUAGCAAAUUAAAGGUAGCGAACAACAUCCAUUCUGUCCAUCCAUGAUCCACUUGUCCAUGGCCAUCAUAUUUGUAGUCUUACCGGUUUGAUCAUAUUCAGUGCCUAAAUUUAAUUUCUUGGUGAUGAAAUCUAACUAAGUUCAUGCAAAAAUCUGUUGUAAACCUAUGCCAAAUGUUAUGGUUAGGAUGCAUCGGGAGUGAAGCUCCCAUUCCAUUGUUUGGUCAUCAAGCUGGGUACUGAUUUCUGCUAUGUUUGAACGAGGUGUACUGAAGUAUGUUGUUUGUUCAUCACUCCUGCUGGUUGGAGGUUAGGAGCAGGGGUGGUGAGUGGUGAGCGAGGAUCUAGUGAGCAUUAUUGGUUAAGUCAAUUGGCAGAAUACACUGAUGUGGAAACACUACUAGCUACUUGGUAGUUGGUACUAACUACUAAAUAGAUGGAUUGUGGUUUUGCUACAAGAACUUGGCAGUAGUUAGAAUAUUCAAGAUUCACAGCACAUUUAACAAAAUCGAUCUUCGGGUUUUUCUCGUAUUUCACUACUAUUUUAAAUCUUCAUUGUAUACAUUGAGAAGGAGGUAGGUGAUAUCUUUUAAAGAAGAUAUGCACAUUGGAGUGUAUUGAAAGAGCUAGCAUCUCAAAUUGAGGCAGCAUUUUUCUGAUUGUGGUUGGUAAAAAGUAUCAUCUUCCUCCCAAAUUUUCCAAUACCUUAAUGUUUUUUAAUGGGACAAAUGAUUAAAUAACAGUUAAUUUGGUUGCAUAAAAGUUUCUUGAUAUGAUUUGUAUGAAAAUAUAAUAACAAGGGUUGAUUAUUGUCAACCAAGGCUAGACACAGUAAAAAUCUGGGUGGGCCUCGCUCGGGUAAUUGGCCAAGUUGGCCGAUGUGAUCCGGUCUAAUAUCAAGUUAUCUCGUAUUGACUGCUAUCCCAUGUACAUUUUUUAUAUAUAAUGGAAUAGAAUCCCGUCCUUUGCUCACAGAGCUACAACAAAUUAUCACAGAAUUUGAUCCCACGUACAUACAUACACUCAAAUUGAUCGAGCAAGUGUAUGAUACUGCAAGCUAUAUGAGUCUGAAAAUUCUAUUGGGAAUUUCGUAUGAAAUAUUCAAACAAAGUUUGAAUUGUGGAAUUUCAGAAAUUUUGUUCUGAAAUAUAUAUACAAUUUUAGGCCUGAAUGGUGGUGUUCGCAGCUGUGUCCAUAUUUAACUUUCGCGGCGAUAUGAAGCAUUUAAAGAGGGGUACAACCAAGACUAGUUUAAAUGGCCACCCUUGUACUACUAGGAAUUUAAUGCCGCUACCUACCAGCCUCACGCCCUUGAAUCUAGGUGGCCCAACACCUACUCAUCCCCCUUAAUUUACUAAGAAGAGGACGAUGCUACCCUGAGAUGGUGAUGCAAGUUUGAAGCACAAGUAGAUAUGAACAAUGUAACCUUGCGUGGGUAUUUCCUGAACCCAGGUCACGACACUAUAUGAGUGGAACCCAACCUUUGUUAGAGGCGCUGAUGGGCUUUGAGGGGACAUCUCCUCUUGUUUUCUAUUAUCUCAAGUUGUUCGUUCCGUUUACCCUCACAGACAUACUUAGUUAUUAGGGGCAAUUAUAUUGUCCUAACAAAAUAUUAGGACACUAGAUGCAGCUAUAUUUUUGCCGUGUAUAUGUUAUUGGAGUAAAGCUUGUGCAAACUGCAUUUUUUUUUUCAGUUAGCUGUAUGACAUGUUUGUUUUUCAGUCAAACCUUUAUGUGCACGAUCUUAAGGUUGUUAGGCCUUCACUUAGGAUUGCUUUGGGCAGAGACUUACUAUGUCCUCGUCGUGCCCAGUCAUUGCAUAAACUUUGGUAGAUCGCAUUCAUUUGCGUGGACGUGGGAUGGUGCAUGCGUACAGAUCAGAUCGUGGCAAAGAAAUCGGGGUGUUUUAGUUGUAGUCCUUGCAUAUAUAAUACCACCUCCGUCCCAAAAUAUAUCCAGAUUCAUUCCUAAAAAUACUUAUAUUUUAGGAUGGAGGGAGUAAGAGGAAGGAAAAAACCAGAAAAGUUGCGGCAGUAUUUGAGCGGCACAAACUGUGUCUCGAGUUCUCUGAGCAUCACUAGUUUUCUCUGCUUACUCUGCUCUCUUCUGAAUCUUGCUGAAUUGGCAAUAGUGUUCCAGAGUGCUAUUGCAAGCGCUCUAGUGAGCCACUGUUCUGAGUUACCAGUCAACACGUGUGUUAGAUGUCGUAGAGACCCGGUUUUAAUUCAUUAUCUAAGAUAAAGAUAAAGACAUGUGUGUUACCACGCGUCUCUAUUCUCUGCCUUUGAGGACAAAGAUAAAGAUUGUCAUUGGUUUCAUCUGGUCCAUCUGCCGUUCAACCAACAACUCUUGUUCCACUGCCUUAUUGAGCAACUGGUAGCCAAUUAAUUGAAAGAAUCAGUUGUUUCCACUCCAGAAGAAACCAACAAUCCAAUCUUCAAGGUAAAAUAGCAAACGGAAAAUGGACCACGCACCUUAUGCUUUUUGACCCCAACAGCAAAGAAUAAAGAUUCACAUCUAAUCUCUAUUUAUUCAUGAGGAACAAGAAGCUAGCAGUUGGAAAACAGCAUGAGAUAAAAUGCACAAGUAGACAAUAAAUAGCAGGGAAUAUAAUAGAAAUAACUCAAAAUUAGGCAUCAUCGGAAAAGGAUUGUUACUUCUUGUCGAAUAAAAUAAAAUUAGACAAAGUUUUCUCUUAAUUUGUUUUCUUGACCCAAUAGAGAAACCUUGUAGUUUCGAUCUGUUUACAAAAAUAUAUGUAUCACACCUUUCCCAAUCGUGCAUAUAAACAAAACUAGCUAUAGUAAAAAAAGUUAUAUUUGAUAAGUUACAUACAACCUUAAAAUACAUAGUAAAAAAAAUAGCACGUAGAUAAUGAAGGGUAGCCACCAAACCAUAGUAUGGGAGGAACUACUUGUAAAGAAGCAGCCAAACCCUCAUAGAGUUUUUUUUUUUUUUAGAAUUAACCCACAUAGACUGAACUGACAUUAAGGGCAGUCAAUGAUCUUAAGGUGUCCAUAUCCAUAUAUACACGUGGACACCACAGUGCUCGGGAAUCAUCCUCUUUUUAGCGCACAUAUAUGCAGAUACUCACAAUAACACAGCGGCGGAGCCAGCUCCUAGGCUGAUUGGGUGGCUGCCCGGACUCCGCCUCUGAUUUCUCCACUACAGAUAAAUGUCAACAUGUCUAAAAACAAAAAAUUGGCCGACCACCGAAAAACGUUGUUAGUCGCUCGGGUUCAACGGCACCACUGGCUCCACCGCUGCAACGACAGGUAGAACCAGAGAGCAGUCGGUUUAAGUGAGCUCUUGUAGGGUUAGGAGGUACUGGGAACCAAGCUUGUGCUUGAUGUCUGCGUGAGACGUGGCCUCUGUUCCCUUCCUUCAUUGUUCAGAUCAAACAUUUUGCUACGGCUAGGCGUACCACUUUACCAUGUCAAAUUUCUCAGGACCCGGUGGGAAUUAUCCUGAGCGCGCUGACUGAAGAUACAUGUUUUCUGCUUGCUUCCAUUCAAACAAGCUGGACUUUUGAUUUCUGGAGGAACAACGCCUGUUUGUAACUGACACCGUGUUUAGUUGUAAACUUUUCUUAUCAAACUUUCAACUUUUUCAUCACAUCAAAACCUUCCUACACACAUAAAUUUUCAACUUUUCCGUCACAUCGUUCCAAUUUCAACCAAACAUCCAAUUUUAGCGUGAACUAAACACACCCUGAGAGAGAGAACUUGAUCAUCAUUCAUGGCGGAGCGAAGAGGCUUUGAUACGUACCCUGGUCAUCAUUAUCCUGAUUGCCCAACCUAGAACUUGAAAUCAGAAGCUGAACACAGGUAGCUAAAUGCUUUGUGAUCGCUGUGCCACACACGACUGAGCUUGUACUGGUGUGCGCUAGCAUUUCAGCUGCUCGCAAUAUUCUGAGAUAGGUGACCUGUUUUGAAGGAGUUGUGAACAAUAUAUAGAGUAUAAAGAGGAUCCUCAAAUUGAUGUAGUUUUUUUUUUUUUUUUUUUUUUGUGACUGUGGUCAAUGGACAAGGUAUUCUCUCCCCACAACUAGGGGUGAAAUCGGGUCGGGUUGGGUCGGAUCUCACACUUCUCAUAUCCUAACCCACAUUGUAUAAUCGGAAUCGGGUCAGACACGGAUAGCGUCGAAUACGGAUAUAAGUUCGGAUAAUAUCGGGCAAAAAUAUGGACCGAAUACGUACCCAAAUGGAUACGUACACUCUCGGUUAUAAAUACUUAUUCGGAUAUCAAGUCGAAGAAACAAUCAUAAAUACCAUAUAGACAAUAACCAUUCAACAAAUCUAUAUCCAUAAUGCGAUUAUAUUAGGUCAUUAGGGCUUAGGAAACAAGACACCGUAGUACAGUACGUGACAGGCUCACAGCCACAAGCUAAAAGUAGUACAGUACGUCAGUCACAGCCACAUGCCAAAAUAUCACCAAUUCUUCAUAACGGAGACUUAUAGUCAUUACAGUCACAGGCUCACAGCCACAUAGUACUCCAGUACAUAAUACCAUAAUACUCAGAAACAUGUCUUGCCAGAUGCCAACCAGGAAACAUCACCAUUUCACAAGAGUCUUGAGCCAACUAGGAAACAUAAACCAUUUCACGUAAACCAUAUUUAAGGACAAGACACUCAAAUCAUCAGUAGGAGACGACGACCGGCGCACACGGCUGUCACGGCAGGCCUGCACACGGCAGGACGGCACGACGGAGAUGGCGACCGACGCAGGCCGUGCAGCAGCGGUGGUGACGAGCACCGUGGGAGCCGGCGCCGCCGGCGCGGGUGGCGCCGCUGGCAGCCGUCGCAAGGGCGCGGCCGCGGCAGGAGCCAGGAGGAGACGCCGUCGCCAAGAGCCCGUGACGGCAGGAGCCAGGAGCCGCCGCCGCCCAGGAAUAGGAACAGACGAACAAUCACUCCACUCGGUCUCCUCAUCUCUCUCCUAUUUCCUCGGGUUAGCAAUACUAUUGGGCCGGUGAGUUUUGGGCCUGGUUGUUGGCUUUUUGGCUAGCUUGCCUCAAAUCUGGUUGGCUGGUUGUACAGACUACGUAAUACGGGUACUAUCCGUAUAUAUAUUCGGGUAGUAUCCGUAUUUUUUACUGGAUAAUCCGUAUCCGUCGGAUACUGCGCUCCCGAAUCCGAUCCCAUAUCCACCAAAAAUAACCCGUAUUCGAACCCUAUAUCCAUAUAAAAUUUCGGGUACCCGAAUUUCUGACCCGAAUUUGUCCCAAAUUAAUACGGUCGGGCAGUCGGGCGGGAAAUACCCGUCCCGUUUUCACCCCUACCCACAACGUACACUCAACGGCUUCAUCACUUUACCGAGCACAUUUCCGGUGAGGAAUAGACAAAAGCGCAUGGGAAUAUUAUGUACCAUACCGUGCGUCCCACAACACGCGGGAACACUAUUUUAUACCGUGUACGAAUGCACCCGUUAUAUUUCUAUGUUACCGUGUGUGCAACUGCAGCGCACGGUAUGCUCCUAUGUUACCGGGUGUCAGAACAAACACCCGGUAUCAUUUGGGACAUUACUGAGUGUGAUCACAUACGCACGGUAACAUUUGUUAGCACACGGGAGCUUUACCAUAUCUGGUAAUGCAAUACCUUGAUUUUUUUACUGAACAUAUAAUUAAACAAAAGCUAAAAUUUAUUGCAUAAAAAAUUUCUUGGUAUGGUUUGUACGAAAAUAAUAAUAAGAGAAAAAUAUCUUCAUGAUUGUCCAGCCCAGCCCAAUAUGGUAAAAUCAGGGUGGGCCAGCUGGGUUGUCUGGUCCCUACCCAAGCUGGCCAUUACCAGAUAUAUAUAAUUUCAAGAUAUCUCCUGAACCAUUUAUAUUUGAUUAUUUAAGCUCUCCCUUAUAGCAAGCUCUCCCUGGUCACAUUUGAGUAAUAUAUAUCAAACUAUUUUAACCAAUGUUUUCUCCAUACGGAUUAUGGCCACUUUCAGGUAGCCCAUGUUGUUAAUUAAUAUGUUGCAUAUGAUGGUGAUCGAUUAUAUCCAUGUCAGGUCCCUUGCUUGACAAUGGUAUGAGAAAAUUGCAUAUCCACCAUAACAAAAUAACAGAUUUGUCGGAGGGAUGACUAAGGGUUUGUUCGGCACCCCUUUUUCCCAACCCCUCUCCCUCGUUUUUCACACGCACGCUUUUCAAACCGCUAAACGGUGUUUUUUUUAAAAAAAAUUUGUAUACAAAAGUUGCUUAAAAAACAAAUUAAUCCAUUAAUGGAUCGUUCCGUUUUCCGUAUUUACUAUUCCGGUUGGGAACACCUAACGGUGAAGACAGCCUAAGAAGCCCAGGAUUAAAAUGGUCCAAGAUGGUAUUCCAAGAAACACGUCCUAGUUAAGACUAGUAUUUUUUUGUCGCUCGUGAUAUUUCAGCAAAUUUUAUUCAUUUGCGAUGGUAGAUAUACAAUUAUCUCACAAUGGUACGUAGCUAGCUCGUGCAUGCUGAUUGUUCGCGAUUAUUAAAAUUUUCUAUCUGUUUGUCAGAAAAGUGCCUUUACAGUGCUUAGGAGGUACUGAACGUACCUUUCCUUGCAUAUAAUAAAUAUAUAUCCUCCACAUCAUGAAUCUGAUAUCGUACUGACGAUUUCUAGGUGAAUGUCUCACAAUCACAUAUAUUAAGCUUGAACCGCAGCAGCGUUUUAUCUUAGACACAUAUAUACCACAGCCCUCAUUCCGAAUCAUACAAAAUAAAACUAACUAUACUGCAAGUAAUGAAGAUACGUACGAUCGAUUACAAUAUGUAUAGUGCAAAACGGUAUUGAUGAAGGGUUUUUCUACCAAACCAUCAACCAUCAAAUGGGAGGAACUACUCCUAAAGGUGCACUAAAAUGCAGUAUAUAUUGGACCUUUAAAGAUGUCUAUGAAUUCCAUAUACGUGGACACCAUAGUGUUUCGAAACCAUGCAUGUUCAUCCAUUUUUUCAGAACGUACGUACGCAUACAAAUAUCUCGCAACAACGCGAUGAACCAGAGAUCAGUCGGUUUGAGUGAGGUUGUGGGGUUAGGAGGUUCUGGGAACCAAGUUUAUUCAUAUCCUCAGUCCAAAACCUGACCUCUUUUUCUCUUGAUCUCAUGCUGGCCAAGGUUCCUAAACCAUAUUCAAGAUUGGAAACUGGCAAUGCUAUACAGUAGUAGUAAGGGUUCUGCAACCAGUAACCCCUGGAGCUUGGGUACAACGUGGUAAUCAUCCAGACACCAGUUAUGAACCAAGCCAAAGAGGCAUAGAGCUAGGUCUUCCAACCUCUGCCAAAAUGCUCCAGAACGUCUAUUGCACCUUCUGCUAAAAGAUGAAGGCAAGCUGGGGCCGUAGCUUGACGAAAAUUCUCCAAUGUAUCUUUGCGCCAUCAUGAAGCUUUAGGCCACAAUCUUGGCUUGCUGUCCAUGCAAAUCUAGGUGUUUGGCAUUGCAUUUCUUUGAGCUUUUUCCUUCUGUCUUGUUUAGAAUGUGCAUGGAGCUGAGCUAAGGGUGCUUGGUUUAAAUUAUAUUAAUAUACCACUUUGAAAACUGAUAGAUGUCUGGAUCAAAUAUUUGAUAAGGUGGAAAACUGAUCAAGAUUAGAUUAGGCGUAAAGGUGGAUUAGAAUGAUCUCGAUCUGUACGUAAGUCUGAUAUGGCGCUCCAAAAAAAGGGCAUAAUUAAUGGUAUACUUCUCCUACUGUCAUGUUACGAAGAAGUGUGACUUCAGAUUCUUUUCCACACUCAAUACAUAUUUCAUCCAGUUAUUUCUUCUUCAAUACAAUGAAGAUACGACCCUAAAGGUGCAAUCAAACUCUCAUGUACUGAAAUGCACAUUAAAAGCAGUCUUGGACCAUAAGAAGUCCAUUUCCAUAUAAAUGGACGCCAUAGUGUUUCAAAGCCAUGCCUGCUCAUGCUUUUUUUCAGAACGCAUACAAAUAUAUCUCGCAACAACUAGAUCAGCAAGAGAUCAGUCCAUUUGAGUGAGCUUGUAGGGAUAGGAGGUACUGGGAACCAAGCUUAUGCAUAUCCUCAGUCCUAAACCUGACUUCUGUUUCUCUUGAUCUCAUGCUGGCCCAGGUUCCAUCCAUGUUUGACGGAGCACACCAUGGUCAAAACUCAAGAUUGAGAAAGGGUAGUAGUGAGGGUUCUGGUAUCAGUAACCCCUGGAGCUUGUGUACAAGGUUGUAGGCAUUAUGGACGAGCAGCUACUGUCCAGACACCAGUUAUCAACCAGGCCAUAGAGCUAGGCCAUCCAACCUGCCAAUUCUGAUCCGCCACAUCUAGUGCAACUUCUGCCAAAAGAUGAAAGCAAGCUGGGGCCGUAGCUUAAUGAAAAGCAUCUGCUGCAUCUUUGUGCCAUCAUUAGGCUUUAGGCCAUAAUCUUGGCUAGCUGUCCAUGCAAAUCUAGGUGUUUGGGGUUGCAUUUCUUCGAGCUCUUUCUUUCUAUCUUGUUUGGAAUGCAUGGAGAGGGUGCUUGGAUUAAAUUGUACCACUUUGAAAACUGAUAGAUGUCUAGAACAAAUAUUUCAUAAGGUGGAAAACUGAUCGAGAUUAGAUUUGGUAUAAAGGUGGAUUAGAAUGAUCUCUGUAUGUACGUUUGAUAGGGUGCUGGAAAAAAAGGGCAUAAUGGAUUGCUUGUCCUACUGUCACGUUACAGAGAAGUGUGACUUCAGAAUUUCAUACUUACUAUUCCACUCUAUACAUAUUUCAUCCAGUUAUUUCUUCUUCAAUAUGAUGUAAGGUUGAACUUUCCUGUAAAAAAUUAUAAGUAAUCAAUUGCCUAUAAUGUAAAAAGAGGCUGGAGAUUUCCACUCGCCACUUAAUGCUACAGGUUUAGUUUCGAAAAUACGAUAGAGAUUUAUACAUUUACAGGACACAAUUCUGAUGUAAUGCUUGCUACAGGGACGGGGCAGGUACAACCUUAACAAGGCAUUACUCAUAGCACCUUUUGUGAUGAGCUCAUCACUCCUUUGGAUACACAUGAGGGAGAGGUAGCAAGCACUUGCAGAGAGGCUAGGAGAUGGAUGCUCAAUUCAUAUCAAGUUCAAGUUCACCUCAGAAUCCAGAAGGAGUCCGUACUAAAAUCGUCGCUCAGAUCUCAAUUGGAUUUCAUUUUCGACGUUCUACAUAUGCUUGAAAUUAAAAGCUAACAAGAUGACCUUUCCAACACAUCUAGUGUAAUGCCAAAAUUCUUUCUAAGUCUAGGAAUCAUCGAAACAAGUGGGCAUCCAGAAUCAGCCUGGGUGCUACAUCACCGUCUUUUGACGCAUUGGACUAUGUAUCGUGUUGGAGAAUAUUAGGGAUGCGUCCAGGGGGGUCGCCGACCCUAGUAACCAUAUAAUCGUUAGCCGUCAUCGAGUUAGGGUUGGGUUUUAUUUAGAUUAAUCUGCAAUUGCAGUUUCGCUGCUUAGUUCAGUUUUGUGGAGCCCCAACCUGUGAGGUCAAUCGUGUUUCGGCCUAGUUGAUAACCAAAAGAGAAGUGAUGAUUGCGAGGGGUUCGAUUGUUUUUGGAUCAUCAACGUCAAGUCUUCAUAAUCGACCUAUGCAGUAACUACCAAAAGAUCAGGAUCUAGUUCCUCGUCAUUUUGUGCAAACAUGGAUGAGAAAGAAAUGAUAUGGAAUUGCACGAAGGAACGACUUGGGCAUAAGGUCAAGUUCAACUGUUGAGCCUAGUUUGACCUCCUUAACUGAUCUAUAAAUUUGUCAUACAACAUAAUGACUAUGAUCAUUAAUACUUUCCCUGAUUUUCUGUUCUGUUGAAUCUUUUGCUAAGAGUUGAUGUUUAGUGGAUAGUCAAUGCUUUUCUCUCUUCCCUACUUAGCGAAGCUAUGGGCCAGUUCAUUUUUGUUGUUGUACAUACCUAAUAUAUAUAGGGAUAAUUAAAAAGUCUAGAUGAUUGAUAUUAAACAUUAUGCUGGCAUUUGUGGAUAUCAUUCAGCCCCUUGUACAUGUGAAAUUUGGAGUUCUUUAUUCAAUUUGGACUAUAGAGAUGGUUGCUUUCAAAACAUUGAACUUGACUUAACCGCUGAUACGCAACGCAACAAACUGAAUGACUGCUAGCGAGCUAACAUUAUAGAGCAGUGAAUAUAUAUAUGCCCCAACCUCGACCAAACCAAUAAGGCUUUGAUGGGACACCCUGAGCUACGGAGGGUGUGAAUUGGAUCCUCAUGGACAUGUCUAGGGCCCGAAGGGAGGAAACAAAGUAGGAUAAGUGAGAAACCUCCGCCUUCGUUGUUGUGGUUCUUGGAGGGAGGAACCUACAAGGGCCAACCAUUGAAGCCCCUUAGUCGGUUGAAGGGCAAUAUGAACCAUUUAAAGAGGAGGGUGGACAAGGCCAGUCUAAAUGGCCGCACUUCAUACCAACUAGAUUUAGUGUCACCACCUACAGAUUCAUGCCCCUGAAUCCAGGUGGCCUAAUGCAUCCAUGUGGCUCUCCGGGGCGAAAUGGGAGUGUCCCAUCCUAGUAGAGGUAGGCCCCUAAUCAGCUGGCCUUCCAACCAUGGCUAUUCCCCUUAAUUAAUAGGCUAAGAAGAAGGCGCUGAUCCUAGUCAGCGCACUAUAUAUAUAAAUGGAACCCUACCUCUGUUAGAGGCGUGCACACAUCUCCUCUUGUUUUUUAGUAUCUCAAGUUGUAAGUUCUAUCUACUCCCACACAACCAUAGUAAAUUAGAAGCUGCUAAGUUUUGGCCAUGUACAUGUGUGUUGGAUGUAGAGGUCUGGUUUUAAUGAACUACCUAAAACCCGCUAAAGAUUACACAGGACUAAAGAGCAUAAAAAGCAUGAUCAUUCUGAAAUAUCUUGUAGACCAGUACACAAUAGGAUUAGGAUGAAUUGGGAAAAGUUUGAUGAGAAAGACAGAUUGCCAUUGGUUUCUUCUGAUCCAUCCGCCGUUCAACCGACAACUCUUGUUUUAUAUGACGAACUGUAGCCAGUUAAUUGAUAAUUGGUUCUGUACACUUCUGACGAAAUCAACAAUCCAAUCUCCAUGGUAUAAUAUAAAAAAAAUGGAAAAUGGAGCACACACCUUUAGCUUUUUUUACCCCAAGAGCAAAAAAUAUGGAUCCACAUCUAAUCUCUAUUUAUUCACAAGGAACAAGAAGCAAGUUGUAGGAAAACAGCAGGAGACAAAAGACACAAGUAGACAAGAAAUAGCAGGCAAUAUAACAGAAGUAAUUCAAAAUUACACAUCAUCUCGAAUAAAACAAAAUUAGUCAAACUUUUAUCUUAUUUUGUUUUGUUGGCCCAACAGAGAAACCUCGUAGUUUUGAUCGGUUUACAAAAAUAUAUGUAUCACACCUUUUUGCUGCCUGUAAUGAAUAUAUACAUCUUCCACAUCAUGAAUCUGAUUUCUUAUUGACGAUUUACAUGUGAAUGUUGCAAACUCCUUAUCAAGCUUGAACAUGAUUAGUUUAGACUAAAUCAAAGUUGGUGAUUUAGUUUAGCAUAAAUCGAAUUUACAAAGUUAGGCACACUUGAUUGCAUCAUGCUCAUAUAUAUAUCACAACCCACAUUCCCACUCAUGCAUAUAAACAAAACUAGCUAUAGUACAAUGAAGAUAUGGAUGAUAUAUUACAUCCUUAAUAUACACGGUGCAAAAAGAUAGCGUGCGGAUGAUGAAGAGUUGCCACCAAACCAUCACAUGGGAGUAACUAGUCCUAAAGGAGCAAGCAAAUUCUCAUUUACUGGAGUGCACAUUAAGGGUAUUCAAUGAUCUUAUGGUAUCCAUGUUCAUAUAUAAUGGUGGACACCAUAGUGUUUGGGAACCAUCGCUCUUUUCAGUACACGUAUAUACAGAUACUCACAGCAACACAGUGGUGGAGCAAAUGGGGGCUUGUUGGGUGGCCGUACAGACUCCGACGAUGGUGUCUGCCCUGUAGAUAGCUUCAAAACAAAUUGGUCAACCACUAGAAAUGUUGUUAGUAACCUAGCCUCAAUGGCUCCAUUGGCUCCACCACAGCAACAAUACUAGAACAGGAGAACAGUUGGUUUAAGUGAUAUCUAGUCCCUCCGUCCCAUUUUAAGUAUAGUUGUGGGUUUUAGUGUCCAAUGUUUGACCAUCCAUCUUUUUUGAUUUUUUUUAUAAUUAAUAUUUUUAUUGUUAUUAGAUGAUAAAAUAUGAAUAGUACUUUAUGCGUGACUUAUUUUUCUAAACUUUUUCAUAAAUUUUUUAAAUAAGAUGGAUGGUCAAAUAUUUGACACACUUAAAAUGGUACGGGGGAGUAGUUGGGUUAGGAUGUACCGGGAACUAAGCUUAUACAUAACCUCAACGUGAGACAUGACAUCUUUUCUCUUUCUUGAAAGUUCACAUCAACCUUAUUGUCAGGCACAUUAUGACACUUGUGCGAGGCAAACCCCACCUAGGCAACGCAUCAGGUUCACCCAACAAGAACAUUAUUACUGACGUAAUACUCCAAGGUGCAAAACUACCUCAUUGUCAGAGACAACAUGGCAGUUUUGGAUUUGCGUAAACAUUAACGUAGAAUGUUAAGGGAAUUCUAUAGCUAUUAUAUCCUAGCUAGCUAGUUUAGAUUCUUUUGUGGGAUUGGGUCUGGGUGGGCGGUGCCAAGGUAAAACAUGUUGAUUAUUUUGUAUAAAUGUCCGCCUAAAUCGUACUAGAGUAUAAAAUUGAAUUGGCAAAGAUUUUGCUAUGACGAUUAAGACUACCAGUUUAUCAUGACAAAUUUCUCAAGUCUGGUGGGAAUUAUCUGAGUGUGUUGACUAAAUAUACGCCGCAAUCUGUUGGAUCGUUUUUCUAUGUGUGGAAAUUGUGGAUCAAGGUGUGGUUCUAGCUAGCCCUCAUUUCAUUUGAUUGACGACUAGAUCAAGAGUGCAUAGGAGUGCAAGCAGUAGAGGAAUAUGUGACAUGAAAACAAAACUAACUACUUAUUGGAUUAUAUUACAAGUUGUUUCAUAUCAUAGUACUAGUGACUUAAAAUAAGUAUUAGAAUGCCUGUUGUAAUUAAUUAAAUGCUCUGAAACUUUAGUGGAACUUCGGUGUAUACAUUGGGAAGAACCGUAGGUGUUUCUUUUGAAGAAGUUUGUGCACAUUAGAGUCUAUUGUAUUUCCCGUAUUGAACUUUUAAUUAAAAAGAUAAGCUUGCAAAUAAGCCUUGCCUUCACUAGUCACUGAAUUGCAUCAUAAUGCCCUGUUUUGAUCUGCUAGCUAUCAUUUAUACCGAGUAUCCUACUUCCAAUACCACAAUUAAAUGUCUAAAAUCAAAAUAAAAGCUACCAUUUACUAGCAAGUUAAUUGUGGCAUUCUUCUAAAGUUGAGUCAAUUUACUACAGCAAUCUAGAAUUUUUAUGUGAGGCAAAUAGGAACUGCCAAAAAUGAGAAUUCUCUUGUCGGGUCCUUUGCACUACCACGAAAAAAAUGCAAAUUAUUAAACCUGGGGGGUUAACACCAACCUGAUAAUAAAUUAGCCUGAUGGUUUCAUUCAAAUCUGUGACGGUGCACGAACCUAACGAUAGCCUUAUUUCCUUGGUAGUGGUUGCCACCAAAAAAAUUGUCAUUGGCGGUUAACCGCCAAGAUAGUUCGUUUUCCUUGUUGCUCUAUUCGUGAGUGCUUUUGCGUGGUGGCUCACUGACACUUAGUCUUUCCUUGGCCGUUUUCCACGCUCACGAAAUUUUGGUUUUCUUGUAGUGAUUCAGUUUCCACUGUGAUGAUCUAUGUUCAUAUGCAAAAACCAAUGCGCGUUAGGGUUAGGAUGCAUCAGGAAUGAAGAUUCUGUCCUAGUAUUUGUUCGUCUAGCAAACUAGUCCUUCCAUGUUAUGUCAAAAGAUGAUGUUAGCCCUAGCACAACCCAUUUGCAAACAAUACAUACAGAAGCAGCCAGUGGAAUACAAAGUUUGAGGGUUGAAGCUACUGCCUAUAGGGUCGAGGAUAGGGCUGGGAUUCAGCAGAUACAAGCAUUGUUGAAUUCAGUCACUGCAAUACGAAUGAUGGAAACACUACUACUACCGUCAACAUAUUUAGUGGUUGCAUUAUAUCUUAUUAUACUUUCAAUAUAAAUAGCAGGAUGCAUUUCAAUUUCCAAAGAAAAGAGCAUGAAGUGUACAGCUCUUUUCCCCUACAGAUUUCCUCUGAAUGAUAUGAUAUGCAAUCAAUCUAUCCUCGGAGUGAAUAAUGUUCCAGUUAAAUGCUGUUCGUCACAACUUAAUAUUAUUGUACUUAAUUUGAAAAUACAUACAAAUAUAUUGAUAGUACACAACACUGUCUGAAGCUUGCAAUUAAUUAAUAAACCUUUCAUCAAUGACUCUAAUAAGAUGAGUAUCAUACUACCAUUAAUAGAUCAGCAGGAAAUCAGUGAAAUCAGAUAUACAGGAAAUUAAUUGAACGAUCCAGAAGGUUAUAUCUACAUUAGUGAAAAGAACAUCCCAAGAUGCCACCAGGAUGAGUCACAUCAUCAAACAAAAAAUUUAUUUAUUGCAGUCCCCAAAAUUUUUAUCCUCUUGUAUCAUGGGCUAAGAAUCGAUGUUUAGUUGAGAUUUAACUCUUUUCUUUCCUCCCUGUCCCUCGUCCACAAUCAGUAGAGUUAGCGGAUAAUUUAUUUAUUGCUUUUGUAUAUACCCAGAUAUGAAAGCAUAAAAAGUUUGAAUGAUUGAUGUUAAAUGUUAUGUCGAUCGUCUUUUGUGCAUUUCCCCCGCCCAUUGUAAAACGUCAAAUUUCGAGCUAUCCUUUUAAUUUGGUAACUUGUACAGACGGUGUUUCAACAACCAUUGUACACGAUUCUGACCAGUUGAAAUGCAAUGCAGUAUAAUUGAUUGACUGAUAGCAACAAGUAUCAUAGAGCAGUUAAUAUAUGCAUAGGAAAGUAAAAUUUUGUUCUGUCCGAUCCAAAAAGGGUGCGACAAAAGGGUUUCCGUCUUCCGUAAAAAAGUUGAAUAAUAGUGAAAUAAAAUAUUUCUGUCCGAUUAAAAAAAAUCUCGUCGUCCAUCCAAAAAAAAAGCGUGAACAUUAUUUCUGUCCGAUUCAAAAAAAAAAGUUGCGAAAAAAUGUUUUCCGUUUCUCUUUCUCUAUCUCUAUCUCUAUCUCUUCUGUACUCUCUACUACUUAAAAAAGAAGAGGUGCUUCCAUCGUCCGUAAAAAAAACCGGGUGAAAAAAAACCAAGCAGAAAAAACUAGGUUUGUCCGAUAAAAAACUAGACGAAAAAAAGAAGUUCGAUCCAGAAAAAAAAGGGCGAAAAAAAAACCUGGGGAAAAAAACCAGGUUUGUCUGAUAAAAAACCGGGGAAAAAAAAAGUGCAAACCAAAUCGAAUCCGAUUCCAUCGACACGGUAAAAGAAAAAUCGGGAAAAAAAUGUAUCUGUCCGAUUCCAAAAAAAAUGAAACAAACUCCCAUCCGUUUCUGUUUGGGCUGAUUAGGACUUUGUUUCUGUUUGGGCCGAAUAGGACUUGGUUUGAAUUAUACCAAGUCCUAUUCAGUAAGCAUCACCAGGAGAACAAGUGCAUAUCUAUCUACUACUUCUACUACUACUUAAAAAAUAAGAGAUGUUUUCUUCGUCCGUCACAAAUAAAAAAUAGCGAAAAAAAUAAAAAAAGAAAUCCGAUUCCCCUUAUAAAAAGGAAAAACAAAAAAAAAAUCAGAGAAAAAGUAGCGAAAAGACAAAAAAAACCGUAGUCCGAUUCCCCUAAUAAAAAGGGAAAAAAAGUUGUUUCCUUCGUCCGUCACAAAUAAAAAAAUAGCGAAAAAAACUAAAAAAAAAGAAGUCUGAUUCCCCUUAAAAAGGAAAAACAAAAAAAAUCAUAGAAAAAAUAGCGAAAAAAAAGCAUAGUCCGAUUCACCUAAAAAUGGUGAAAAACAAAACAAAAAAGUCAGAUUCGAAAAACAGAAAAAGUGGCGAAAAAUUUUUAUCAUCAAACAUCCAGUCUCCAAAAUUUUUAUCCUCUUGUAUCAUGGGCCAAGAAUCGAUGUUUAGUUGAGAUUCGACUCUUUUCUUUCCUCCCUGUCCCUCGUCCACAAUCAGUAGAGUUACCGGAUAAUUUAUUUAUUGCUUUUGUAUAUACCCAGAUAAGAAAGCAUAAAAAGUUUGAAUGAUUGAUGUUAAAUGUUAUGUCGAUCGUCUUUUGUGCAUUUCCCCCGCCCAUUGUAAAACGUCAAAUUUCGAGCUAUCCUUUUAAUUUGGUAACCAUUGUACACGAUUCUGACCAGUUGAAAUGCAAUGCAGUAUAAUUGAUUGACUGAUAGCAACAAGUAUCAUAGAGCAGUUAAUAUAUGCCGAGGAAAGUAGAAUCGGCUAAAGACUGUUGGGACCAAAGAGCAUAAAAGGCUGUGAGUGUCUACAACAGAGAUACAUGGGUACGAUGACACUUUCAUGACCAUGCUGUAAUCUCCUGUAGACCGACCGGUCCACGAAAGGAUUAGGAUGCAUCAGGAAUGAACAUUCCACUAUCUGCACUUUCCAUUCGGACUCACGGCUUCGUUAAUUUGCUUCAGACAUCUCUUCCGGUUUGAGUUUAUCCCAGAUGGUGAGGUGAACAACCAUGUUACUGUGUCCCACGCAGUGCAAAAUAAAGAUGGUAAUUUGGACCCCUUUUAGUUUAAUUCGAAAAUUCGUGUACCUGUUUCCCUCCGCUUGUGUUUCAGUUCAAAAUUGUCCAUCUAUAUUCAUUGUCAAACAGUUCAUAAAUGUGUGGUGAGACAUAAGCAACCAGUUGCAGUGUGAACAUCCUACGAGUAGGACCAGGGUCAGAAGACUCAAAGGGGAAGGCCAUAAACUGUAUCAUAGAAGCAGAGACCCAGGCACAGAGGGGUGAUGAAGUCUGAAUAUAUUACAACCAUUUUAGUCUGAAUGAAAGUCUGACCAAAAUAAUACAUUAUGAGACAACAAAAGUUAUGAAAGCAAAAGAUAUAGCCUUAGAUGUCACCCCUUUUGCUUAUUAAUAUAGGCGUGAGAUAAGUAUAUGUAUAAUUCCAUUGGCUGUUUAUAUCCUUCGUGGAUAUAGAGAUCGGAUUAAUGAAAAUCCAUUAUCUAAAAAAAGUAUAUGUAUUUUCACGAAGGACUGCUCGUGUAUAUAUAAGGCCAUGCUCAACUGUUAUAUAUAAGCCUGGUUUGUGUUCCCAUAUAUAGUUCAUGCUAACAAAUUUGUGUUCCCAUAUAGUUCAUGCUAACAAAUAACUGAUCUAUUCUAUUUUUUUUCUUAUCCUCUCUCAUACUAAGAGUUGAUGUUUGAUGGAAAGUCCACUCUUCUCUCUUCAUUAUCUCUAUCAUCCAUAUCAGCUUAGACUUAUGGGCCAGCUUAUUUAUUGAUAUUGUACGUACCCUAAAAUAAAGUGUCAAAGAAUAUAGACGGUUGGUAUAAAAAAUUUACGUCGGAUGUUGUGUACACUUGCACCCCCCCCCAGGAAACAUGACCACUAGUACACAAAAGAUUUUUCCGUGUGGUCAAAAUGCAUUUUUCCGUGCGGAGGUCCCACCCGUCUGCUCCCAGGUGUGUGCGAAAAUCCAUAUUUUCGCGUGCGGGCGACCCAACUGCAUGGGAUAAUCCAUCUUCUCGUGCGGUUGGGUUAAGUGGACUGCACGGGAUAAUCGAUUAUCCUGUGCGGUCAAAUUAUAAUGCCUGCACGCAAAACAAAACGAAAAAAAAUAAAAAACAUCAAAAACCCUAACCAUAUCCCUAGAAUGGCCUGCCGCGCCGCUCGUGGUCGCCAUUGUCCUCAUGUCGUCGCCGUGAUCGCGCCGCCACCGCUCCCGAGUCCGCCACCGCUACUGCCCGCCGCCGUCGCCGUUCCCGGGCACCUUUUCCUCCUCAUCGUCGGCACAGCGCGGAUCCAGCCACUUGCCCACCGUGCCACCCCCCGAGUUGCUUGUAGCCGCCGCGCCGUCUCUGCCAACAGUUGUCGUGCCGCCCGCUCCCGGCUGCCGCCUUGUCGGCAGCGGCGGCGGCAGCCGGACGCCUCCCACGCCCCGUGUGCUCGGUGGGGAGGGGAGGAGCUAGAGGAGAGCAGAGGAAAGGCACAUAGAGGAAAGAGAGAAAGAGGAGUGAUUGAGAGAGAAUAAAAAGGAAAAGGAAGAGAGAAGAUGAAAUAUUUGAAGUGGGUGAGAGGGAAAAGAGGGAGAUAAAUUUUCGCGUGCGGUCCACUUAAGAGGCCCGCACGCGAACAUAUGCUUAUUUUUGCGUGCAGACCGUUAAGAGACCUGCCUGCGAAAAUCGAUUUUUGUGUGUGGAUCUUUUAAAGGUCCGCAUGCGAAAAUAGAAGUUUAAUUUUUGCAGAUGCAUGCGAAAACAGUCCGUCUAGGAAAAUGGAAGCUCCUUGUACAGGAAAAUGUUUUGUUUACUAGUGGAAAUUUUGAGUUUUGUUUUAAAUUUGGUGAGUUGUUUUACGGACGGUAGCAGUACCAUUGUACGUCAUAUUUACUGACUGCUAGCAACUACAAUCAUGGAGCAGCUAAUAUAUACACAUACACUUGGAAUUAGAAGCAUCUCAAGAGUGUAGGACGAUCAUAAAAAGCUGUGAGCAUCGUCUGCAUGGAUACAAGUACAAGGAUAUACCAUGACAAUUUCAUCAUCGAGUUGAAAUCUCUUGUAGACGAUAUAGGAUUAGGAUGCAUGGGGAAUGAGCCUUCGACUAUCCACCCUGCCCAUCCGUACUAACAGCUUCAGUAAUUUCCUUUAUUGGCUCUAAGUCCCUGUUUUAGCUUUUAUUUGAGAGUGAAGUCAACAACCAUGUUGUUUUUUCCCACGCAGUGUGCAAAGUUGGAAUGGUGAUUUUGUAUCGAUUUGUUUUCUGGUUGGAGCAAUGGAAAUAAAACUAGUGACACCAAAAUUAUUAGUACAAAUUUUGUACCUUAUAGUACUAGAGGUACCAAGAGAUACUAAGUUUUACACUAGAAAAAGAAAAUAUGGUAUUUCCUAAAUGACUGCAAAAUCAGUUAAAUUAGAUACAACAUGAGGCCGAUGGAAAGAGGGAUAAAGUUAAUUAUAUAUGGGCAAGCCAAUUAAUUAACUUGGGCUCUUAAGGUUUUGAUGAGGAGCCAAUGUUAAGAAUGUUGCAAAUGCUUGUAAUCUUGUAAGCAUUGUCAUGUCUAAUUGUUGCAUCAGUUUGGUAGUAGCUUUGGACUCCCAUCAUGCACAUAGUGGCUGCAAAAUAGCAGAACAUGUGGUUUCCGUCAUCGGUUUUCUCUCAUUUAUUUCACUAGGGAAGAUUGAAGCGGAAUCGGAUCGUGGGAGGACACAGUCAGUAGUUGUUUGUUCCUAUAAAAUCGUGCAUGUAACAACCUCCUAUACAGAGAUGAAUAAAAGGAAGAAAUUAAAUCUCUGGAAAGCUGGAAACAAUCCGUAACACCAACUGUCUCUUUGGUUCUGUUCUUUGGUGUCUUUUCUCUGAUGUUUUUUUUUUUUUGAAAGGUUCAGACUUAGCUAGAUAGCGUGUGAGCGCGAGAUCCUGAGAAUUUCAAUAUAAUUUGAGUCCUAAUUUUAAUCGGGUGGCCUCUUAUUAGCAGUAUUGUGUUACCAAAAGAGAUUAGAACAAGAGGCAGAUUAUUCGCUUAUUAUGCUUAUACUUAUCAUCGAAAAUUUGAUUUUUAACUUUAAAUUUGAAGUUGAUUUUGAGGAUUUUUUUCAUCGAAGUUUAUUUUCCAGCUUUUAGAUUGCUAAGAGAACACGUAUAUAAAAAUUUUAUUUACAAAUUAUUUUCAGUUUGCAAAUAUAUCAUUUGGCUUAUUUCGCGAAUAAGCGAAACAAUGAGUCCUUAGUGUAUAUAUUAAUUAUAUUUCAUUGUUUCCAGAUGUAGGUUGAAUUACGAAUCAAACCAUUUAAUCUUCCAAACAAAAGAAUACUCUGAUUAUUUCGCAACCUCACUAUAUGCAGCAAGAGAGGCAGAUAGACAAGUGGCUAAUGCUUUGGGGUAACCCGGGUAAUAGCGGACUCCAUCGCUGCCGUUGGGGAUGAACUAGUUGUAGACCGCCGGUAAGCGCACGCCAAGGCCUCCAUGUCCCCUCCCACGGCCAGGAAACACCAAUGUUUGCAGCUGGAAAUCUAGCCCAGCCAGUGGCAAAAUCCAGCUGGAGCUGUUUGGUUGGAUUUGUGGUUAUCUAGCAAGUAGUUGAACAUUUUCGAAUCCCAACUCUGUAGCUUUUGAUGCCAUAUGUAGUUCUACUUACAUAGAUAUAUAAGGUAACAAAUUUGUAAACAAACAAAAAAUAUGUUGAUAUUUAUUUGCUUGGCUUGUAUAUGCGUCCAAUUCAACAAACAAGAAACUUUGCUGACAAGAAAUGAUCAGGCAGUAAAUUCGGAAUAAAUUGGCAAAUUUUGCUACAGGACAUCCCGACUUCGUGGUUUUAGCUGUAGGACACCGCACAAAGUCACUUUUGGGGAAAGACACUAUCAAAAUAUGGUUAUUUGCCAGGGGACACCGCAGCCAAUAAAAUAUUAAUUUCUGGUUCAAUAGGAGAGAUAAACAAUGUAAAAGGUCAAAAAUGCCCUCGGGCCCGCUUGUCAUAUUCUUCCCCCACCCCAAACCUCCCUCCUUGCCUCCUCUACCUCCACCGGCGAUGACGUCCUCACCCCACCCACGGCCACGAGCAACGAGCUCGGCGCUGGGAUGGGCGGCCAACUCGGCGCAGGGGGAGGCGACGCACACCGACAGCGCCCACGGCGGCGGCCUCGCCAGAGCUCCGCCACGAAUCGAACUCGCUGGGUUGAGAUGAAGAAGCGGAAGAGGUGCGGCGGUGGCACCUCCGCCGCCUUCGACCGGAGCGUCUUCCCCAUCCUGCUCGCCGCCAUCGCAGCCGGACGGCGCUAACCCGCGACCCCAAGCAGCCUCCGCCACCGCCCGUCGCCAUCCCGCCGUCCCAAGCUGCGUCCGCCCCCGGUUGUCCAACGCCCUCCUCGGCGCCGUCCGCCGCUGGCGCAUCACGCGACGCCCUCGUCGGCGCCGCCUGUCCCCGUGCGCCGCCGCCCACGCCCAUCCCCACGCGCCGCCGUCUUCCGCGUGUACCCGCAUGCCGCCGCCCAUCGCCCACGCGCCGCCGCCCACGCCCGUCCCCACCCGUCGCUGCACCGCCGCGCCCAUCGCCCACGCGCCGCCGCCCAUGCCCGUCCCCACGCGCCGUUGCAACGCCUCAGUAGCGGCCUCGCUAUUAAAGGAGGAAGAGAGAGGAAGAGAAAGAGAGAGGAGGGCAAUUUGGUCAUGCCAUGUAAAAAAGUAGGCCCCUUGUCGCUUAGUCAGCACAAAAAUAUUAAUUUAAUGAAUGGAGUGUCCCCUGGCAAAUAACCAUAUUUUGAGAGUGUCUUUCCCCAAAAGUGACUUUGUGCGGUGUCCUACAGCUAAAACCACAAAGUCGCGAUGUCCUGUAGCAAAAUUUGCCUUUAUAGUAAUGCGAUUGCAACACUUGAUUGACUCUUAAAAAAGAGAGAAAUGGAAACUCUUUUUCCGUGGAGUACUUCACCCGAUCCUUUUUUAGGACACUAAUGCCUCACUAACAUGUGGACCUAGCGAUGCAAGCAGGGCUAGCAAGUGGGCUUUUUUAGCCCCCUUAUUUCACUUCUAGUUCAUUUUUUCUUCUAAAUUUUGUACUACCAUAUGAGAAAUUAACUAGCAAGUGGGUUUUUAUGCAGGUACGUAGCGGUACUACCUACUUGCAUCCCUAUGUGGGCCCCAUAUGUGCGUUAUGCACUUGCUUGAGCAUAUAAAUUUCUGAAACAGAAUUUUCAUAUGGCUUUGACUACUUUCAGUUAGUGUGUGUUGGUAAUAUCUCAUAACGAUAGUAGUCCAUGUCAGCUCCCUGGACAAUUGUUGUCUUAGACUCUUACCAUCAAAAACUGAAGUUGAUUACUGUUUUGGCGUACAUUGAAUUUACAAGUUAGGGGUCGCCACCAAACCGUCAUCACAUCUUAUGAUAUACUCCCAACGGAGCAACUAAAGUCUUACAUAGUGAAGCUCACAUUAAAGACAUACAAGGAACUUAAAGGUGUCCAUGUCCAUAUAUAUGGACAUCACAGUGUAAACAUGUAGCCAUCCUAUGUUCAGAACACAUUCAGUUGUCUCACAUACAACAACUAGAACCAACUGGAGAGCAAGUUGUUUUUGUGAGCUCAUAGGCUUAGGAGACACCGGGAACCGAGCUUACGCAUAUCUUAGGCCUCUCACAGUGCUCCUAGCUGGAGCGUUCCUUAGUAGUGCCACGGAGGAAAAGUGUCGACGUGGAGUGGACGACCGCGUCCUAGCUAGGUUUCUCGCCUCCUAGUUGAGCGACGCGAAACUUCGUUCUGGCGAGGGCUCGAGCGGACGGGGAAAAGCGAGGCACGCGCGCUGUGGGCAACGUUUCUUCGCUGCCCUGUGCCCUCGCGCGCCUGUGGAGGGGUAAAUCCCCAAAUCACCCUCCAAAAUCCCCACGACAUCAGACAUAUCAGACAUGCUAGCAAUUUUAGAUCAAAAAAACAUCCAUCUCCGAAAGAACAAUCAAGAACAGAAACAGAUUGAAUCACAAUUAUUCUUCAUUAAAAUCUGAGAAAGAGAACACAAAAUCCUUUGGUAGAGGAAAGGAAGAAAACCACCACAGAUGUAGACCAAACAAACAAAAUUUCUCGAGUAAUUUGGUAGAGAAAAGAAAGGGGAAAUCGGCGAGGAGGAGAAGCCGUCCGCUCCCGCCGCCGGCCGCCGUCGGCUUCGAGCCAUUCACUCCCGCCGACCCCGGCCAGAUCCAACGUGAAGCCGCGGAAGCCGCCGACGACGACAAGAAGAAGCAGGCGCAGGUCAAGCCCCCGCCGCACCUGCACCCGCACCUCCUCCGUGCCGCCGCCGGCGGCCCGGCCCACCCGCUCCUCCUCCUCGCGGCGGCGGCGGCUGCUCGAGGUGGAGGCGUCCCUCGGUGAGGUCGCCGCGGUGGAGCCGCCUGAGCAGCAGCAGCCGGAGAAGGAGGCGCGGCGAGGGAGGCGACGAGGACGACGGGAGGCGAGGAGGACGCCAGAGCUGCAGCCUUUCCCCUCCUCCUCCGCCGCCCCCGCCUCUCCCACCGUCGGGAAAGGCGUGGCGGUGGACCGGGAGGAGGCGCAGCGGCGGACCGGCGCGGUGGCGGACCGGCGCGGCGGCGGACCGGGAGGGGAGCGGCGUGGGAGGCGAGGAGGCGAGGAGCGGUGUGGGAGGCGAGGAGACGCCGGGAGGGGAGCGGCGUGAGAGGCGAGGAGACGGGAGCAGGGGUUUUCCUUCACUCACCCGUGUCUUUAAAACUGGGUCACGAGCGUUGUGGGGUUUGUUCCCUUACAGUACCUCCAUCCAAUUAGGUCACGUAAAAUAGGAUACUUGCACUGUAGGAAUGAGUGUCUUUAGAGCCUUUUUUCGAACUAAGCUACGGGGACCGGUGCUUGCACUGUGAAUGGCCUUAAGUGGGUGCCAGGUGCUAUUGCUUCUUUCUCUACCGAUGAGUGCUGAUCCACGACGGUUGUGUGUCACACCUUUUCUUUUUUUUUUUUUUGAACUAGGGCUUGAAAGCCCCCAUUUCUAUUAUCAGAAAUGCAACAGUAGAAGUCUGCUAACUGCUAAGACAAAAGAGGAAGAAAAAAAGAAAUUACAGCACGCAGGCUGUGAAGUUUUUUACAGACCAUAGCACUGUGAUUCAUAAACAAAAUGAGAGGAGCUCCCACACCCUCAACCCAGAUCUGGUGAUACCUUCCUAAGAGACUGCUAACUAUAUAUGAGAGCUUAUACUAUACCAAGCAGGAAACAAAAGAUCACAGGGAUGAUUCUCCAGCAGCAUCACGCAUCAGUUGGUUGUGUGUCACACUGGCAUUGCCAUCGGAUAUACUCCCUCCAUCCCUAAAUGUUUGACGCCGUUGACUUUUUUAAACAUGUUUGACUGUUCGUCUUAUUCAAUAAACUUAAGUAAUUAUCAAUUAUUUUCUUAUCAUUUGAUUUAUUGUUAAAUAUACUUUUGUGUAUACAUAUAGUUUUACAUAUUUCACAAAAGUUUUUGAAUAAGACGAACGGUCAAACAUGUUUAAAAAAGUCAACGGCGUCAAACAUUUAGGGAAGGAGGGACACCUUGUCAACAAGAUAUACAGGCACAACGGCCUUAGCCGCACAUGGAAACUCCUCCUUAUCAUUUUGGCAUUAGGCCAUUCUUGGCUGAGUUCGUUUGGAGGAGAUGGUAACCAAUCUCCUACGCACGGAAAACAGAGCAAUCCAUUAGCAUGUAAUUAAUUAAUUAUUAGCUAAUUUCUUUUUCAAAAAUGGAUCAAUAUGGUUCUUUUAACAAACUUUCUUAUAGAAACAUUUUAUAAAGCGUGCGCAUGAAAGACGAGCGAGAGGAGUUGGGAACAUGUGGUGCUGAACACAGCCUUAGGCUAUCCAAUUAAAGGUUUUAGGCUAUCCAAUUAAAGGUUUGUAGAAAAAGGGUUAGUAGUUGGUAAUAUAAAAAUAACCUUGCUAGUAUAGGGUAGCAAGAAACCCACCUUUGGUCGCAUAUACAAUUAAAUGUCACUCUUAUGUUGCUCGGAGUUUAUUUAAGAUUUCAUUUUCUUUUAGCUUGUUUGGAAUGCAUGGAGCGUGCAAUGAAAACCAAUAUAUGUAUGGAUCGAACAAGUACUAACCUGAUCAAGUUUGGAUUUGGUCGCCGGCAUGGGCUUCCUCAGCUUCCUCCGGCACAGUGACGGCCUGCGCCAGCAGCGAGCAACGGCGAUGUCCGGGGUGGGGGUAGGUUGUGAGGGGGAGCAUUUUAGUUAUUACGGACCUCGGGUGCAGUUAUUAGGAGACUUAAACAGACUGUACCUGUUUCAACAACCAUUAUUGUACAUGAACCCUAAUCAACUAGUUGAAAUUCAAUGCAGCAUACUUGUACAUCGCGAGUAACUAGCAUCAUGGAGCAGUUAAUUAGUUACACUGGAAAUUAAUUAGAAUCAGCUAAUUAAACUUCUUAAAACUAUAUAUAGGACUAAAGAGCAUGAAAUUAAAGUAGUGGUAUAGGUACAAGAACACGUUCAUGAUCCUCCCGAAAUCUUUUUGUAGACCGACGUCCUGUCUACAGUACGUAGGAUUAGGAUGCGUCGGGAAUGAACCUCCCACCUUCUGCAUUUUCCAUUCAGACUCACUACUUUGCUUCGAAACUGUCUGUAUCUGUUUCAAUUUAUCACAGUGAGUGGACUGAACGAUCAGGCUGAGUACGACGACCAUGCAGUGUGCAAAGCAAGUCUAGUGAACUUGUAUUUUGAUUUGUUUGAUUGCUGGAGCUAUGUAAAUGAAACUAUACCAGAUACACGUACAUCAACAUGAUGGAGCCAGGGAUGUAGUUAUGGGCAAACCGGCCAAUUAAUUAUAGUUUGGGUUCUGAAGGUUUUGAUUAUGACUCAAUGUUGAGAAUCAGUAUAAUUUGAGUUACCAUUUUAAUCUGGUGGUCUAUUAUUAUUUGUAGUUUUAGGAUCAAAACAAAACAAUCAAGCCUACCGGAGGGGUAAGGGUAGGAAUACCAAAAACCAAAACUUUUAGGGGAAUUAAAAGUUACUCUGAAAUUCGAUGAAGUAUGUGACGAAGUCCGAUGUGAUCGCCAGAUGUACACUUGUUAGACUGCUGGUCUGACCGGGGCGAUAUCGUUGGUCCAACUGUCCUCUGAGCAACUAUUGUCUGAAGCCACCGCCAGUCUGACCGUCGCUACCUCGCCAAUCUGACCGCUGAGAUCAGGAGAAACAUCGAUUGAAGAACUCAUAAAAAUAAAUCAUCUUUAUUACUUCUAAUUAUGUUUACAAAACACAACAAUUACACUUGUCUCUCAACUUUUGACGAAACUCGAAAUCUAGGCUAAACCUAAACUUUUCUCUCAACUAAUAAUCUCACAAAAUCUAUACCUAGAGGCAUCAACCACUCUUUUAUUUAUACCCUGAUGUGGUUGUACAAAAACCACAAAUCCACUUUGUAGAAAAAGUCAUAAUUUAGUAGGAAACCUACCCAUACAAGUAAUCCACCUGAUCAAACUCCAAUCGUCCUAAAUUUAUACUACUUCUAAAUUCGACUUCGCAUCCCAAACACACAAAACUCAUUUUUUAUAUUGCAUGAAAUCUUCGCUACUAUGUGCACUAUCAUUUAUCCUAAGCGUCCCGCGUGAUCUAGUGAUCAUCUGGACAUCAACUUCUUCCAAGUUGACUCCUGACCCGUCACUGGCAAUACUCUCUUGACACAUCAAGGCACACUAACACAUAAAUAAAUAAGAAACCAAAUCCGAGCACAAAUUAUUCCACAACUUGACUCAACAUUAGUAUACAACAAUAUUAAAUAUAUAGUAAUAGUCUAGAGUCAUAAACAUAAAGUAAUCACGAGUAUACAAACAAACCAAUCCGAAACUAACUCCAAUAAAGUGCUAGGCAGUUAGACCGUCGGGCCGGUCGGCCUAAUUGCCUCAACACCACUGGUUUGACAAGCCCACCUUGCGCGGUCUGACCGGCUCCACACAAUGGAAAACAUGUUCAUCGUACUACCACUAUUCAACGUUGUUCCCACACUACUACAGAAACGAUUUUCCUAUGCGAGCCCCUCGUUAGAUUCCAGACAUUCGAUAACUGACCGCGUCUGAAAAAAUCAUCCUACCAUUUUUGCGUGCGGACCCUUAAGAGAACCACACGCACAAAUCAAUUUUUGCGCAUGGGCCUCUUAAGGGUCCGCACGCAAAAACAAGUGUAUUUUCACGUACGGGCAUCUUAAGAGCAUAGCACGCGAAAAUACCCUCCCUCCUCAGGCAAUUUUUCUCUCUCAACCACUUCAAAAAUUUAUAUCUUAUCCUCUCCACCUACCGAUCCUUAUCCUCAUUAUUCCCUUUCUUCUCUCUCUCGUCUAUCGUCUCUCACGGGCAGCGUGUGGGCUUGGUGGCUGACAGGUGGCAGCCAGGAGCGGCGGCGACCCUCGCCCGCCCGGAUCUGGAGGACGCGCCCCUCUCCCGCCGGCUGGAUCCAGCGGUUGGCGGUGGCGACGUGGCCGGGAGCGGCGGUGAGCUUGGGAGAGGUGACGGGCUUGUGAGCCAGCUGCGGCGGCCGGUCGCGGCAGAAGGCGGCGACGCCGCCACCGACGACGACGAUGGUGGCGCACGUCGACAACGACGGCGACGGCGAGGAGGGUGGCGGUGGGCGGUAGCUAGGGUUAGGGUUUGGAUUUUUUUUUUGGGUUUUUUUUCCAUGUGGGCGACAUAACCCAACCGCACGCGAAAAUCAUUUUCGCGUGGCACAAAAAAAUUGGAUUUUUGCAGACACUUAGGUGCAGACAGGGGUGAGAUCCGCACGCAACAACCCUUUUCGACCGCACGAAAAAAAUCGUUUUCUUAGUAGUACCAGUCUAACCUUUACGCAAAACCCUGCCCAAUAUAGAGGCAACCACUUAGCCAAUAAAUUACCAAAUAGACAAACCAUUACAAAAUAAUAAUAAUAAUAAUAAUAUUAUUAUUAUUAUUAUUAUUAUUAUUAUUAUUAUUAUUUUUAUUAUUUUUAUUUUAUAGUAGUUUAUUAGGAAAGGAGACUAGUAAAAGGCCAUAUUAUCUUAUUAUUGCUUGUUUCCUUGUAGGGUGUAUUUGUAAUUUUGUUUGUUUCCAGGAAUAGGCCGUAAAAUGAUUCAUGCUAACUUCAAAACAAAAGGAAACACUCUGAUUAUUCAGCCACACCACACAACGCUACCUACCUAGCUAGAUUGGUAGCUUAUACUAUAGUACCCAAUACUUGGAAGCUUGGAGUGGUGAAUUUGACAAAUUGACCCUUUUACGGCUGCCGUCCAGGAUGAACUCGUUGCAGACUUUCAGUAGUACUACUCUUGCAUCAGUACUAAUCAGGGGCCCUCCAAUCUAUCAUCAAUACUAAUUAUCCAUGCUUAACUAGCAUCAGAUUAUAGGACAAAAUAAAACAGAAAAAAAAAGAUUACAGGGCACAACCUUAUCCCCUGAUGAUUAACUUCAGUUCAGUUUGAUGCUUUGUUUCUUUCAUCAUCAUGAGUCACCCCGCCGCCAGCUUGUCGGCUUCAGCUUGCCUCCUGUUCCUAAUACUUAUUCCUGAAGUUGUUCACAACAUGAAACAUGUAACAAAUAGUAGUAGAUCGAAUCAAUCAACAGUCUAAGAUCACAUCAAUUUCAUGGUGCGUUCUAUGACAUUUCGUGGUGUUCUAACACAUAUCUUGUGCUGUACUAUUGUGUUCACGUGCAUGUGCCAGUUGGAUAAACCAGUUAGUAGGACACAGCUCCUCUGACGUAAAGACAGAGAGACGUGGGUCGCAGACAGGUGGGGCCCACCUUUAUGGGCCUACACGUCAGUGACCACGUCCAUCUAACUUUCACUGGUGGAGAAUCCGGGACUAAAGAUCGCUAUCUUUAGUCCUGGGUGAAAAAACCGGGAGUAAAAAUCCAUUUUUAGUCCUGGUUGGUGUUACCAACCGGGACUAAAGAUACUCUAUCUUUAGUCCCGGUUGGUAACACUAACCGGGACUAAAGAGGCUAGCUAGGCUGCUACUUUAUUCUAUUCUUUUCUUCAUUGUUUUUAAUAUUUUGAUUCACUCUAUCCCGUCCCAAAAUCCCAAAUCAAUCGUCAUCCCCGAAUAGUCUCCAAAUUCUCAAAUCAAUCUCAAAAUACAUAACAAAAUCUUAAAAAAAUUACAUCACAGCUUCUACAAAAUUCAUCACAAAUACAUCACAUAUUCACAUCACACACAAAUCAAAUACAUCACAUAUUCACAUCACACACAAAUCGUCUUAGAUCCAAAUCACAGAUUUAAAAAAAAAAGAAAGAAAAAAGGAAGAAGAUGAACGGCCCGCUGCUGCCGCCUCGCCGCCCGCCGCCAGCGUGCCGUCGCGCCCGGCCCUCCGAGCGCCGCGCCGCCUCACCGGCCGGCAGCCGCCGCGCGCCGCGCGCCGCCCGCCUCGUCCCUGGCCGCCGCCGCGAGGCCACCAGCCGCCAGCUCGCCGCCUCGCCCGGCCUCCGCGCGCCCCGCCGCCGCGCAGGCCGGCCGGUGUCACGCCCCGAACUAGUCCCGACCGGAACUAGCCCGUGACGCUCCAAUUUAACCUGUUAAUCGAUACCAGUCCCAGGAAGCAGUGCUGGUAUCACAGGGAGACAGAAUAUCACAGCAACAGAGGUCUCUUUAUUAUAGAGUAGAAGUACAGUCAUGUUGGGCUGCGGACAGAUCCCGAGCUUACAACUGCAUGACAAAAGGAAAGCGGAAGCCAGGACUUGGACCAAACAAUCACAGGCGCGACUUGGGAACUAGGCCGAAACCCUAAAACUCAUCGUAGCCGGCUUGCUCCUGGAAGAACUCCUCAUCAGCAGGAUCCGCUUCAUCUUCUUCAGCAACUGGGGGGGUUAUUUAUAUAGAGCAAGGGUGAGUACGGGAGUACUCAGCAAGCCAGGGGAAAUAAGUGUUUAAUGCAGGCUUCAAGGAAAGGCUGUUGUUUUUGCAAUUGAUUUUAUUUGAACUCUUUUUCUAAAAUAACUAGGUGAGUGCUUCUCAAACGACACGAAUGAGACAGUGCGUCUCGUCCGGUCGGAGUAUGUGCAAUGUAUCAGUCUUCAGAUCUUGAAACAAGGUUGGCACCCGGCCAACAGCUUUUCAAACGGCCACCCGGGCCAACAACUUUUCAAACGGCCACCCGGGCCUAGCUGAUCCCGUCAGCUGCUGAUUUUCCAAACAUCGAACCCAUUUUCACAACAGCAAUUUCACAAGCAGUAGUCAAACAAAACUACGCUAGGAAUCACCUCACAUCCGCCCAUGACCGUGGGCACGGCUGUUCGAACAGUUUGUUAACCUCUGCAGAGGGGGUACACUUUACCCACACGACAUUACUAACCCGGAUCACCCAGCCGUGGGGAUCAGCCACGUCGGGAGACCUCCAAGCUUUCAUGACAAGGCAUUUCGAAAGCCGAUACAGGUUUACCAUAUGCCGACGAGAGGGGUCCCAGACCAACAACAGGUUAGGUCCCAGACCAUACUGUGCCAGAAAGCCCAGGGGUCCUCCCCGACACCACCCCGGCGAAUCCACAUGUCUCUCAGCAUCAAGGCUCCCCUGAUAAGCUAGUUACUCAGCCAGGGGUGUCCCAUUCCACCCAUGUGGUCGUACUUGUCUUAUGUUUGGAUGAAAUUCCAAGGAAUCGGUCCUUAAGUGCGAGAGCGGGAAACCGUACACCCGGUACGUUCCCCGGUCCGCGGUUUUGGAAAUUCAUUUAGUUCGCAAGCACCGACCCAGGUGUCGGGUUUUCCAAGUCUUUUGUAAAACUCCAGUUUUACCCAAGUUGUUACUCAGAUUUUAAGUUUGAAGGCGACCGUCGAUACUUGCACAGAGUGCACGAAUAUCGAGGUGCAACUGGGUGGUUACAAGGGGACAUAGUAUGGCAAUUAACAAUGGAAGGAUCAAAUGCAACAAGUUAGGUAAGUCCGCCAAUCUGUCUUGCAGAUGGGACAAAAGAUUUAGUGCGAUCCUAUCAAUGCAUAAUAUUUUGCAAGCAAUAUAAUUAAAUUUCAAAUAUAGGCUCAAGAUGUUCAAAGGUGGCUUGCCUUGCUCGAGAUCUGGAGCUUGAUCCUCGAAAUCCUCGCACUGCGGGUCUUCUGGCUCCGAAACUACACGCGAAACGGGACAACUCAACAAACGGCAAAAAAAUAAAGCCCUAUUAAUGACCUCUAAGCGUGCCAUUAGAUAGAUCUCGAGAUUUGGGGAAAUUUGGAAGUUGAAUGGAGUCAAACGGAUUUACGGUUGGGAAGAUAUUGAAUUUCUAAGAUUAUUGAAUUUUUUAUCUAAAGGAAAAGGAUUUAAUUAAAUCCUUUUUGGAAAAGAAAAGGAAGAGGGAGGAGAAGUAGACUUCUCUCGGGCGGCUAGGGCGCGGCCCAAGGGAAAUGGAGUGGACCGGCCGAUCUUAACGGGCCGGCCGGCCCAAGACGGCCCAAGCGCGCGCGCGCGUGGGAGGGAGGAGAGAGAGUCCGGUGGACUGGGCUCACCACGCGCGGUCCCGGGUGGGACCCGCUUGUCAGCGGCUCGGCUCACCGUGCGGAGGGAGUUUGCGGCGUACGCGCGCGGGCGGGGCUGGGACGCGGUGCACGCGCGCGGUUCGCGGAGGAACGGAUGCGGCGGGCCCACGCGCAGCCUCACGGCUCACCGCGGACCAUGCGCACGGGGGAAAAACGGAGGGAGCGGCUGGCCGGGUCGGCUUAUCCGGUCGCGGCCGAGGUGGCGCCGACGUGGCGCCUACGUGGCAGCCACGCGGGCCGGCGGGAGGUAGACGACGACCCGGCCGCGAAUGGACGGCGGGCGACAGCGGCGAGCGGCGGAGCGAGCCACGGCGAUACCGGCGAAAGCGAGCACACCGGGUGGCAGCACAGGACGAGGGGAGACGAGCCAACGGCUCGGAUUCGCCGGAGGGAGUCCGUCGGCGGCGGAUUGCGGCGGCGGCAACCGGCGGAGAGGAAAGGGGGAAACGGCGAUGAGGUCCCGAGGGGCUAAUUCCCGGCGGCGAGAGCAUCUACGCGGCUUCGGGAACUCGACGCUUGCGUCGGAUUGGACGGAACUACGCCGAGCGAGGCCGGCGACGAGCGGGUGCUACGGAGCUCGGGCGGCGACGGCGGCGAGCAUACAGCGAGCGAUGGCAACGGUCGGGGCGGCGCCGGCUAACUACGGGGAGUCUACUCAAGCUACUACCGAAAGCUAGGGGGAGGAGAUGGAGCGAGGAGGGAGAACGGAGGGAGGCACUACCGUGCGGGACGGGCGCAGUGACGAGAGGCCGACGGCGCGGGAGUGAUCUCUCCGGCCUCGGGCCGAGGAAGAGUGUCGCGACCGGGAAAAUUGCCUUUUCCCGAACGCUAGUGUAUUAAUCCCCGUCCCAGGAAAAGCCGGGGUACACCACACAAACAUGAUAUAAAAGACACAUCUUUAUUAUAUCGAUAAUAUUUACAUUAUUACAAAGGCGCUUCAGGCCUGGCAAUCAAAAAUAAACAGCAGCGGACUAGCAGGCCUACGGCUCCAUCUUCACAGGCGCUCAACUGGGGUAUAAGCCAGGACUCCACCUAAGACAUCUUCUCCAAAGCUUCUCUUACUGAAGGGGGGGGGGAGAAAGAUAGAGCAAGAAUGAGUACAACCACAGUACUCAGCAAGCCACACCGGAGAUGCACAAUUAAUGCAAAGGAGUACAAGGGGAUAAUAAUAUAGGGGUUAAGUUUUGCAGUAAACAGCAUUUAACAGUCACUUAGUUGCCCAAAGCUAUUUUGUAAACACGAUCCUAGAGCUAUACAAUAUUAUUAAUCAAGGUCGUGAACCCACACGAACCUGCCUUAACCCAAGGCCUACGAUGAUUCAGACCGAACUGGCAACCCGACCCUGGGCCCCAGCUCGUCCCAAGCCAACCCAGGCCAACCAUUCCACAUUUUAGUUGUUGAGCAAAUUUUAAGAAUUAUAACACUGACUUGGGUACAUUGCUCGGCUUGCCCAUAACCGAGGGCGCGGCUAUUCGAAUAGAUUAUACUCUGAUCAGAGGUGUACAUCUUUACCCACAAGACACAUCUUCCUCACGUGCAACCACGUGCCACAUACCACCACGGUAUACAGACGGAAGACGUGACAUAGUUCCCAACCCAUCCUAGCCAUAAACAAGAGUACCGACCCAAUCCCACCUACGGCCGGAACCCCCGGGACAGGCAGGCAGGACUGAGCCCCAAGCAGCAGGGCACCAACCCUCUGCCACGACAUCUCGACUACCGGGCCGCAGCUCGUGUAGCCUUCAUUUGUCCUGGAGAAUGUCCAUCGACCCCCGACUUCAUCCAUCUCCAAUCCGUGUACUUUUGUUUAUGACUAGACUGAGCCACAAACUAAGCCUUACCCACUAGACAUGUGGAAGUACGGUAGUGCUUUGCAACAGAGGCCCGAGCUUAAUCCUUAUAGUGGCCGGGGUGCUACUUCCCACAACUGGCAUGCACCCAAACCCCACCGAAAACAGGUUUUAGGGGUUUUGAAAGAGGAAGAGAGGUGUAUGUCCAAUUCCACCAUAACCCAACAAUUCCAUAGUGUCCAAAUGAUAUGAGAAUUCCCAAAGUCUAAAGUUAUAAAACCACCUAAUGUUGCCUAAUUAAUCAGCGAAUCAUCUACCUAAAUUUAAACUAGGGAUACCACGAGUAGAGUGUCCACUAGUUGAGGUUUUGUUUAAUCUAGGGUGAACAAGGUAGUAAUAAUAACAAUAACAAUAAUAAUAUGGUCAUAACAAAGGUAAAUAGGCAUGGCUAAAUAAAACAGUGAUAACGCGGGAAUUUAAAUAAAGCGAUAAUGCAAUAAUUUAAAUCAACAUAAUUUUACAAACUGGGAUUCAAUAUGUUCAAAGAUGAUGUGACUUGCCUUGCUCAGAGAGAACGGCCUUCCGAACCUUCGGCGACGACCGCGAACCACGCUUCGGGAACCUCCGGAACGACGAAAGCUACGCGAAGCACACAAGCAAAGCUACAAGCCUAUAAAGAAGCAAUAACAAUACAUAAAAAGAAAGCACAGGGUUCUUUAGGUUAUAACCAACAUUAGGAGACUUGAACGGGUCGAUUCAGGGUUCGUAUGACCAAGAUAUGAUCAUCCGAGGUUUAAUGCUGUUAUAUGGAGAUUUGCGGAUUAUUAUAAUUAAGCUUUGCAACUAUAAAACGUGUGUAAGCGCUAGCCUGGAAAAGACAGGAAGGCUGCGCCGUUGACAUGCGGACCCCACAUGUCAACCUAAAGGACCGCGGUAGACCAGGUACACAGAGACGGUCCACGGGUCGACGGAAGCGGACCCCGUGUGUCAACCGAGGCGAGUGGCCGACAAACGGACUCCACUAGACACCACACGGCCUGCACACGUGGAAACCACGCGGCUACCGAGCGGGCACGCUAACACGGUCACCACACGCACAAGCGAACGACUACCAACACCGGUACACGGGUACCGGGGCCGACAACCGCACAACGAGCACGGGCGACACCGAAAGGACGAGGACGGGGCAGCGGGAGAGGGAUCCUUACCACCACGCGACGAGGCGUGGGAACGACAACGACGAACGGGCGCGGCGGAGGCGGCCGGGAACCACGGAGACGAACGGCGAGGGGACGACUUCGGCGGCGAUCCUAGGACGAAGGCGAGACGCGGCCGGCACGAGGCUUGACGACGCGGAGGCGAGGACGAAGACGAUGAUGGGGCUGCUGCACUUGACGAAGCGAGGACGACGAACGAGAACGGCUUGACGGAGGGACGAACGCCACGACGAUCGGAACCGGGAACGACGAGAGGACGACGACGACGACGACCGGAGCCGGCGAGGAGGCGACGAGGGCAGCCGGCGGUGGCUGCACGGAGACGAGGACGACGUGGAACACGCCGCUGCGAUGCCGACGACGGAGGCGGCGCCGCGAGACGACGAGCCGGGCAACCGACGGGACGUCGACGACGAGAACGAUCGGAGACGACGAUGAUGGACCGCGGAGGGGUUUGGAUGGAGGGGAAACGAUGCCGAGGACGACCUUGCCGCUGCGAUGCCGGAGGUGGUAGUGGUGCAGCAAGCCGACGAGCCGGGGAGGAGGAAGGGGCGGCCGAAAGGACGCCGGCGACGAAGAGGAUGGAGAGGCCGGCGCGGCGACGGCGUUCCGGCGAAACCGAGGAGCAGCCGGAGGGGAGGACGACGCUGCGAUGUCAACGGAGGAGACGGCGACGUCGGUCGGCGUACCGGCGACGAACAGCAGCCGGCCGGAGACGGAGAAGUGGUGGCGACGCCACUGGACGCCGGCGAGGAGGCCACUCCAGCGAGCUUCGGGCGAGGAGGAGGUGAUGCCGGGGAUGAGGGCGGCGUCGCGGAGCCGAGGGAGGUGGUGGCGACGUCGUCCGGCGCUCAGGCAGGGAGACAGAGGCGGCUGGAGGCGGCCGGCGCGGAGGAAAGGGAUGGGCGACGACGGGAACGCAGCUCCGGGGGUCUCCGCGCGAAACGGAGGGCAGGCCGGCGAAGAGGAGGUGGCGGCGACGCUGGAGGAGGCGACGGCACGGCCGGACGACGCUCCGGCGAGGCGGGAGAGGCGGCUGGAGGCCGGCCGGCACCGGAGAGAGAGAGGGAGAAGGUGGGGAGAGGCGGUGCGGCCACGGGGGAGCUCGGGAAGAGGCUAAAACGGUAGAACGCAUAGAGGGGGUUCCAUUUUAUAGGAGAGGAGAGGGAGCCGGCCACGGGGGAGGUCGGAACGGCGACGGGAAUGGCGGCCGGCGGCAAAGGUAGGCGGCCGGACUUGGCGCGUCCGUUCCCGGCGAUUGGGGGCGCCAUUCAAGGGGGAAUUAAGGGGGAAAGAGAGAGGAGGGAAAGGGGAUUAAUUCCCCCUAAUCAAUUUGGGAAUCCCAUGCUUGAAUCGCGCGGAUUUGAGGGAGGAAUGGCGCUAGGGUUCACGGGAGAGGGAGAGAGGACGGCCGGGCGGGAGGACGACGAUGACUCGCCUGACGCGCGGGCCCCACGCGGUCAGGCGGCGGCGUCAGCGCGCGCACGCGCGCGGCACGGGCGGGAGGGCGCCGCUUGGGCAGGGGCGCGGCUAGGGUUGGGCCGAGCGGCCGGCCCAGGAGGAGAGGAGGGGGAGGCGGCCUGGGCCGGGCAGGCCGGGAGGGGAGGGGGGGGGGAAAGAGGCAGCCCGGGAGAGAGGGAGGAGGGAGCUGGGCCGAGGGGAAGGGGAGCCCAAGAGAAGGAGGGAGAGAAGGAGAGGGAGAGAAGGAGAGGGAGAGAAAGAGAGGGAGGAAAGGGAGACUUCGGCCGCGGGCCGAGGGGAGAGAGGGAGGACUUUGGGCCAAAAUUGGCCCAAAAGAAAAGGAGGAUUAUUUUUAGAUUUUCUUUUUAAUAAACUUUGUUAAUUGUUUUUGUUGCUUAAUAAUUAUUUCCGGUGCUCUGAAAAUUCAAGUAAAAUUUGAGAGCUCCAUUUAGACCAAGGAGAAUUUAACAAAAAUUCUCCGGGCCACAUUUGAAUUUUUCUUGCACGUAUUUUAGUGUUUGCCAAUUUCUUUUCGUAUUUUAAUUAAUUCUAUUAUUCCUUUUAGAAAAUGAUUUUUAUUUUGGGAUGAAUUUAUCAGGACGUGACAAAGAGGGUGAAGAGGGCGCGCCCGGAGUCCCCUUCCGCGUCCACGAACGCACCGGCUCUCCCGGCGCUUGGCGAUGGACGGCGGAGGCGAGGCAGAGCACGGGAGCGGCGGCAAUGGCGCGGAGGCGAAUGGGAGAGGAGGGGAAAGGGGAGGCUGGGGUUUAUAGGGGGCGGCAAUGUCAGUUUGGGAACCGACUUGCGCGGUCAAGGGCGCGAGCUGGCGCUCCGGCUAGCGGCCAAAACGGCGACAGGAGGAUGACGCCGGCGAGAAGGGAAAAAGGGGAGAAAAAGAAGAAAAGGAGGGAGAGAAAGGGGGCUCGCCCCUUUGCCGAUUCGGGAAAAGGAGGAGGGGGCGGGGCGACGCGGCAGAGGGAAGGGAGAGCUCGGCCUCCGCCUCUUGGCGGCUUGCGCGCGGAGUGGCGGGGCCGGGGGAUGACGACGGCGAUGACGGUGAGAUGGUUUGGAGCGGCGCGACGACACGGGCGACAGGCGCGGCAGGCGCUGACGACGGCGGCGACUGGGCGGUCGGCCACUCAGCGCGCGCGCGCGGGAAACAACGGGCGGCGUCCGCGCGGGCGCGCGCACGCGAACACGGCGCGCGGGAAGCGGCUUUGCGAGGGGAGGGGCGCUUAGCGCGGGCGACUCCCGCGCACGCGCGCGCGGCGCGCGGGCGGGACGGAGGGGAAGCGGGGAGAGAGGCGCUCGGGGCGGCUCUCGCACGCGCGAGCAGCGUGCGGGCGAGGCUGAGCGGGGGGGGGGGGAGGAGCGCGCCGGGGGGAGAGAGAGAGAGAGAGAGAGAGCGCCCGGGAGAGAGGGCCGGGGGAGAGAGAGAUGGGCCGAGCGAGAUUCGGCCCAUCGACCUCGGGGGAGGCAAAAUAGACUUUUGCGGAGGAAUUUGAUUGGAAGGAUUUGGAUUCGGAAUUGAACUCGACGAUAGAUCGGGGAUUGAGAUCUUGAGAUGGCACGGACACUAGACAACAAUCAAAGAAACAAAUUUCGCAAUUAGGGUUUUUCGGAGAUUAUUUUCCCGCUAGGCACCACGACGGAACGGGCGCUACAGACCAACCCCCCCUAACAAGAAUCUCGACCCCGAGAUUCAGCACCUAAGGGAGCAGCUCCGGAAACUCGGCGCGGAGAAGAUCUUCUCGUUCCCAUGUUGCCUCAUCUUCGGAAUGAUUGCUCCAUUGGACUUUGUAGAACUUGAUGGUCUUCCUUCGAGUCUGACGUUCUGCCUCUUCAAGAACCUUGAUCGGUCUUUCCUUGUAGGUCAGAUUCUUUUUCAGCUCGAUGUUACCCAAGGGGACUUGCUCUUCUGGAACUCGAAGACAUUUCUUUAGCUGGGAUACGUGGAACACGUUGUGCACAUCUGCGAGACCUUCAGGUAGCUCAAGCUGAUAAGCCACUUCGCCACGUCUGGCGGUUAUGAGGUAGGGGCCGAUGUAGCGGGGUGCUAACUUGCCGGACAUCCCAAACCUUCUCAUACCUCGGAGUGGUGAUACCCGCAGGUACACAUGAUCUCCCUUUUCGAACUCAAGGUCACGUCUCCGAUUGUCAGCGUAAUUCUUUUGGCGGUUCUGCGCUGUCUUCAGACGUUCUCGGAUCAGCUUAACUUGUUCUUCUGCUGACUUGAGUAUGUCAGGACCGAAUACCAGGGCUUCGCCCACCUCAUUCCAGCACAAGGGGGUGCGGCACUUUCUUCCGAACAUUGCCUCAUUCGGCGACAUCUGAAUGCUGGCCUGAUAACUGUUGUUGUAUGAGAACUCAGCAUACGGCAAACAACGAUCCCAAGUGCCUUCGAAAUCCAAGGCACACGCACGCAGCAUGUCUUCUAGGAUUUGGUUUACCCUUUCUGUCUGACCAUCGGUCUGUGGAUGGUAGGCCGUACUAAAAUUCAGAUCAGUUCCGAGGGCUUCAUGCAACUGCUUCCAGAACCUUGAGGUGAACUGAGUGCCUCGGUCUGACACAAUUUUCUUGGGACAGCCAAAUCUACAUACGAUAUGGGUCAUGUAGAGUUCUGCUAGUUUCUUUCCAUCAUAGGUGGUUUUUACUGGCACGAAAUGAGCUGAUUUCGUGAGUCGGUCCACGAUUACCCAAAUGGAGUCGUACCCGCUGGGGGUUCUUGGCAAACCGGUGAUGAAAUCCAUUCCGAUCUCUUCCCAUUUCCACUCGGGAAUCGGUAGGGGUUGCAGCAGACCAGCUGGCCUCUGAUGCUCUGCCUUGACUCUUUGGCAAAUGUCACACAAGGCUACGUAUUCUGCGACAUCUCGCUUUAUUCCAGCCCACCAGAAGUAUGCCUUGAUAUCUUGGUACAUCUUCGUACUUCCUGGAUGAAUGGAGUAAGCGGACUCAUGAGCUUCCUUUAGGAUGAGAUCUCUUAACUCCUUCUUGGCCGGUACACAGAUGCGUGGACCGCACCAAACUGUGCCUUGAUCGUCUAUGGAGAAAUUGGUGUCUUUCUUCUCCUGUAUUCUUUUUAUUAACUCUUUUAUCCCUUCGUCGUCUUUCUGUGCCUCCCGGAUUUGCGAUUCUAGGGUAGGCUGUACUGUCAAGCUGGCAGGGACUCCUGACUGUACCACGGUCAGCCUUAACUUCUCCAAUUCUCUGCACAGGUGAUCUUGGUCAGGCCGUAUUUGAGCUACAUUGCAAUAGGCCUUGCGACUUAGUGCAUCAGCGACCACGUUGGCUUUACCAGGAUGAUAGUGGAUUCCAAGAUCGUAAUCCUUGAUUAGUUCCAACCAUCUUCUCUGUCUCAUAUUUAACUCGGUCUGAGUGAAGAUAUACUUAAGACUUUUGUGAUCGGUGUAUACUUCACAUCUGUUCCCGAUUAAAUAGUGCCUCCAGAUCUUAAGAGCAUGAACCACGGCUGCCAACUCGAGAUCAUGGGUGGGAUAAUUGACUUCAUGAGGCUUGAGCUGCCUGGAUGCAUAGGCCACAACCUUUCGUUCUUGCAUUAGGACACAUCCUAAGCCUUGUCUUGAUGCGUCACAGAAGAUCUCGAAAUCUUUUCGGAUAUCUGGCAAGGUGAGAACUGGGGCAGUGGUCAACUUUUUCUUCAUUUCUUGAAAGCUGUCUUCACAGGCUGUAGACCAUUGAAAUUUCUUUUCCUUCUUUAACAGUUCGGUCAUAGGUCUGGCUAGCUUAGAGAAUCCUUCAAUGAAUCUUCGAUAAUAUCCAGCUAAGCCAAGGAAGCUGCGAAUCUCUGACACAUUCUUGGGCGGGUUCCAAGCAAGUACAGCUUCAACCUUGCUGGGAUCUACUUCGACACCGUUGGAGGAGAUCACGUGUCCAAGAAAUGCUACUCGGUCUAACCAGAAUUCGCAUUUCGUGAAUUUAGCGAAUAGUUGAUGAUCUCUGAGCUUUUCCAUUAUCAGCCUCAGGUGUUCAGCAUGUUCUUCCUCAUUUUUGGAGUAUAUCAGGAUGUCAUCGAUGAAUACCACGACAAACUGGUCCAGGUAUUCCAUAAAGAUUUUGUUCAUUAAGUUCAUGAAGAAUGCUGGAGCAUUGGUGAGUCCGAAGGACAUUACUGUGAACUCAUAUAGACCAUAACGCGUUGAGAAAGCGGUCUUUGGGAUAUCUUCAGACCUGAUUUUCAAUUGGUGGUAACCUGACCUCAAGUCAAUCUUUGAGAAAACUCUUGCUCCUUUAAGUUGAUCGAAUAAAUCGUCAAUCCGUGGCAACGGGUACUUGUUCUUUAUAGUUACUUCAUUCAGGGCUCUAUAGUUGAUUACCAUUCUCUCAGAGCCAUCCUUUUUCUUAACCAGAAGCACUGGGGCUCCCCAAGGGGAUGAGCUAGGUCGCACAUAACCUUUACUCUCCAACUCUUCGAUUUGUCUUUUGACUUCUGCUAACUCAUUAGCUGCCAUUCGGUAGGGUCUUUUUGCAAUUGGAGCUGUGCCUGGUGCCAGUUCUAUGGCGAACUCGAUCUCUCGGUCUGGUGGCAUUCUUGUUAAUUCUUCCGGAAAUACGUCGGGAUAUUCACAGACUAUGGGCACCGACUCCAAGGAGGUGACUUGUAAACAGGUUAGGAUGGACCGACUUGCGGUAGGGUUGUUAGGGGUAAAGCGGACUUGCUUUCCUCCAGGUCCUUGCAAGGUGAUGGACUUUUCGGCACAAUCUAUCUGUCCUUUGUGCUUAGCCAACCAAUCCAUCCCUAGGAUGAUGUCCAAGCUUUGCGAGUCUAGGACUAUCGGUUUGGCUAGGAAGUCAACUUCCUCAAUUCUAAGGUUAACUUCCGGGCAUAUUUGAGUUGCCCUUAUAUUCCUUCCAGAGGAAUGUACUAUCAUUGGUACACGCAAAUUUUGGGUUUUCCAACCAUUUCUUUUCACAAAAGCUUGCGAUAUGAAGGAAUGGGAAGCUCCCGAAUCAAACAGGACUAUUGCGGGUACGGAGUUGACAGAGAACAUACCCAUCACAACGUCUGGAGCAUCCUGAGCGGUUUCAGCUUGAAUGUGAUUCACACGUCCUCGACCAAAGUGGUUGGAAGCACGAGAACCUUGUCCACUUGCCUGAGAGCUAGGACGAGACUGAGCUGCCGCUGGAGUAGGAGUUCUGGCGGUGCUGCCAUUAGCAUGCCCUGAGUUGGUGUUGGUAGGAUUCUGAGGACACUGUCUAGCAUAGUGACCCAUCUGGUUGCACCGGAAACACUGAACUGCUGAUGGUCCCUGCGGUGACUUGAAAGAGGUAACACUGUUAGGCGCUGUAUUGCCACUAGGGGCACGCUGCUGUGGCGGAGGUGCCGGACGGUUUAUCUGAGGACGAGGGGCGUAGCCUGGCUGGCGGUUAGCCUGAGUGACCGACUGAUGGUAUUGCAUGGGUUGACCGUAGCGAGGGCGAGGUGCGCCUCGGGAAGAAUUUCCCUGAUGGUUAGACUUGCGUUUCUUGUAUUCUUCGGUAGCCUCUUUUCUGGCAUCCUCAAGUAGAAGUGCUUUGUUGAUCAUAUGUUGAAAAGUGGGGAAGUCAUGAGCAAGCAACUGGAGUCUCAUUCCAACUGCGAUUCCUUUCAAGAAUUUCCUAAUCUUUUUCUUAUCUGUGUCUACUUCCUCAGGGGCGUACCGAGCCAACUUGUUGAACUGACUUAGGAACUCAUUGACACUGCUGUUGCCUUGCUUAAGUCUGUUAAAUUCUUCUUUCUUCAUGUCAAUAGUGCUUUCAGGCACAUGAGCUGCACGAAAAGCCGUAGCGAACUCAUCCCAAGCAAUGUUAGUGGGUUCAGGGUGUGCAUUGCAGUAAUUCUCCCACCAAUCUGCGGCAGGUCCUCUUAGCUGGUGAGAGGCGUAGAGCGUCUUCUCAACAGGAGUACACUGCACUAAGUUGAGUUUUCUAUCAACAUCUUUCAACCAAUCAUCAGCCUCGACGGGCUCGACGGUCUGAGAGAACUCUGGCGGACGAGACCUCAGAAAGUCUGUCAGCUUGGAUCUGUUGUUGCCCAUGUGAGGGUGGCCAUUUCCAUGUGCAUUAUGCUGAAAACUGGCUAUGACUGUGGUUAGUCCUUGCAAGAUUUGUGUCUGAACUGCCAUUAAGUGUUGCAUGUUGUUUUCCACAUGAGGUGGGGAAGGGAGGCGUUCUUCUCCAGAAUUGUGACUGGCAGUGCGGUGAGAGCGGUGAGACUGCUCCAUCUCUGCAUCACGGGAAACUGUGCGAUGCGAGCGGCUGCUGCGGCGGGGUUGCUCAACCUCUGCGUUGCGGGAAACAGUACGGUGCGAACGGUUGCUGUGGUGAGACUGCUCAUUAGCUGAUUCAUGAUUUGCUUCUGCUUCAACUCUACCAUCUUCAAAACCAAAGCGGGCUGGUGCACGAGCUGCACGGCGGGGGCGGCUAGCCAUCUAAACUCCCAGAAAAGGGCGGGGUAAGAGUCAGAUAAGCACUUAGGAGGGCAAGGAGCAAAGCAAAUAGCAACUCAGAUAGCACACACUAGGCAUAAACUGGAUUUUUCAAAUCAUAAAAACACCUGAUACAACGGGUGUGGACAAGUCACAGAGCUACGCCGAGCUUGACUGUGCGCACACCACCUAGGAGAACCAGACUACCAAACAACACCCACAUCAAACACACACACGCACUACCUCGCCACGACUCCAAAAGAGUUGGCGGCGGAACAAAAGGGCCUGACACACGGACGGCUGCUGAAGACUGCCUCCUCUACUCCUCGUCGGCCUGGCUGCCUCCUGUAGUCGGCUCCUCUGUCGAAGAAACGUCGAUCGGCUGGUGCGAAGGGACCGGCGGAACCUGUCGAGGGCCGGCAGCAGCACGGGCUGCUGGCGGUGGGGGAGCUGGGUAGUGGAAACGGAACACGGUGGAAGAACCAACAACACGCUUCCGCGCAGUGCGGAUAAAGCGUGGGCCACGGCGGGAGGAAGCAACUUUGUCUUAUGUUUGGAUGAAAUUCCAAGGAAUCGGUCCUUAAGUGCGAGAGCGGGAAACCGUACACCCGGUACGUUCCCCGGUCCGCGGUUUUGGAAAUUCAUUUAGUUCGCAAGCACCGACCCAGGUGUCGGGUUUUCCAAGUCUUUUGUAAAACUCCAGUUUUACCCAAGUUGUUACUCAGAUUUUAAGUUUGAAGGCGACCGUCGAUACUUGCACAGAGUGCACGAAUAUCGAGGUGCAACUGGGUGGUUACAAGGGGACAUAGUAUGGCAAUUAACAAUGGAAGGAUCAAAUGCAACAAGUUAGGUAAGUCCGCCAAUCUGUCUUGCAGAUGGGACAAAAGAUUUAGUGCGAUCCUAUCAAUGCAUAAUAUUUUGCAAGCAAUAUAAUUAAAUUCCAAAUAUAGGCUCAAGAUGUUCAAAGGUGGCUUGCCUUGCUCGAGAUCUGGAGCUUGAUCCUCGAAAUCCUCGCACUACGGGUCUUCGGGCUCCGAAACUACACGCGAAACGGGACAACUCAACAAACGGCAAAAAAAUAAAGCCCUAUUAAUGACCUCUAAGCGUGCCAUUAGAUAGAUCUCGAGAGUUGGGGAAAUUUGGAAGUUGAACGGAGUCAAACGGAUUUACGGUUGGGAAGAUAUUGAAUUUCUAAGAUUAUUGAAUUUUUGAUCUAAAGGAAAAGGAUUUAAUUAAAUCCUUUUUGGAAAAGAAAAGGAAGAGGGAGGAGAAGUAGACUUCUCUCGGGCGGCUAGGGCGCGGCCCAAGGGAAAUGGAGCGGACCGGCCGAUCUUAACGGGCCGGCCGGCCCAAGACGGCCCAAGCGCGCGCGCGCGCUGGAGAGAGGAGAGAGAGUCCGGUGGACCGGGCUCACUACGCGCGGUCCCGGGUGGGACCCGCUUGUCAGCGGCUCGGCUCACCGUGCGGAGGGAGUUUGCGGCGUACGCACGCGGGCGGGGCUGGGACGCAGUGCACGCGCGCGGUUCGCGGAGGAACGGAUGCGGCGGGCCCACGCGCAGCCUCACGGCUCACCGCGGACCAUGCGCACGGGGGAAAAACGGAGGGAGCGGCUGGCCGGGUCGGCUUAUCCGGUCGCGGCCGAGGUGGCGCCGACGUGGCGCCUACGUGGCAGCCACGCGGGCCGGCGGGAGGUAGACGACGACCCGGCCGCGAAUGGACGGCGGGCGACAGCGGCGAGCGGCGGAGCGAGCCACGGCGAUACCGGCGAAAGCGAGCACACCGGGUGGCUGCACAGGACGAGGGGAGACGAGCCAACGGCUCGGAUUCGCCGGAGGGAGUCCGUCGGCGGCGGAUUGCGGCGGCGGCAACCGGCGGAGAGGAAAGGGGGAAACGGCGACGAGGUCCCGAGGGGCUAAUUCCCGGCGGCGAGAGCAUCUACGCGGCUUUGGGAACUCGACGCUUGCGUCGGAUUGGACGGAACUACGCCGAGCGAGGCCGGCGACGAGCGGGUGCUACGGAGCUCGGGCGGCGACGGCGGCGAGCAUACGGCGAGCGAUGGCAACGGUCGGGGCGGCGCCGGCUAACUACGGGGAGUCUACUCAAGCUACUAUCGAAAGCUAGGGGGAGGAGAUGGAGCGAGGAGGGAGAACGGAGGGAGGCACUACCGUGCGGGACGGGCGCAGUGACGAGAGGCCGACGGCGCGGGAGUGAUCUCUCCGGCCUCGGGCCGAGGAAGAGGGUGAAGAGGGCGCGCCCGGAGUCCCCUUCCGCGUCCACGAACGCACCGGCUCUCCCGGCGCUUGGCGAUGGACGGCGGAGGCGAGGCAGAGCACGGGAGCGGCGGCAAUGGUGCGGAGGCGAAUGGGAGAGGAGGGGAAAGGGGAGGCUGGGGUUUAUAGGGGGCGGCAAUGUCAGUUUGGGAAUCGACUUGCGCGGUCAAGGGCGCGAGCUGGCGCUCCGGCUAGCGGCCAAAACGGCGACAAGAGGAUGACGCCGGCGAGAAGGGAAAAAGGGGAGAAAAAGAAGAAAAGGAGGGAGAGAAAGGGGGCUCGCCCCUUUGCCGAUUCGGGAAAAGGAGGAGGGGGCGGGGCGACGCGGCAGAGGGAAGGGAGAGCUCGGCCUCCGCCUCUUGGCGGCUUGCGCGCGGAGUGGCGGGGCCGGGGGAUGACGACGGCGAUGACGGUGAGAUGGUUUGGAGCGGCGCGACGACACGGGCGACAGGCGCGGCAGGCGCUGACGACGGCGGCGACUGGGCGGUCGGCCACUCGGCGCGCGCGCGCGGGAAACAACGGGCGGCGUCCGCGCGGGCGCGCGCCCGCGAACACGGCGCGCGGGAAGCGGCUUUGCGAGCGGGGAGCUCGCGCGAGGGGAGGGGCGCUCAGCGCGGGCGACUCCCGCGCACGCGCGCGCGGCGCGCGGGCAGGACGGAGGGGAAGCGGGGAGAGAGGCGCUCGGGGCGACUCUCGCACGCGCGAGCAGCGUGCGGGCGAGGCUGAGCGGGGGGGGGGGGGGAGGAGCGCGCCAGGGGGGGGAGAGAGAGAGAGAGAGAGAGAGAGAGCGCGCCCGGGAGAGAGGGCCGGGGGAGAGAGAGAUGGGCCGAGCGAGAUUCGGCCCAUCGACCUCGGGGGAGGCAAAAUAGACUUUUGCGGAGGAAUUUGAUUGGAAGGAUUUGGAUUCGGAAUUGAACUCGACGAUAGAUCGGGGAUUGAGAUCUUGAGAUGGCACGGACACUAAACAACAAUCAAAGAAACAAAUUUCGCAAUUAGGGUUUUUCCGAGAUAAUUUUCCCGCUAGGCGCCACGACGGAACGGGCGCUACAGCCAGCCCUCCGCGCGCCGCGCCGCCGCGAGGGGCGGGCCUCUGCACCCCGCCGUUGCAGAGGGAGGUGGGGAGGAGGGAGAGGAAGAGAUAAGGGUGAUGGGGAGGAGGGAGAGGAGGAGAGAAAGGGAGGAGGGAGAGGAAGAGAUAAGGGUGAGUGGGUGACUUUGUGAGGAGAUGAGUUAAAAAAGGAGAGGAGGAGAUUGUAUUGAUCCGAUCCGCGUGCAACUAGCCUGCUUAUGUCGACUUUUUUCCCGGUUGGUAACACCAACCGGGACUAAACAUAGAUCUUUAGUCCCGGUUGGUACAUCAACCGGGAGUAAAGCUUAUAUUGAUCUUUUUUCCCGAUUGGUAACACCAACUAGGACUAUAAAUAGAUCUUUAGUCCCGGUUUUCAACACUAACCGGGACUAAAGAUCAAAAAAUUCCUCAAAGCUUUCAAACCGGGACUAAAAAUAUUUUUAGUCCCGGUUUUUAAUACAAUCGGGACUAUUGUGAAAUUUGGUAGACCGACCAAAGAUGGUUUCUACGUGAGAGGAGCCUCUUCCCAGUUAGCAAGUCACGUAUUGAACAAUGGAGACAAAUUGAUGGCCAGAGCCCCGAAGCAUAUAUUAUUACUUUUUUAAAAAAUGUGAGAAAUAAAAGGUUAGUAGUAUUUUGUGAGUUGCAAUAUGUACACCAUCCUUUUUUGAAGUAAAGAGUAAAAGGGAGCUAAAAGUGUUGCUCUUAAAUUAAGUGAGGUGGACGGAAGAGGUAUGUUAAUCCGCAAAAUAAUAAUAAAAAAAGUGGUUUUUGUUUUGCUUGGGUGCACUUUAUCUAAUGUGCUUUUAAAAUGUAUUUAUUCUUUUUUAAUAUUUUGCAAGGCUGUAGGAUGUGUAAGGACCAAUUUAUUAUUACGAUUGAGGCAAGCAGAAAAUUGACUAGCAUAUGACUGAUGUUUAAGCGUUGAAGAGUCAUAAAUUUUAAAUUAAUAUUUUGAUUUUUUUUGAGAGGAAAACUAACUGUUUCCAUUAACCCAUUGUCUCGACAGAACCGUCGAUAACCAAAUCCUCAACGCCAGGUGGAGUUCCAUCCCAGCUGAGAACAGUAUUGUCUGGGCUAUUACAUCCAAAUGCGGCUAAAGCGUCGGCCACCUUAUUACAUUCACGUGGGCAAUAACCAACACGGAAAGAAAGAAAAGCCAAAGCAAUAAACUUCUUCAUUUGCAGGACGAAGCCACCUAACGCUGCAAGAUGGAUGUUGCUCUCCUUCAGGGCUUGGACAAGCAACAGCGAGUCCGUCUCCAAGUGAAUAUGCGCUAUACCCCACUGUGCUGCCGCUUCAAGUCCCUUCACUGCCGCCAGAAUUUCAGCAUGGAGAGUGACGGAGCUCGUGGCUCCUCACCGGGAGACCGCGCAGGCCCCCCUUUGCCGGUUCGACCGGGGGCUUAGGGUGAAAUCCCAAGCUCUCGCUGUAUGUGGAAAGAUCGCGAACCCGGAAGAAACGCGAGACGCAGGAGACGUAUACAAGUUCGGGCCGCUGGGAAGCGUAAUACCCUACUCCUGUGUUUUGGUGGAUCUGUGUAUGGACAAGUUACAAAGUAUGAACCAGCCAAAAAGAUCCCCAUUCUAGGUGGGCAAGGUCCUCCUUUUAUAUCUCAAGGGGAUACCACAUGCCCCUCUCCCUUUCCAAACUGGACUGUUCUUCUCUUCAUAAAUGGACGGAGAUCGGUACGGUUGCUGUCCGAGUGCCCUUCUGACGGGACAGCCCAUACCUACCCCCGCUUCCGCCGGAAACAGGUGCAACAUGGGAUUAUGGCUGUCUGUGGAUGACGCGACCAGUGUCAGACCGGUCACAGAUUAGUCAUCCUUGUCUACCAUGCGUCAGCUUAGCAACGUGCAUGUUUGCCCUUCUUCAUGUAACAUCUUGCAUGUAAUGGUUGGGAUGAAGCCUGGUAUAAAUCUAACCAGGGCUAACGUGCCAUCUCUAAGAGAUAACACGCUAGCUCCGGCUUGAGACAAGUGCCUAGAGGCUUUCGUCUUGACGGGAUGGGGCAAGGCGUGCGUCAGACCGCCAGUCGCCACCUAACCCGUGAUCUGACCGGUCUGUGACCGGUCACAGACCGGAUAAAGGAACGCGCUGCACUGCGCUGCAUGCAGCGUGACACGCUUGACCAGACUACAAUAAAUGCGGUUAGGUGAGCACUGCCGUGUUCACCUAUCCCAUAUAUGUGGCGCAAACUUCCUCAAGGGGUCGGGGUGCCUCGGCCCUCGGGGCCGGGGCAGGAGUAACCCGACCCCCCCCUCGGGAGAAAUCAGGAGGAGGGCAGACACCUCACCCUCGGGCCCGACGUCCCCGAAGGUGCCAGGCCGCGUGGGCGAUUGUGUCUGCCUCAAGCCUCUGGUCACGAUACCCCCGGUCCCAUAUCACCGACAGUAGCCCCCGGCGUUAUGCCAGGGCGAUCGCCCUUCUCAAGGGAAGCGGUCGGGCGUAACGCCACUCCUAAAGCUUGGUGACAGGUGGGACCGGUUUCCAUGGUUGCGCAGAAACCCAACGGUCUCAAACCAUGCACAUCGGUAAUGGUAACUUGGCUGUCCAUAAUGGGCGGUCUCUUCAAGACUGCCACAUCACUUGAGCAGCGCACGAAUCUGGGUGAGCUGAUUUGCUUCGCCUGGAGAUAUGGUAACGUCGCUUCGGUCGGCGAGCGUAAUUAACGCGCGCACGAUACGAUCUAUCUCGACUGCCGCAACCGCACAUCCACUUCAUGCGCCGCAAGCGGGCGAAUGGGAUUAGUGGAAGCGUGGGCACGAGAAACGAGGGAGCGAGAUAGCGAGAAACGAGGGAGCGAGAUAGUGGGCGCGAGAAACGAGGAGCCGGGCACGGCGAUGGCAAGGGUAUAAAGACACCGAGGAAAAGAUUUGCUCCCUUCCUUUCGCCAUUAUUCCCCUUGCCUUCGCCGCUUGCGCCCUAACUCCUUCUCUGCUGCGCCCCACCUUCGCCACACGCGCUCGUUCUCAAUCAUCCCUUCCUCCGGCGCCAUGGCACGGGGCUCCGCUCUGCUCGACGGUAGCGUACUACUGCCUUCUCGCAUCGUGAGCGAGAGGCAGGCCGGGCUGCCGCGCCGCUUCAUGCCGGAAUCUGCCACCGGCCGGGAGAUAGUGAUGCUGGGCGAGGGACGCCCGGCACCAGACUACCCGGGGCGGUCCGUCUUCUUCCUCCCCUUCGCAAUGGCGGGGCUGGUUCCGCCAUUUUCUUCCUUCUUUAUGGACGUUCUGGAGUUCUACGAUCUCCAGAUGGCGCACCUCACCCCCAAUGCGGUGAUGACAUUGGCCAUCUUCGCGCACCUGUGCGAGAUGUUCAUUGGGGUGCGCCCAUCUCUUCGGCUGUUCCGGUGGUUCUUCACCGUGCAGUCGGUGUCGCCGCCGUCGGUGGUUGGUGGCUGCUACUUCUAGCCGCGGGGGCCGGUGCUGAACCGCUACAUCCCCUGCGUCCUCCGCAAGAAGUGGGACGACUGGAAGAGCGACUGGUUCUACACCCCCCUCGCCAACGAAGCGCGCCUCCGACUUCCAAGCCAGCCCCCGGCGCAGGUCUCCAGCUGGCGGGCGCCGGUAGAUCUGGGGGAUGACUAUGACGCCGUCCUUGAUCGCCUGGCGGGCCUGCGAUCCCAGGGGCUUACAGGGGCCAUGGUGUACGGCGACUACCUCCGUCGCCGGAUUGCGCCGCUCCAGCGGCGCGCCCGGAGCGCCUGGGAGUACUCCGGGUCCGAAGACUACAUGCGGACCCACCAAGGAGUCAGAUGGGAUUGGGCUCCCGAGGACUUCAAGAUCGUGGUCCAAAGGGUGCUGAAUCUCAGCUCCGUGGAGGCGUCUCUCAUUCCUCAAGGAAUCCUCCCCCUCUGCAGCGAUCCCGACCGCGCCUCUAUUUUGACCAUUAUGAUGGGGGUCGGGGCCUCAGAGGAGGAAACCCCUAAGGGCCACGACGGCGUGGGCGAGAGCCGCCGGGGGGGACAAUCUACCCCAGGAGGGGGUCGUGCUUCUGGCCCCGCGUCGGGGGCUCGGGGAGCAGCCGCCCUGCCGACGCCCAGGGGAAGAGGAAGCUGGGAGGAACACCUCCCCCAUCUCCUCCCCGAGGGGGCGGGGCGGUGCGUGCCAGCAGUCGGCGCCCGGAGGGGGCCGCGCCGUCAUCGCAACCCGAGGGGGAGCGCAAGAAGAAGCGGCUCCGUAAGAUGGGGGAGACGGAACCAUCCCGGGGAAACCUGAUUUCCCCUCCAAGGUGGUCAUUUAACCGACCCCCUCGCAGGUUCGUCCCACUCUCAUUACGACCGUCUUUCUCCUAUCCCAAAAGCAAGUUUUCUCUUACCCAUCUUGUUUGUCUUCUGGUUUUUUCUUCUGCUUCAGCGAUGUCCCGUCGCGUUCCUCCCGCCACCCCAAGUCUGGCCAGUCCGAGGCCGAAGAUCCGGCGGCCGCAGAGGAACGGAGGCGAGAAUCUGACCGGCGAGAGGCCGCAGAUCGCCUUCGGGAAGCUGAAGAGGCCGCCCGGGAGGCCGCCCGGGUUCGUCAAGCGGAGAGUGCCGCUCGGGAGGAGGCCGCCCGGGCUCGCCAAGCUGAGGCGAUGGCGUCUUCCGAGGCAGCUCACGACAAAGCUGCUGGCGCGUCGCUUGGGCCCACUCCCUCGGGCGACGCUCAGGCGACGGCCUCUGGGGCGGCUCGCGACGAGGCCGCGGGCGCAUCGCCUGGGCCCACUCCCUCGGGCGACGCUCAGGCGACGGCCUCCGGGGCGGCUCGCGACGAGGCCGCGGGCGCAUCGCCUAGGCCCACUUCUCCGGGCGACGCCCAGGACCAAACGGGUCCGGGGGACAUCCCCGAGCCCAGCGCCUCCUCCGGCGGGCCGAGCCGCGUCGCGUUCUCUCCAAGGCGGCUCUUCUCCUCGUCUUCUGUCGCCCCGCUGAGCGCCGAGCCCCUUCUGCAGGCCUUGGCCGCCGCAAACACUGCGGUGCUAGAUGGGUUCAGCGCCCAAGUGGAGGCCCUGCGAGCGGAACGAGCGGAGCUCGAGGCCGCAUGGGCGCGUGUCGAGGAGGGACGGCGCUCGGUGGACGUCAUGGUGGAGGUGGGCCGUAAGGCGCACCGCCGUCACGUCUCGGAGCUAGAAGCCCGCAAAGCGGCGCUGGCGGAGAUCGCCCGAGAGGUGGAGGAGGAGCGGGAGGCCACCCUCAUCGCCACCACUGCGAUGAUCGAGGCGCAGGACACCCUCCGCCUUCAACACGCGAGCUGGGAGGCGGAGCUAAAGAGAAAGCUCGACGCCGCCCAAGGGGUCCUUGACACCGCCGCUGCCCGAGAGCGGCGGGCGACGGAGACUGAAGCGGCGUCCCGGCGGCGCGAGGAGGUCCUUGAGGCCCGUGCCAUGGCACUGGAAGAACACGCCGGCGCCGUGGAGAGGGGCUUGGCGGACCGCGAGGCCGCCGUCGCCAUCCGGGAGGCAACGCUGGUGGUGCAUGAGGUCGCCUGCGCCGAAGAGGAGUCCGCGCUCCGCCUCCGCGAGGACGCACUUGCUGAGCGGGAGCGAGCUCUCGAGGAGGCCGAGGCCGCGGCGCAACGGCUGGCGGACAGUCUGUCCCUCCGCGAGGCAGCGCAGGAGGAGCAGGCGCGCCGCAAUCUGGAAUGUGUCCGCGCCGAGAGAGCCGCACUGGAGCAGCGGGCUGCUGACCUCGAGGCGCGGGAAAAAGAGCUGGCCGCGAGAGCGCCCAUCGGUGGGGCGGCUGCGGGCGAAAGCGACUUAGUCGCCCGCCUCGCAGCUGCCGAACACACCGUCGCCGACAUGCAGCGCGCCCUUGACUCAUCCGCCGGGGAGGCCGAGGCCCUCCGCUUGGCGGGCGAGAUAGGGCCUGGCACACUUUGGGAUGCGGUCUCCCGCCUAGAUCGCGCCGGUCGGCAAGCGGGCCUCUGGAAAGGCCAAACAAUGCCGCACUCCACCAAUCUGGAAGGCCUCGCUCCGCGCCUCACGAAGAUGGCCUGGGCUCUCCAACAACUCCCCGAGGAGCUCGAGAAGACCAUUAAGUCAUCCUCGAGGGACCUCGCCCAAGGAGCGGUCGAACUCGUAUUAGCGAGUUACCAGGCCAGGGACCCCAACUUCUCUCCGUGGAUGGCGCUGGAUGAGUUCCCUCCCGGGACCGAGGACGAUGCGCGCGCGCGGGUCCGGGAUGCCGCCGACCACAUCGUCAACAGCUUCGAGGGCUCGGCCCCUCGGCUCGCGUUCGCCCCCAACUCCGACGAGGAGGGCGACGCCAGCGGUGCAGACAACGAUGGCGACGAGGCCGGCGACCCGGGCGCAUCGGAAUGAGCCCCCAGGCCCCCGCCAAUCUCCAAUUUUUUCUUUUUCUUUCUUCUAAGGCCUUCAUGCCUCUUUUUUGUAUAGAUCAACUUAAUCUGGAAUCAAAAAUGAAAAAAUUCUUCGUGUCAAUUUUAUUUUGCUAUGCGUAUGAGAUGAGGAUGAUCUGUGCCGUGGUCCUCUUUUGUGUCUUAGCUUGAUUUAAGGGCUCGUGCCCAAGUCCCAGUCCUCUAAUGGCUCGGGUCGGGGCUAGUGCCUGGGGAGAUCCACAUGUUGAGGCUGGCCAGGCCGGGAACGUGGUGACCGAGGGUUAUAGGUGACCCGAUUGUGGGUUUUUGCCGAUUCCCCCCCGGAGUUCACCACGCCCCGGGGCACGGCUCAGUUCUGGGCCCCGUUUGGCGAUUUUAGCUGACCGAACCGAGCCCCCGAGGGCAAGGUUGAGCACGAGUGACCUUAUUUCAAGUCAAGAUUCUUCAAAAGGAAAAAACGGCACAGACACAACCUUUAGGAAAUUGAAACUGCUUUUUUUGAAACGCUGAAAUAAGAGAAAUAAUAAUGUGCAUGCGUGGUAGCCCCCGGCCAACCCUGCACACCCGAGGGGGGGGGUGCGGGGUUGGCCCGAGCCCGAAACCUGACACCCGACCCCUCCCUCAGGGCUAGAAGCGACGAAGGUGUUCGAUGUUCCACGGGUUAGGCAGCUCAGUGCCGUCGCCCGUGGCCAACCGUAUGGAGCCCGGCCGGGGGACACCGAUCACUCGAUACGGACCCUCCCACAUUGGUGAGAGCUUGCUCAAUCCAGCACGCGUUUGGACGCGGCGUAAGACGAGGUCGUCGACGCAGAGUGAUCGGGCCCGGACGUGGCGCUGAUGGUAGCGCCGCAGGCUCUGCUGGUAGCACGCGGCUCGGAGGGCCGCGCGCCUCCUUCGCUCUUCCAAGUAGUCGAGGUCAUCUCUGCGAAGCUGAUCUUGAUCGGCUUCGCAGUACAUGGUGGCCCGAGGAGACCUCAGGGUGAGCUCGGAUGGGAGAACCGCUUCUGCGCCGUAGACGAGGAAGAAAGGCGUUUCCCCGGUUGCUCGGCUUGGUGUGGUUCGGUUUGCCCAGAGCACCGCUGGCAACUCCUCGAUCCAUGAAUCGCCGUGCUUCUUGAGAAUAUUGAAGGUCUUGGUUUUAAGGCCUUUGAGGAUUUCUGCAUUGGCGCGCUCCACUUGGCCAUUGCUUCUGGGGUGGGCAGGUGAGGCGAAGCAGAGCUUGAUGCCCAUGUCUUCGCAGUAAUCGCCGAAGAGUUCACUAGUGAAUUGGGUGCCAUUAUCCGUAAUAAUACGGUUAGGCACUCCAAAACGGGCCGUGAUGCCUUUAAUGAAUUUAAGUGCAGAGUGCUUAUCGAUCUUGACGACCGGAUAAGCCUCGGGCCACUUAGUGAACUUGUCGAUCGCGACAUACAGAUACUCAAACCCGCCCGGGGCCCGCUUAAACGGUCCCAGGAUAUCGAGCCCCCAGACAGCAAAUGGCCACGAAAGUGGUAUGAUCUGCAGGGCCUGGGCCGGCUGAUGGAUCUGCUUGGCGUGAAACUGACACGCUCUGCAUCGCCGGACCAGAUCAACUGCAUCAUUGAGAGCUGUCGGCCAAUAGAAUCCUUGACGAAAGGCCUUGCCAACCAAGGUGCGCGAGGCGGAAUGGGCUCCGCACUCGCCUUCAUGGAUAUCGGCAAGAAGCUCAACGCCUUGUUCCUGAGGAAUGCAUUUCAGGAGGAUUCCGUUAGCCGCGCGCCGAUAGAGGGUCCCUUCUACCAGCACAUAGCGUUUGGAAAUGCGUUGGACGCGUUCACUCCCUUCGCGGUCCUCAGGUAGAGUCUUAUCUGUGAGGUAUGCUUGGAUCUCAGAGAUCCAUGCAAUCAAUCUAAGGGAGCUUGGAGCGCUCCCUUCGGGUCCCGAGGCCUGGACUCCGACGGGCCUCGGGGGCCGAUCAGGCGCAUCCGUCUCCCCUAAGGGGUCGGGUCGCGCCGACGGCUGGGUAAGCCUUUCUUCAAAGGCGCCCGGUGGGGUCUGGGCUCGCGAGGACGCGAGCCGUGAGAGUUCGUCAGCAACCAUGUUAUCCCGUCUGGGUACAUGCCGAAGCUUUAUCCCGUCAAAAUGGCGCUCCAUACGCCGCACUUGGCGUACGUAAGCGUCCAUCUGUGGGUCAGAGCACCGGUACUCCUUACAGACCUGGUUAACGACCAGCUGGGAGUCGCCUAACACCAAGAGGCGGCGGAUCCCCAGUCCAACUGCCACUCUGAGUCCGGCAAGGAGUCCCUCGUACUCUGCCAUAUUGUUGGUUGCUCGAAAGUCGAGACGGACCAAGUAUCUAAGGACGUCUCCUUUCGGAGAGGUCAACGUGACCCCCGCUCCGGCGCCCUGGAGAGACAGAGAACCGUCGAACUGCAUCACCCAGUGGGAGGUGUGAGGCAGCUGUGAGGGGUCCGUGCUGGCCUCGGGAAUUGAGACGGUCUCUGGAGCCGGGGUCCACUCUGCCACAAAAUCGGCGAGGGCUUGGCUCUUGAUAGCGUGGCGUGGUUCAAAGUGCAGAUCGAACUCAGAAAGCUCGAUUGCCCAUUUUACCACCCGUCCGGUACCCUCGCGAUUACGCAAGAUUUGACCGAGGGGGUAAGACGUAACCACAGUGACCCGAUGCGCCUGGAAAUAAUGGCGCAGUUUCCUCGAGGCCAUCAGAAUAGCGUAAAGCAUCUUCUGGGCCUGAGGGUAUCUGGUCUUGGCGUCCCGGAGGGCCUCACUAACAAAGUAGACAGGCCGCUGCACCUUUCGGCGGGGCCGAUCCUCUUCGCUAGGGGCCGUACCCCCGGGGCGUUCUUCGUCCAAGUGGCCCCUCGGGGCGCACUCGUCUUCUGUGCCGAUGACCUCGGGGUCGGAGGAUGACAGGAGCGGCCUUCCCACAGUGGCCUCGGGGCCGUCCUGGGGGUCGGGGGCUCCUGGCGUCGUCGGACAAGCGGGCAAAGGGCCAACUCCGGGCGUCAGGGGCCUCAGGCCUCCGUUCGGCUCGGGGGCCUCUUCUCCCUGCUCUCUCCCGGGUCGAGUCAGCACAGGGUUAGCCUCGGGGCCAAAGGGCGAUAGGUGCGGCCUUCCCUCAGUGGCCUCGGGGCCUUCCUGAGGGUCGGGGGCACCCAGCACCGUCUGACAAGCGGGCAGAGGGCCGACUCCGGUCGUCAGGGGCCUUAGGCCACCGUUCGACUCGGGGGCCUCUCCUCCCUGCUUGCUCCCGGGCCAAGUCGGCACAGGGUGGGGGUGCGCGGAAUGAGGAUUGUCCUCAUCGCGCUCCACAACCAACGCUGCACUAACUACUUGGGGGGUCGCCGCUAAGUAAAGUAGCAGGGGCUCAUUUGGCUCCGGGGCAACUAGAACCGGAGGAGAGCUGAGAUACGCCUUCAACUGGGCGAGGGCAUUUUCAGCUUCCUCCGUCCAAGUAAACGGCCCCGAGCGCUUGAGGAGCUUAAAUAAGGGUAGCGCCUUCUCUCCCAGCCUCGAUAUGAAACGACUUAGGGCGGCCAUGCAACCGGUGACGCACUGCACAUCCCUAAGUUUGCUGGGGGGGCGCAUCCGCUCUAUAGCUCGUAUCUUCUCGGGGUUGGCCUCGAUGCCUCGGGCAGAGACCAAGAACCCGAGAAGCUUGCCCGCAGGUACACCAAACACGCACUUAUCGGGGUUCAGUUUUAUGCGGGCGGCGCGGAGAUUUUCAAAAGUUUCCGCUAGAUCUGAGAGUAAAGUCUCUUGGUUGCGCGUCUUUACAACCAAGUCAUCAACAUAAGCCUCAACAUUACGUCCUAUUUGACUACCCAAAGAAAUUCGAGUAGUACGCUGAAAAGUAGGACCUGCAUUCUUUAACCCGAAGGGCAUUGAUGUAUAACAAUAGGUUCCUACGGGGGUAAUGAACGCAGUUUUUUCCUCAUCCUCCCUAGCCAUGCGAAUCUGAUGGUAACCAGAGUAUGCAUCUAGAAAACACAAAAGGUCGCACCCCGCAGUGGAGUCGACAAUCUGAUCUAUGCGAGGCAGGGGGUAAGGGUCCUUAGGACAUGCCUUGUUAAGGUCGGUGUAGUCGAUGCACAUCCGAAGCUUGCCGUUCGCCUUGGGAACGACCACCGGGUUCGCCAGCCACUCCGGAUGGAUGACCUCACGGAUGAAUCCGGCCUCCAGAAGUCUCGCCACCUCCUCGCGGAUGAAGGCUUGACGUUCCGGGGCCUACCGCCGCACUUUCUGCCGGACCGGCCUCGCGCCCGGCCGCACGGCGAGACGGUGCUCAAUCACCUCCCUGGGGACCCCGGGCAUAUCCGCCGGUCUCCAUGCGAAGACGUCAGCGUUUGCCCGCAGGAAGGAGACGAGCGCGUCUUCCUAUUUGCCAUCCAGAAGACCACCGAUCCGUGUGGUCUUGGAUGGACCGUCGCCCAGGGCAACCUCCUUGACCGGGACCUCGUCGCAUGUGACAAUCCGCCGCCUCGGGGCGGUGGGGGCGGAGGUGCCAAGCCUCUCGUCACCACCCUCGUGCUUGGACGCAGCAGCGAGGUGGUCCGCGCGCUGCUCCAUGCAAGCGAGCGCAACUUUGAGGUCGCCAUGGACAGAGAUGGGGCCGCCGGGGCCCGGCAUCUUCAUCUGAAGAUAGGCGUAGUGAACCGCCGCCAUGAACUUCACCAACGCGGGCCUCCCCAGGACCGCGUUGUAGGGCAGACUGAGGUCCGCCACAUCGAAGUUCACCCGCUCCGUGCGGAAGUUGGCUGAUCCACCAAAGGUGACCGGUAGGUCGAUGUGACCUAACGGCCAUGUGUGCCCCAGCGUCACACCGAUAAUCGGUUGGGACGGCUGGAGCACCAUCCCCGGGGCCUUGAUGGCAUCAUAGGCCGCGGGGGAAAGGAUGUUGAGGGCCGCUCCUCCAUCUAUGAGGACACGCCCCAACUUCACGUUGCAGAUGGUGGGGGAAACCACCAUCGCAAUCUGCCCUCCCCGGGCAACGCACGGUGGGUGGUCGGUCUGGUCAAAGGUGAGGACAACCUCCGACCACCGUGCCCGACGCGUCGCCUCAUGAGUAGGGGCCGCGGCCAGAAGCUCUCGCUUCAUAGCCUUGAAGCUCCGGCGAGAGAUGUGAGCACACGCUCCCCCAUCGACAGUGGCAAUGGUGGCCCCAGGUUCUUGGAAACCUAGGUCAUCAUCACCGUCAUCGAUGUCAACAGCGGGGGCCUUCUGUUUGGCCUCACUUCGCCGUUUGCCGGAAGGAACCGCCGGGGACUUACCUUCCCGGCGCUCCUGCCUCCUGUCCUCCUCCCACUUCCUCGUUCGCUCCGCCAAAUUUUUGACGGCGCGGCAGUCCGCGAGAUCAUGGAGGGAGGUGUUGUGGACGGAGCACCACCUACCGGCUGGGCGCUCCCUGCUGGGAGUACCAGCCUCUUUCUUUUUGUCGCUUGCAGGCCUCCCCUUUCGGGUGGCCCGCGGAGCGCCCUCGACGGCGAGGACAUGACCCUCGUCGCCGGAAUGGACCGACCUCUUCUUCCUCCUCCUGUCAUGCCGCCCUGUCUGAGCGGCGGAUCCGGGGGCGGCCGAAGCUGCCACACCGGAACCGGAGGGGUUCCAGGUCCAAGCUUCCUCCUUACGAGCCACUCGGUCCGCGAGCUGAAAAAGCUCUGCGGUAGUCUGGGGCUCUUUGGAAACGAUCUUUUCGAGCAUGCGGUUGUGCCGCACACCCCCCCUGAACGCGUAGAUCACCGCGUGUGCAGGGAUGCAUGGUAUGGUAUUGCGGACUUGGCAGAACCGCUGAAUGUACGAGCGAAGCGACUCAUCAUCCCCUCGCUGUACGGCGUGCAAGUCCGCUUCUUCGCCUGGGCGCGGAUAUGUGCCUUGAAAGUUCAUGGUGAACUGUUGGCACAAAUCUUCCCAGGAGUGGACCGACGCGGGUGGCAGGUUCAUUAGCCAACCCCGCGCCUGUCCCUUCAGGGCCAUGGGAAAGAAAUUAGCCAUAACCCUGUCGUCACCCCCAGCGGCCUCAAUCCCGGUCGUAUAGACCUGGAGAAACUCGGUGGGGUUGACGCUCCCAUCAUACUUCUCGGUGAUGGUGGGCCGGAACCUUGGGGGCCAACGGACAUUCCGAAGACUCGCCACAAAGGCUCUACAGCCGACACCACCAGCCGGGGGCACGGAGGGCUGGUCCUCACGUCCAUGUCGAGGUGACACUCUGGACGAGGAGGCACCCUCCGUUUCACGGGGAGUACGCCGGCUAUUACGCCGGCGCUCGAUGUUGAGGCGGGCAUCCGGCUCCCCAUGCUGAUCCUCCCGAGUCGAAGGUGUCGAUGAGGGAGUGGCAGCCGAAUGACGUGCAGCCGCCGCCGCUCGCCGCGCCCUCCGCCUUGAUGACACGGAACCGGUGGUGGUGGCGCCGGAGGUCUUGGUGGUGGCGG
rnacentral:lncRNA from 1 species